rnacentral:lncRNA from 1 species
UCUGCAGGGGGUUAUGAGGAAAUACGGAAGAAAGGCCCACACGUCGGGUUUACAUAGAGAUAUUAACGUGCCGCACAAUUAUCUACCAUCUAGAAGACUCCAGAAGCCACGGGACCGAAGCGGAGGCCGAGAGGGCUCAGGCACUGGGCGCCCGCCCUACCUUACUGGGCGCCCGCCCACCUGUUCUGCCCAAUCAGGGUACAACUCGGGGAUCAUGCUCCACCGACCUAAUACUUCAAGGGAAACCACACGAUCAAUGUCGGUUUGAUCCGACGGCCCAGAUUCACUUGAAGGGACUAUAAAACCAGACCCCCCUGGCCCCUGGAGAUCAUACCUCUUCUACAGAAUCAAAGUUAGGGUUUCAAUUCUUCAUCCAAGUAGAGAGGAUCCCUCUAGUUCUUCUAGUUCUACCUCUAGUUCAUCUAGAUCUAGUUCUAGUUCAUCUAGUUCUAGUUCUAGUUCCUCUAGUUCUAGUUCUAGUUAGUUCUAGUUGUAAUCUAGAAAAUAGGGAGAGAGAAGAGGAGAGCGGAGGAGGAGGAGCCGGAUCUGUCGGAUCUUCCUCAACAUUGUACUUUUGCAGCAUCUGGUUCGUUCUUCAUCGUUCUCCAGGUUCUUCAACUCAUAACUCCUGAGUUCUCUAAUUACUUUUAUUACAUUCAAGUUAUUUAUUGGAUUCCCGCUUGCAUCAAGUGCUCUAAUCUUUGAAACAUUAGAGUAGUAAUUAAUAGAUUAGACGUGGUGUUUAGUCUUGCAAUUACCUGGAAUUGCACCCAAUCCUGCGGAUUGUUGUGGUAGCCUUAGGGUAGUGACAGCCCUAACGGUCGACGUAUUCCACCACGUUCGGAUCGGUGUUUGUAGGACCGUAGUCAGACCUUCCAAGCCCCCUUCUCAUCUCUUUCUGUGGUUAGUGCUCUGAUGUCCCGAUAUAGAUAAUCUUGAAGUAAUUCUUGAUUCUUAGAUCAACUAGAGAACUCUCAGGAAACUUCCUCUCUUCCCACCAAAAAUAAUUAUAUAGUUAUCCUUGGGCGAUCUUGGAUCUUAAUUAGUACACUCACGUUCUCUGUGGAAAAUCGAUACUCUGGAAUACUCCCGGGUGAAAGCUACAUCGGUAUCCGUGCGCUUGCGGAUUUUUCUGUUUGCGUUUAAAAUACCCAACAGAGGAUACGGUGUCCGAUAAGAAUAAGUAUUGACUUUGGGUUUUAUCCCAAACUGGUCUCUCAUUACUUCAGCUAUCUUAUCGGCCCAAUAAGCAUCGGCAUCUUGCCGAUGAGGCGGUUGUGGAUCCAGUACCUGUUGAUAUGCUUCCACAUGUUUCUGUGCUGCACGAUCUCCAUGGAACAUUAGAUUAACCAUCUGACCACCAAUUUGCUGACCAACAUUCAUCGGCUGAUUGACCAACCUUUGAUUCUGAAACCCAGGUUGGAUUUGUCCUUGUUGAAACCCUAUAGCCUGAUGAUUCUGGUAAGGCAUCUGUGGAAAGAGUAACUGCCCUGUCCAUCCACUGUUAGCAUUCAUCAGCAUAGGCCCUGUCGAUGACUGGUAAUUGGGUAUCAUCAUUGAAUUGACAUACCCUAGCUGUGUCAUAAACCUCUGCUGCGUCGGCAUUGGAUCUGCUGAUGCAUUAGGCAUCUGGAACGUCGAAGCUUGAGAAUUCCCAGUGUAAGGCCUUGCAGUAGUAGUUGUAGAGUACUGGGGAUUCUGAUUCAUCGGUACAUUUGGAGGUGCCGAUGCCAUAGGACCCUUGCCUAUCACGUCAGCCACUUGGGAUGUCCUGGGACUCUUUGCCAUAAGUUCUGGGGGCAUACCAUAACCCCACUAGUUGGGAGGAAUAGUCCCUGACAUCGCCGAUGCCAAUAGAUCUGUGGAAAGUUUGAUUUGCCCGUCUAACGUAGAUGGAUUAGUGGUCAUCGGUGUAGAUUGCGCAUUAGUCAUCCCUAAUGUACUUGGAGAAGAAGUAGCUUCUGCGCCCGCAACGGCCGUACUAGCCGACGGAGCUGUAACAACCGGUGACCCUGGCUGAUGAUGGGCAGGACCCACAUAAGAUGGUGGUACUUGUCCUUCCUUGAAAGUUCUAGCCACAGCAUUGAAAACCGUGUUGGACAGCACACCAGCUUGAUUGAUCAAGGCACGGUUAAUAGCACUGUCAACCAUGUCUUGAAGUUUACUAGGAUUGGCUUCAAAAGUAAUUUGCCGAGGCAUCGGUAAUGCUUUCUUCUGGAUCACCUCGCCACUCCUGUUGAUACUAAAGGAUUUCAAGCAUAGUUGCUUGUAAUCCUCCAUGGCUUUCGCCAUAGCUUGCUUCUGCUCAUCUCUGAGAUUGGCUUCCGUCACAGGGAUGGCAUUCUCCAAGUCGAAAUCGAUGUUCGACAUGUUGAUCUUGAUCUUGAAUCUCUAUCCCACCAGGCGUGCCAAAAGAUGCGUUAGUGCAAAAGCUAAUCUGCAAACACAAAGGGCUAAUACCCGAUUCAAACGUUAAGGCGUGCCAGUCGAUUUGACCUUACAAUCGACAAAGGUGGUAACUCGAACACUUUGGUCCCGACAACAGCGAUGCUCCCGGAUGUCACGGCCAAGAGGUGCUCAUGCGGAACUUGAGAAUACACCAAGUUUGACUCGACAAAUUCCUAAGAACUCGUAGUAAAAGGAAAAUAUGACGAAGUCGUCAAAAAAGUAGAUGCUGCAAUAUGUGUAAAAACUUGUGUUUGAUUGAUUGAUAGAUAUCCCAUUACAUUGACAUGGGGUCUACAUUAAUACCCUGACCAAAAGAGUUACAACCAGACACGACUAGGACUCAAAUUCCAAAUUGAACAGAAUCCAUAUACAAAACGAACUCUAAUAACUAAGGAAAACAUUAAACUAUCCUCCACAACCGAUCGGUACACGGCUAUGAGCAAAUCGGCAACCCCCGCAUCUUCCUCUAUGACCAUCGGCAGACCACUGUUGAUAUUUGGGAACGCAAUAAGGAAUUGAUCCGCAAGCGCACGGAUAUCGGUGAGCACUUCACCCGGGAAAUUAUCCAGAGUAUCGUAUUUAUUUUUUUUACCACUAGGAGAAAGAGUGCAUCUGACUAACCGGUCUAUUACUACUAACCUUUAGGCACAAAGAAUGUCUUUCAAUGUAAGUGAUAAAUAGAGAAGACUGCAACCGUAGUCUCCUUCUAACCUUGGUAAGGAUGACCUAUUGUUCUAAUGGGGAGGCUAACGGAAUCUAGACACCACAAAGGAUGUUCAACCCGCACCUAUAAACCCUAUCCUUCCUGCUAACGAGAUGUGAUCUACAAAGGUAGCUCGGAAUUGUCACGUUCCUCACUACUACCACGGUCCAGCUAGUCAGGGAAUAUCUAUGAGUACCCCAGCCUAAACACCAAGUUUACGCCAGCAAUGAUUAGUCUAAACUCUACGCGAAGAGAUUAAAGUAAACUCAUAAACCAUAAGAACAAUAAAACAAGAACUUACUAGAAUUUGAAGUCGAAUUACUGAAGAAUCCUAGGAGCAAGCUUCGGGUUAGGAGAACUUGAUCCCGCAGGUACAAGCUUGGAGUAGACACCGACAGGCCAGGCUUCCUCCACUCUACACCUCCACUCUAUCUCUCUCAAUCUAGUAGAAACUAGAAGAUCUAUUUCUACCUUACAUUGAUUGCUAAGCCUAAAAAGAAAUAUUAAUUAGAGAAGAGGUUUUCCUUCGAGGGCACCCCUCAGUCUCUAUGAUAAUUUCUUCAUGUCUUCCAGGGGCCAGGGGGGCCUCGCUUAUAUAGUCCUCCCCUUCUAUGCGUUUUUGGGUCGAUAGCCUAGGUGGUACUAUGUUUUUCUUGAUCCCAUAGGUCGGUGGAAUAUCUCGAGCGAAGGAGUCCUGAAUUGGCUCCAGCAGGGGGGCGGGCGCCCUGGGCCUGGCCCAGCUUCGCCUCCGCUUCGGUCUCGUGGCUUCUGGAGUCUUCUAGAUGAUGUAAAAUUGCGCGGUGCGUUGAUAUCUCUAUGUAAUCCCGACAUGUGGGCCUUUCUUCCUUAUUUCCUGAUAACCCCCUGCAGAAACAGAUAAACAACAAAACUCGUGGAAUUCUGUCAGAUCAAACCCUAAUUCUAGGUGAUGGUUGCAUAUUGGUCCUUUCUCUUGUUUAUUUGAUAAUUAAAAUUGAUACUUAAGAACCGUCAACAAAUACCCCCAUACUUAGGCUUUUACUCGUCCUCGAGAAAAGGAUGGUUAAGAAAAAUAUCUGGGGUAAACAUUUAAAAUAUUCUCUUUAUAAUUGCAGGGUGUUAAAAUUCCACUGUGUACCAUAGUCAGGGAUGUAUAUGAUUAAGAGUAAAGAUCCUUUCUUCUCAAUCCUGUCACUUGGAGUUUUUGUAUAUUUUUGAAAGAAAGUUAGCAUACCUUUUGAUCCUCAUAGGUUCUCUCAGAUCACUCAUUAUCUUUUAUAUAUAUCUCACUGAGGCUGUUUUAAUUUUGCAAAAAUUCUCAAGCAUACUUACUUUGCAUUUAUUGCCUGAUCAAAACGGGAUCCGAGGAGGGGAAUUUCAUACUCUUAGAUCAAAGACUUUAGAAAUUAAAAACUUUGUCAACUCUUGCUGGCAUAUUGCUUAUUAGAGGGACCAUGGGCUAUCAUUUUUUUUUAAGUGGAUACCGAGGUACCCCUAAUUCUACUGCCGGACACUUGUCCAUUUUUUUCUGCGAGGUUGUCGAGCACUUGCUCCUUUUUAUUUCCUCGAAAUAUCUUCUAUUUUUGCAUAGCCCAUGCCUCUAAUGCAAUAAUACUUCGGAAGAGUGAAUCUUACUAAAAUAGUGUCUUGAUCUUGGGAGCAUGAUAAAUCUCUCAACAAGGGUCUAACUCAUUUUGAACAAACUCAAUACAGAGCAGAUAGCUUUUAUAACCAUAAUUAAUAUAUUUAUUUUCAGUUUUAUCAGGCAUAUAAAACACUGGGGAUGGUAGCUAGGAAUUUGAAUAUUUUGAAAUAAAUUCUCCAAGCAACCAUGAUAUCAAGAAUAAGAAACUCAUACUCUACCAUCACAUAUUCCAUAUUGACUUAAGUAACACAGGGUUUUAAAAUGAUUUUAUACUAAUUGCAAGUUUUCAGGAAAUAUCACAGAUUGAGAUUAAUCAUGAUUAGAAAUAUUUUAAUCUUUUUAUUUUAUCAUGUCGGAAACAGUAAUCUGCAUAAUCCAAAAUAAAUAUAUGUGUAAAGUAAAGUGUGCAGAGUGUGUACCUGAAUCGUGGAGUGGUGUAGUUGGAGUGUGUUUGGCAUGUUGAGGGAUCUCCCCCAUACUUGUUUUCUGCUUUCUUGCACAAAAAUAAAGUAGAGACACACAAGACAUAAUAAUAAUACUCUUUAUUGAUCUUGAGGCAUUUAUUACAAAAGACUGAUAGCAAACUGAUAGCAAACUAAUAAUAGCAAACUUAAACAGAAUUUAAAGAUAACUAAGAUGUAUUGCCUCAAGGUCUAAUCUAGAUAACUUAGCGGCGCUCUAAUUCCUUGAUCUUCUUGUUGGCACUGGCAAGAUCCUGCCUAAGGCCUAGUAUAAUGGUGUUGUGGUUAGAGAGCUACCUAGUGAGGGAAUUAAUCGAGGACUGGAGGUCUAUGAUAAUUCUAUCUAGCCUGCGAACUUCCUCAUCAAUAUCCAUUAUAGUCUUGCGACGCUUGGGAGGUGUCUCAAAAGCAUUGAGAGCGUGCUUCGGGGCUGCCUUUGGAGAGAUGAAACGGACUUUGGAUGCUCUAAUCCCUUCAAAGUAAGGCCUUUCCUCCUCCGUAGUGUAGCGAACGCUGCUGAUCUCGCCGCUUCGGUUGGUCUUGACUCCAACGACCCUCUCAUUGGGUCUAGGUGGAAGGACUCUUGUGCCGAUUGGCACCUUGAUAGUGGUCUUCGUCUUGGAUGAUGGUCCUUUGAGAAGUAGGGUUUGUGGUGGUGCGGUGAGAACUGGUUGAGCAUGGCAAGAUUGGGCGGAGCUGCAUUGACGUAAUGGCAUGGCUUCUAGCUGACGUUCUGUGUUGGCCGGGACGAGAGCACGGGCGUCGGGGUCUUCCACUGGCUCCAUGUUGAGGUUGAAGGGGACGACUUCCCAAUCGUCGUGGUACUUGUCGGCCAUUGGAGUAGCAAGGAACUAAUAAAAUUUUAAUUGAAGGAGAGCUAAUCAAGCUCUAAUUGAAGGAGAGCUAAUCAAGCUCUAAUUGAAGGAGAGCUAAUCAAGCUCUAAUUGAAGGAGAGAAAGCUUGGUGGCUUGGUGUUUGAAAACUGAGGUCAGGGGUCUGUUUAUAUAGGGGUCAAAAGGAUGCCUCUAUGGGUUGUUCGGGUUGCUCCCGUCGAUGUGCGUGCGAAACUUUCCAUCCGAGGGAUUAUUCGGAUCACCCUAAGUGCAUUUUCCAUAACAGAGAAAGUCGGGACCGAGGGGGAACAGGGGCAGGGCGCCCGCCCUCUCUCUGGCCCCUCUGUGGGCCCACUUCUCCGAGCGCGUUUCUAGAUGCGAAAUUAUUUAGAAAAAUAUAUAUAUGCCCCAAAACCAUCAGACCAAAAGUGUCGGGCUCUAAUUUUCUAUGGGAAGGUAAAAAUGGACUACGUCUAUUUCUUCAAAUUCCUCAUUGGGCUCUAAAAAUAAUUUAAGACAUUGACCAUUUACCUUGAAUAACGUACCUUCGUUAUUUUGAAGUGUGAUAGCUCCGUGGGAUGAUGAAUUGAUUACCUUGAAUGGUCCUUCCCAUUUGCUCCGGAGUUUUCCAUGCCCGAAAAGCUUUACCCUGGAAUUAAAAAGUAAUACCUUAUCUCCGGGUGUGAACUCCUUCUUCUUGAUUCUCUUAUCAUGCCACCUCUUGACUCUUUCUUUGUAGAUCUUUGAAUUGUGAUAUGCCUUCUCUCGCCAUUCUUCCAAUUCUGAUAGUUGCAUUCUUCUAUAAUCUCCAGCAACAUCUAGGUCCAUAUUCCAUCUCUUUAUGGCCCAGUGUGCUUUGAAUUCUAGUUCAACAGGUAGAUGGCAAGUCUUCCCGUACACCAAUUGGUAUGGAGACAUUCCAAUUGGGGUCUUGUAUGCUGUCCGGUAUGCCCAGAGUGCAUCGGGUAACUUGUCUUUCCACGCCGUUCCCAUUUCAUUUACUGUCUUCUGAAGAAUAUUCUUGAUUUGUUUGUUGGAAGUCUCUGCUUGGCCACUUGUCUGAGGAUGAUAAGGGGUAGCGACAUUGUGACGGAUUCCAUGUCUUGAUAGAUAUUGCUUGAAACGUUUGUCGAUGAAGUGUGCUCCUCCAUCACUUAUCACUACUCUGGGAACUCCAAAUCUUGGAAAUAUAAUUUCUUCAAACAUCCUCUUUGAACUGACGUUGUCGGCAUGCUUGCAAGGUAAUGCUUCUACCCACUUGGAGACAUAGUCAACCGCCACCAAGAUGUACUCACACUUCUUUGAUGGAGGAAAUGGACCCAUGUAGUCUAUUCCCCAGACAUCAAAGAGCUCAAUCUGAAGGUUGUUGGUGAGUGGCAUUGCAUCCCUUGCAUUUAUGUUUCCGUGUCUUUGACAUGGCCCACAUCUUCUGAUAUAUUGCUUCGUGUCUUCAUACAUUGUAGGCCAAUAGAAUCCACACUGCCAGAUCUUUGAAUGUGUACGGAAUGCUCCAUAGUGACCUCCAUAUGGUGAUGAAUGACAUCUGUCAAUGAUCUUCCAUCCUUCCUCAGUGGUCACACAUCUCCUGAGUAAGCCAUCAGAGCAUACUCGGAAGAGGUAUGGCUCAUCCCAUAUAUGUGAACGACUUUCUUGAGUAAGCUUCUUCUUGUUUGCUCCUGGUGGUACAUACCCUGAAACCAUAAAAUUAACAAUAUCUGCAUACCAGGGGUCAGACCUGUUAAUCCCGUAGAGCAUGUCGUCCCGGAGUGAAUCAUUGAUGGGGGUUUCCUGUGGACUCUUAAAAUACAUUCUAGACAAGUGAUCAGCAACAGAAUUUUCUACUCCUUUUUUAUCUUUUAUUUCUAAGUCAAAUUCUUGGAGUAAUAAGAUCCAUCUAAUCAGGCGAGGUUUAGCAUCUUUUUUAGUGAGCAAAUAUUUUAAUGCAGCAUGAUCAGUGUAAACAAUUAUUUUAGCUCCAACUAAAUAAGAUCUAAAUUUAUCUAUGGCAAAGACAACAGCCAGAAGCUCUUUUUCAGUGGUUGCAUAAUUAAGCUGAGCUCCUGUCAAAGUUUUACUGGCAUAAGCAAUUGCAUGAUGCUUCUUAUCUUUAGUUUGUCCUAAUACUGCCCCCACAGCAUAAUCACUAGCAUCACACAUAAUUUCAAAAGGCAACGACCAAUCAGGGGGUUGAAUGAUUGGUGCAGAGAUGAGUGCUUUCUUUAAUAAAUUGAAAGAUGUUAGACAUCCAUCAUCAAAUUCGAAAGGAGCAUCCUUGGCUAGCAAAAGAGUAAGUGGUCUAGCAAUAAAUGAAAAAUCUUUUAUGAAUCUACGAUAAAAACCAGCAUGGCCAAGAAAACUUCGAAUUCCUUUUAUGUUCACAGGUGGAGGUAGUUGUUCAAUUACUUCAAUUUUAGCUUUGUCUACCUCAAUACCUCUUUCAGACACUAAGUGUCCUAGCACUAUUCCUUCUCUAACCAUAAAAUGACAUUUUUCCCAAUUAAGGAUUAAGUGCUUUUCUUCACAUCUUUGCAAAACCUUGUCUAAGUUUUCAAGACAACUAUCAAAAGUUUUUCCAUAAACAGAGAAAUCAUCCAUGAAAACUUCCAUAAUCUCUUCAAUCAUAUCAGAAAAUAUAGACAUCAUGCAUCUUUGAAAAGAAGCUGGUGCAUUACAUAACCCAAAAGACAUUCUACGGUAAGCAUAAGUUCCAUAUGGGCAUGUAAAAGUGGUUUUGCUUUGAUCAUCGGGAUGGAUUGGGAUUUGGUGAUAUCCUGAAUAUCCAUCUAAGAAACAAAAGAAUGAAUGGUUUGCUAACCGCUCUAGCAUCUCAUCUAUAAAAGGUAAAGGAAAGUGAUCCUUUCUCGUGGCUUUGUUUAAUUUUCUAUAGUCUAUGCACAUCCGCCAUCCUGUGACGGUGCGUUGCGGAAUUAGCUCGUUCUUUUCAUUCAUAAUAACUGUCAUGCCUCCCUUUUUGGGCACAACUUGUACUGGGCUUACCCACUCACUAUGCGGCACAGGAUAUAUAAUCCCUGCAUGCAGCAACUUAAUAACUUCCUUUUUUAACUACCUCUCUCAUAGUGUUGUUAAGUCUACGUUGGGGUUCUCGAGAGGGUGUAACAGAAGGAUCUGUUGGAAUACGAUGGGUACAAAUCAUAGGACUGAUUCCUGUAAGAUCUUGAAGUGAGUAGCCAAAAACUGAGUGAUGUUUCUCAAGAAUGGUCAUUAAUCGCAGAGUUUGAUCCUGAGUGAGUUUAUCGCUAAUGAUCACAGGGAACUCUGGAUUAUUGUUUAGGAAAGCAUAGGUAAGACCGGGUGGUAAGGUUUUAAGUUCUAUGGGGGGUCUAGGUGUUUCUGCAAACUCAUCUAAGGGUUCAGGCUCGGAAGGUUCGUCUUCUUCUUCUGUGAAGAAAGGAGUUUCGUCUUCUAAGUCUGGUUCAUCUAAAAGCUCUAGAGAUGCAGCCUUUACUUCCUCCAUAGGAUCAGGCAAAAGAUAUGACUUGGCCUUAUUAUUUAAGGAGUGUGAAAUUAUCAUUGGGAAUUGAAAAGUUUUUCCAAAAGAAAUGUGUAGCUUUCCAGUAUGACCUUCAUAAAGGAGUCUUCUAAAAGGUUGUCCUAUUAACAGGUCGAAGUCCCAUGUAUCAAAGAUAUAGAAGUUCAAGUGAACCAUGGAGCCUUCUACUGUAAGAGGUAGGACAUUAAUAAUUCCAAGACUGGGGACUAAUCGUCCCGAAGAUUCCUUUAUGACCUUUGUUGUGGGGGUUAAGAUAAGAUUUUUAAAUAGUUUAAGUGCAAAGGAUUCAGACAUAAUGUUGAUCCCCACAACAGGAUUAUAAAGAGCAUUAAAUCGAUCAGAAUUAUAAGCACAACGUAUAGUUAUAGAGGGUGUGUCCAAACGGAUCACAUCAGAGGAAAGCUCUGAUUCCUCCAACCAUUCGCUACUCAUUACUGAGAUAAGCUCUCUCAAUUGAUAUUCACUUGGUAAAUAAAUGCUAAACUGGCCGUUUUGGGGUUUGUCAAUAGAAUGGUAGUUUGAAAUAUUUCCAAAAUUGGCAAAAAGAUCGGAUUCUAUAUCCAGCAUGAAGUCCGGUAGUGGAAUUUCUUCCUCUUGUGGCUCAGAACUUGGGAUAGCUAAAGUAGAUGAAGAAUUUGGCAGAGUGUCUACUUCGGCUUCGUAGGUUUCAUCAUGAAGGGUAUUAUCCAUCUCAGCUUCUAGGAUUCUAUCUAGGAUCACUCUUGCUUCAUCAGCAGGGAUGCGAAAGAAAGAACCUCUAGACAUUGUGUGCAGCAUUUGUUUGUGAUUUUUAUGAAGACCUCGAAAAAAGUGAAAUAAAAGAACAGGGUCUUCAAGAUUAAGGUUUGGACCAGAUUCUAAAAGAUCAGAAAAACGUUUCUAGGAUUUUCCCAAAGUUUCAUUAUCUUUUUGUUUAAAAGAUAGGACUUCGAGUCUAAGGUCGGCUAUACGGUCAAGGGAAUAGAAAUCUAGACAAAAGUUGGCUCGUAAAACUCCCCAUUCACCUUGUUGUUGACUUACCUUCUGACUGUACCAUUGUCUAGCUUCUCCCCUUAGAGAAAAAGGAAAAAGCUUCCAACGUAAAGUCUUAUCAGAAAUGCCUUCAAUGCGAAGACAAUCACAUGUUUGCUCAAAAUCUCUAAUAUGAAGGUAAGGGUUUUCGUCUUCCUUUCCCGAAAAAGAUAAGUUUUGAAUCAUGGCAAUCAACCUAGAACUUAACUUAUACUGGGGUGUUUGGAUAGGCUGUGAUGAUUCCCAUGGUAAAAGGUCAGUUGCUAAAGGGAUUGCAGACUCAUGGAUCGAUUUAGAAUUUUGGUUUUCCAUAAGGUAAGAGUAAAGAAACAUAAAUAAAGGAUAUAAAAGAUAAGAAAAGAUAAAAGUAUAGUUACAAGCUAAUAGCAAGACACAGGUUAUCUCAGCAACCGUCUUUCUCCCCGGCAACGGCGCUAGAAAUGCUUGUUGAUAUUUGGGAACGCAAUAAGGAAUUGAUCCGCAAGCGCACGGAUAUCGGUGAGCACUUCACCCGGGAAAUUAUCCAGAGUAUCGUAUUUAUUUUUUUUACCACUAGGAGAAAGAGUGCAUCUGACUAACCGGUCUAUUACUACUAACCUUUAGGCACAAAGAAUGUCUUUCGAUGUGAGUGAUAAAUAGAGAAGACUGCAACCGUAGUCUCCUUCUAACCUUGGUAAGAAUGAUCUAUUGUUCUAAUGGGGAGGCUAACGGAAUCUAGACACCACAAAGGAUGUUCAACCCGCACCUAUAAACCCUAUCCUUCCUGCUAACGAGAUGUGAUCUACAAAGGUAGCUCGGAAUUGUCACGUUCCUCACUACUACCACGGUCCAGCUAGUCAGGGAAAAUCUAUGAGUACCCUAGCCUAAACACCACGUUUACGCCAGCAAUGAUUACUCUAAACUCUACGCGAAGAGAUUAAAGUAAACUCAUAAACCAUAAGAACAAUAAAACAAGAACUUACUAGAAUUUAGAAGUCGAAUUACUGAAGAAACUAGAAGAUCUAUUUCUACCUUACAUUGAUUGCUAAGCCUAAAAAGAAAUAUUAAUUAGAGAAGAGGUUUUCCUUCGAGGGAACCCCUCAGGCUCUAUGUUAAUUUCUUCAUGUCUUCCAGGGGCCAGGGGGCCUCGCUUAUAUAGUCCUCCCCUUCUAUGCGUUUUUGGGUCAAUAGCCUAGGUGGUACUAUGUUUUUCUUGAUCCAAUAGGUCGGUGGAAUAUCCCGAGCGAAGGAGUCCUGAAUUGGCUCCAGCAGGGGGGCGGGCGCCCAGGCUUCCAGGCCGGGCGCACUGGGCCUGGCCCAGCUUCGCCUCCGCUUCGGUCUCGUGGCUUCUGGAGUCUUCUAGAUGAUGUAAAACUGCGCGGUGCGUUGAUAUCUCUAUGUAAUCCCGACAUGUGGGCCUUUCUUCCUUAUUUCCUGAUAACCCCCUGCAGAAACAGAUAAACAACAAAACUCGUGGAAUUCUGUCAGAUCAAACCCUAAUUCUAGGUGAUGGUUGCAUAUUGGUCCUUUCUCUUGUUUAUUUGAUAAUUAAAAUUGAUACUUAAGAACCGUCAACAACCACCUUUCAUCGCCAUCGGCAACCUUCAGGACUGGCCAUCGGCAACCAUCAGCACUGGCCAUCGGCAUGAACGCAUCACCACUCCUAGACUUAGUCAUAUUCGGCUGCUCUUCCAUCGGCAUCGACCUUCAUUGGCAACUCCCUUGUAGACUAGUCACCAUGCUCCAUCUGCCGAUCUACAUUUCAUUAACUCCAGGUGCGCCUCAAAAGAUAUGUGUCCAAAAACGGUGUCAACACAAAUUUAGAUGCGACGAACCGUCCUAGUUCCACUACAAAAAGAGAGGCACUCCCCCCUUUUCAACACACACAUCAUUUGGAGUCAAUUAAGCUCACACCUCUCACUUGAAUCUUUAGUCUAUAUUAGUCGUAGAGCAAGGCAAGAGCUAGCAAGGAGAGGUUGUCUCUUUGGAAGAAAGGAUCUUCUUGGUAUGAAUAAUAUUCAAUCUUCUUCCAUGAGCAAGUUAUAUUUAUCUUUAUAUGAUUAUGCAUAUGAACUAGAGUAUGGUUGUGUUCUUAUCAUGUUCAUAGUAUAUGAACUAGUUCUUAGUUCUUGUGCUAUGUUCUUGAUAUGUUCAUCAUUGUUCUUCAUUGUUCAUCAGAUUAGUAUGAUUAGGAUUAGAAUUAGGAAUGAGAUGAUGGUUCACUGUGCUGUGAUGGCUGCUCUUAGCCUAGCCUGUCACUACGAAGGGGUGGGCCCCGCAGGGGUUAGGAGUUGUUUCCAAUUACGUGAACAUGGUGUUCAGGUAUGCAAGAAUCAGUGGAUGUACGAGUAUCUUUCGGGUAGAGGGGUAGGUGGUAGGUUAGUUAUAGCUCUGUCAUCCUUUGCAUUCCCUCACGAUCAGGUAUUCUGAUAGGAGUUCUGUAAAGUCUCUAUCGGCUGGGUAUCCAGCUGCGGGGAUCUCCCCUCAUCUCAUGCUUGGUUCUAACUCUAUUUGUUGCUAAUUAGAUGAUCCGCUAACAGUUCUAUGCAUAGUUAUAUGUGACCCAUGCCUGCUCAAGUAGAUUUAUUUCUUUAUUAUUUAUUUAUUAUUUCUCUUCUAUUUUUAUUCUUUAGUUAUAUGUGACCCAUGCCUGCUCAAGUAGAUUUAUUUCUUUAUUCUUUAUUCUUUAUUUAUUAUUCCUCUUUAUUUAUCAUUUCUCUUCUAUUUUCAAUAAGUAAUCAUUUUUACACCAUGUUUGAUCCCUUUGCCUUCCUACGGGAAUUAUAAAUUCGACACCCUUGAAUACUCACGGGUUGAAAUGUUACAAUGAUAGUUUUGUCCGCUUGCAAUUAUAUUACUUCUUCAUUCAUGAACUAUCAAUUGGCGUACCUAAGUACCAUUACUUAAGAUUGUAAUCAUUGUGCACUUUCAAGCGUAGUGCCACAGCUUUGCAUAUCGCAAGUAAGGAUGGUUAGGAAGGCCAAUCCAGCAUUCCUAAUUAUUGUUACCAGACUGCACUGCUAAGGUCGGCGCCCUUGAGUUGCCUUGGGUUAUCUCUCUGAUGUAGCGAUAGUUACGGUAUGCCAACACCCAACAUUUCUGGUGUCAUUUAUAAGGAUGGAUCUAUGGUCUAUUUUUAGUAAUGAUGCUAAGAAAUGCCAACACUUCCCAUGGCAAUAGAGAUGGUUGCUACAAUAGCAAGCCGUGUUGAUGGCUUCACUCCAAAAUUAAUGACUAACAUUGUAUUCACGAAGCAUUGAUCUAGCCAUAUCAAUAUUCUAUUCUUUCUUUCAACUACAUCAUUGGAUUGAGGAGUGUAUGUUGGAGAGAAUUGAUGUCCAAUGCCAAGAUCAUCACAUAAUUCCUCAAUUCUUGUGUUCUUGAAUUCACUACCAUUGUCACUUCUAAUCUUCUUUAUAGUGGUUUCAAACUCAUUUUGCAUCAUCUUGACAAAAGAAUUGAAUAGAUCACAAACAUCACUCUUGUCAAAGAGGAAGAACACCCAAGUGUAUCUAGUGUAGUCAUCUACUAUCACAAAUCUAUAUUUGUUGCCACCAAUGCUAGUGUAUGUUGUUGGCCCAAAUAAAUCCAUGUGCAACAGCUCAAAUGCCUUUGAUGUGCUAAUUUCACUUUUCUUAGGAUGUGCAUUUCUAACUUGCUUUCUGGCUUGACAAGCACUACAUGGUUUAUCCUUCUCAAAGGUGACAUCCUUCAAGCCUCUAACUAAGUCAUGCCUCAAUAGUUUGUUCAAUUGUUUCAUUCCAACAUGACCAAGCCUUCUAUGCCACAACCAACCCAAACAUGAUUUGCUAAUUAGGCAAGAUGUCAAUUGAGUGUCACUAUCAUUGAAAUCAACCAAGUAUAAGCUACCAUGCCUAAAACCUUUGAAUAUCAAGUUUGAUCCAUCAACACUAACCACCUCAACAUCAUCACUACCAAAGAUGCACUUGAAACCAAGGUCACAAAGUUGUGCAAUUGACAAGAGAUUGAAAUCAAAGCUCUCAACUAGCAACACAUUUGAUAUGCUCAUGUCAUUUGAGAUAGAAAUUUUACCAAGCCCCUUGACCUUGCCUUUCUUGUUGUUGCCGAAGGUGAUAGAAUGAAAGCCACCAUUUUGUUUGUAUCAAUUGAUUUGAACAUACAAGACUCUUCGGUCAUAUGUUGAGUGCAUCCACUAUCAAGCACCCAAUGCCUUCCUCUGGCUUUGUAAUUCACCUACAAGACAAGAUUAAUUCUUUUUAGGUACCCAAACUUGAUUGGGUCCUCCAAGGUUAGCAACUAAGCUCUUUGGUACCCAAAUGGCUUUCUUCUUUGAGCCCAUCCAUGGUGCACCAAUGAACUUAGCGUGAACACCUUUUGUAUCCUUGGUAAGCACAUAGAAAGAAUUAAGCUUAAUUGAUGAUACAUGAGCUUUGAGAUUCUUGUUCAUGCAUUGUUGCUCUAAGUGACCAACUUGCUUGCAAGUUUUGCAAUAUCGGGCAUUGUUCUUCACAAAGCUAGCCUUGUGAGGAGCAAAGGCGGCCUUGCCUUUCUUGGGGUUAUAGCCUAAUCCCUCUUUAUAUAGAGAAGCUCUUUGGUUACCCAAGCACAUAAGCAAGCGGUCCUCACCACCAUAAGCCUUGGCUAAGGUGUGAUUGAGCUCUUUCACCUCCUUCUUGAGAAUUUCAUUCUCAACUUUUAGUGUGAUCUCACAUGUGAAACCACCACUACUAGAUGAGGAUGAUGUAGAUGUGCUACAUGAAGGGUUAGUGGAAGCAACAAUAAUAGGCUUACUCAAGAUAUCACAUGUUAUGCCUAUGUUGCAAGUUUUAGCUUUCUCCAUUUUAGUUGGCUCAUUUUCACACUUGUUAACUAGAGAGGAAUGAGCUUCUUCAAGCUUAGUGUGAGCCUUUUGAAGCUUCUUAUGGUCUUCCUUUAGACUCUCAUAAGAUGCUCUAAGCUCAUCAAGUUCUUGCUCAAGGGUUUUCUUAUUCUUAAGCAAGGCCUUGUACUCCUUCCUAGUUUCUUUAUAGUGAUGAGUACAAUCUUCUAGCAUAGUGAUUAGUUCAUCUUUAGUUGGUUCAUCAUCAUCACUAUCACUAUCACUAUCACUAGCAUGGUCACUCUCAUCAUCGGAUGAUACCUUAGUGGCUUUAGCCAUGAAGCAUGAUGGAGUGUCGAAGACGGAGCUUUUCUCUUGAAUAGCAAUGCUAGCAUGCCCCUUCAUCUUGAUGCUCUCAUCAUCACUUGAGGAGUCAUCACUAUCCCAAGUUGCAACAUGAGCAUCACCCUUCUUCUUGUUUGAGCCUUCCUUCUUUUCUUUCUUCUUCUUUUGCUUCUUUCUUUCCUUCUUGAUAGCAUCUUCAUCAUCACUAUCAAAGGGACACUUGGCGAUGAGAUGAUCCUUGCUAUGGCAUCUAAAGCAUCUCAUGGAAUGGUCAUUCUUCUUGGAGAAGCUCUUCUUCCAUCUUGCCCGAUAACCCUUCUUCUUCAUAAACUUGCCAAAUCUUUUGACAAGAAGAGCCAUCUCCUCAUCUUCAUCACUAUCACAAGAGCUUGCUUCUUCUUCACUUGAUGAUUCUAUCUUUGCUUUGCCCUUGGAUGAGGAGGCCUUGAAUGCCACACUUUUCUUCUUCUCAUCAUCCUUCUUCUCAGCAUCCUUCUUCUUCUUCUUGAUCAACACAUCCUUCUCAUCAUCUUCUCUAUAAGCAUCAUCGGUCAUCACUUCUUGGAACACUUGUUGAGGAGUUGAUUCACUAAGUGUGGUCUUGACUAGCAUGGUGAUCAAUGUGUCAAAUCUCUUGGGCAAGCUUCUCAAGAACUUCAUAGAGAAUUGACUAUCUUUUACUUCUUCCUCAAGUGCCUUGAGUUCAUUCACUAUGACUUGCAACCGGUGAAACAUCUCCGGCACACUUUCAUCUUCUUGCAUCUUGAAGCUUGAGAACUUUUCUUGAAGAAUGUAUGCCUUGGCAGUUUUGGUUCCCUUGGUGCCUUCAAAUGUUUCUUCUAGCUUUGCCCAUGCAUCAUGAGCAACCUCGAUGUUCUUGAUUUGCUCAAAGGUGUUGUCAUCAGGAGCUUCAUGAAGAGCACUUAUUGCAAUGUCAUUACAUUGAAGCUUCUUUUCUUCAACCGGUGUUGGUGCAUUCUCAUUUGCAACCUCAAACUUUGUUUCGGUCACCUUCCAAACCUCUCUAUUGAUUGACUUAAGAUGAGCGGUCAUCUUGACCUUCCAAUAUGCAUAAUUUGUGCCAUCAAAGAAAUUUGCCUUCUUGGUGUUGUUGAUAUGCAAACUUAGAGCCAUUUCUUCACCGUAGAUUGUUAAGCCUCAAAUAAACCGUGCCUCAGCUCCGAUACCACUUGAAAGGUCCAAAGGGCUAGAUGGGGGUGAAUAGCCUAUUUGAAAUUUCUACAAACUUUACUAAAUAAGUGAGUUAGUAAACUAAGUGCUGAAGCUAUUCUAGCACUAGCACAGCUAAGCUAUGCAAGCCACCUACACAAGUCUAGCAAGAAAGCUAAACACUAAACCACAACAACUAGAGAAGGCUACACAACAAUUAAGCUAAACAAGCUAAACUAAAAAGGUAUGGCAAGUAUGUAAAGAGAAGAGAGUGAUUUUUAUACCGACGUUGUAGAGAUGAGAUAUAUCCAAUCAAUCGCAUGCACAAUUUUAAUUGAGACCUCGGCAAGAGAUGACACAAGGUGGUAGAAUUGUAACACCCCAAAAUUUGCAAGUUUUCAAAAUAGGAAAAAUUAUUUUUAAUUGUGUAUUUUUGUGCCAUGAAAUAUAGGAAAAUUAAUAUUUUCUUUAAAUUAAAAUUUACUAUAGGAGUUAACAACUUGUUUGAGCAUGCAUGCCUCUGCAUUGGGUUUAUUGUGAUGAGUGGUUUUGGCUAAAGGUUAAAAAGAAUUCAAAUUUGGCUUUGAAAAUGUUUUGAAAUAGGUUUGUUUUUCAAAGAAAAGGGAAGCAGAAAAUAAAAAGAAAAGAACCCUUCCCUCUGGUUUUGGCCCAAGGGCCCAACUCCUUCCCUCCCCCUAUUUUUCCGUCGGUCCAGAAGCCGCGGCCCAGUCACCCCCUUCCUCCCCCGCGCCAGCAUCCCUUCCCCCCUCUCUUCUUCCACUGACGAGCGGGUCCUGCGCCCUUGAGUCACUGCCAGGUGGGGCCCACCUGUCAGAUCCGUCUCCCACCUCGUAACCGAGCUGGACUCGGUGGAGUUUCCGCACCGGCCACGCGCGAUCCCCGCGGCCGGCUUGCUUCGCAUGCCGAGGAGGCUUUAAAUAGCGGCCUCCGCUCCGCCGCAGUCCCCCUACCCAAUCCCAGCGCCAGCCGCCGCGUAGUUCUCGCCGAAAAGCGCCGCCAAGAUCUCCGCCGAAAGCAUCCUGCCGCUGCGACGCAUCUUCACCUCCGUAAGCUCCCUACCGAGCUUCCUAUCAUCCUUGCGAGUUCGCCAAGCCUUCUUUCUCGCGUUUUCAUGAUCUCUGCACUCUGUUUGACCUCGCCGAACUUCUCGCAGAGACCGUCGUCCGCCAUCCUUCAUCGCGAGUGCGCCCCAAUCUCUCCCCAACAUCGGUUUUGCCCUAGAUGAGUUCGCCUCGAGCUUCGUGACAUCCUGGUGCUAUCGGUUCUUUCUCUGGUGCUCUAAAUCGCCAGAUUGGCCAGCUCCGGCCAUGGCGCCGCCGUGAUUCCCUCCAACUCCGGCCGGCCAGCUCCCUUCCCCUACCUCGAUCUAAUCUCAGCCGUCCAAAUGAAAUCUGACGGCUUAAAUCGAAGGAUACCCCUUCGGCCGCGUCUUUUGCUAAAGAAACCCUGCGCUUUUUAAUAUAUAAACCGUAGUCCAAAACGCAGUUUCGAAAAUACGCUUUCUGAUUUUGAAGACGUAAACUCAGUACACAGAUUCAAAAUACGUUCUCAGAAAAUUACAAGAUUACCACUGAUUUUGUAUUGGUGAUAAAAUAUUCGUUUUAACUCAGUUUUGCUCCGUUCAAAUUGCGUUAGAUUCGUAAUCACAAGAUCUACAUGUUAGUCUCACUGUUUUACAAGUUUACAACUUUUUAUUGUCGUGACCCUAUUUAAUUAAUUAAUUUUCUAAAGAAAAUCUUAGGAAAAUCAUAACUUCUUCGUUAUAGCUCUGAUUUUCGUGAUCUUUACAUCUGUGUGAUCGUAGUGCGAUGUAGAUUUGUUUUAUAAACUUUUUAUCUUUAUUUGCUACUGUUGGUGUAUUGUUCUAAUUAUAGGUUUGUUUGCUUUGUAUGUUUGCCUCUAGAUGAUUGUUGUUGAUGUGGUGACUGAGUUUAGUCGGUGAGCUUUUACGUGGUGAUCAAGAAGCAGUUUGUGGAAGAUUUGGAACUAAAAGGAGGAUAUGAGUUUCAAGGCAAGUAUAGCAUGGGAUCAUCCUUGUUUCCUAAUAACUUUAAUCACACAAUUCAUAUUGCAUGUGUCUCUUUGUUAAGGAUUUCCUAGUAUUCAUCUUAUACCUUGUCACCUAUGGUUAUGCAUUGGGUAGCUUAUGCUCGUGCUCCACUAAACCAUGAUCUUGUAAUUUGAUUAAUGGAAUACGCAAUAAACAUUAAAAGAGGACUUUUUAGCAACUUUGGUAAAGAGGGCUGGAGAAUUGGGCUAUCCUAUGGUGCUCUAGUUUCUCUCCAUAAGGACUUAUCUAUAUAUGACCAUCCGGGACAUACAGUACAACUGUGAGGGCUACAUGGCUCUGGCUUUAGCUCAGUAUGAGGACCUUUUCUAGCUUGUUAGUGGUUACCCUUGUGGCACAAAUGGGGAAUAGCAGACCGUAGAUCCCUGCGGGUGAAUCACAUGGACUGACUAAUGAAACCAAGCGGCCCUAACUUGUUAGACGAACCUUUGAAAGGCUUCAUAGUGAACCCUGUCGACCUCCCUAGGAAGGGGGUUAAGAGAUUAGCUACCUCGAGCGAAAAGGUAAAUCAUGACUCACAGUGAAAGUGUACAACCUCUGCAGAGUGUAAAACUGAUAUAUCAGCCGUGCUCACGGUCACGGGCGGCCUUGGACCAAUACAUAAUAAAUGAUCACUAAUGGCAAAUAAUUAAUGUUAUUAUUGUUACUAUGUUGUUUAUACUAUUCUUUAUUCACUUUACUUGAUCAUGAGUUUACUAUGGGACUUGACAACUUGAUGCUACUAAUAUGCUAAAAUUGUGACAACUAAAAGCUACAUGCAGUUAAACCAGUGUCUAGCCUUUGAGCCUCAUGAAUCCUAUGUUAUUCUUGCUGGGUACGAGAUGUACUUACGCUUGCCUUUACAUUUUAUUUGGAUAAAAAUCCCGGAUGGGUACCAGAUUGCAAGCUUGGAAAAGAGUUUAGGCUUGUGCUCAACCAGUCAGUUGUCCCUGUGGAUUUGGAGCAUUCGCCCGAAGAACGGAGUGUCUUUCCGCUGUUUGCUAUCUAAGGUUAUAUCUUUUAAAUUAAGUUCGUUAUAUAUAAGCAUUGAUUAUUGAUAUUACCCUUAUUUGUGGCUAUAUGUGAGAUUUGACUUCCUGGGCUCACAUAUAGUGUGUAUCUGGUUUUGUUCUUAAAACCGGGUGCUACAGGUCAUGCCCAAGCCAAUACCAGACGAUAUACAUGAGAUAAGCUCAGGAAAUGCACACGUCAUCAUCACCAAAGUACCGUGUAACAAGACAGCUCGAGGCCACGCCGAUACGGAAGUCUCGAGUAGGUCAGCGCCAUACCCCUAUCGAGGCCUACUCGAAACACCUAUACCCUGUAACCUAAGCCUCCUCUUAGAACUAUAAAAGGGGACGCUGGGGACAACACAAGCAAGCAGAACAAGAUACGUAGAACACAGUUCACCCAUCACUACAACCAGCUAGGACUUAGAACCCUCAACUACAUUCUCUUGUAUUCGCCCUUGGACAAGCACUUAGGUGCAAGAUAAUACACACUCUCCCCCCAGAGGACGUAGGGCUUUCCUUUGCCUGAACCAGGAUAAACACUUGUGUCGUUCAUGCAUAACCAUCCGGAAAAGAGAGCACGCACACAAAUUCACUCGUUGGUGUUACCCCAGGGUCAAAACACCGAAAACUGAAUUGCUAAAUGGUUUUACUCAAUUUAAAUAUAAAUUUUUCUGGACAACAUACCCUGAGCUAAAAUCUUAUAUCCGCCACUGCCCAGAAGGCAAGUCUCCUGAUCGGUUACGAUAUAAGAGUUCUAGUAGGAUUAUAGAGUAGCAAUGUACCCGAAUACUAUGUCCCAUAAGCCCCCAAACACUGUAUGGUUGAUCUUUGGUGGCCUUCUUGUUCCUCUAGGUCUUGCGAGUAGAAACAAGCUUUGUCUAAGUGCUUCCAUCAGAGAAACUAUGUAGUGCUUUUGAAGUCAAUAUGCUUCACCUAGAGGAUAUGCUUAGCGUAUUGCUGGUUGAAAUAAAGAGUUAGGCGAUCUUGUCCGCAUUUCCUUGUCAAAAAAAAUUAAUUAAAUGCAUCCUAUGAGGAUAUGUAUUCUGCAGCCCUCGAGCCUACAAUACGACUAAGCAGAAUCGAUUAUAGGAUCUUGUAGACGUCCUCAAGGGUGCAGUUGAGUAAGGCCGUGUUUAGUUCAUAAAGAAAAAAAAUUCACGACACUGUAGCACUUUCGUUUAUUUGUGAUAAUUAUUAUCUAACCAUGGACUAACUAGGCUCAAAAUAUUCGUCUCGUAAAUUCCGACUGAACUAUGCAAUUAGUUUUUAUUUUUGUCUAUAUUUAAUACUACAUGUGGAGAAUCUUGAAAAAAAAAAGGUUUUUAGGUGGAAGUAAACAAAGCCUAACCUCCCAGGACAAUGAUUAGUGACUGUUUGUCGCCAAGUAAUUGAAUUCUUGUAAAGCCAACAAAGUUGAGGCAAUGGCCGAGCCCUCAAACUUAGUGCCGACUAUGUCAUGGAGGCCAAGAAGCCUUGUCAAAGAGGCGAAAGUAGCCAGCGUGAUGACCGAGUAGUAAGGUAGUUCUCAGGAGCAUAGUACUCCACCUAGAGUCACGGUGAGCGAGUAAGGCAACCCAUCAUGGAGGCGCGUACCUCACAUAACAGCAUAGUCCAAGGCCUUAUUUAGUUGUGAAAAGAUUUUAGAUUUCGCUACUGUAGCACUUUUGUUUGUUUGUGGCAAAUAUUAUCCAAUCAUAGACUAAUUGGGCUCGAAAAAAUCGUCUCGCAAAUUACAGACAAACUGUGCAAUUAGUUUUUGUUUUCGUCUAUAUUUAAUGCUUCAUGCAUGUGCCACAAGAUUCGAUGUGAUUUAGAAUCUUGAAAAGAUUUUGAAUUUCGGGGUGAACUAAACAAGGCCCAAAUCUGGUUUCCUGCAAGAUAAACAUACAAAAUGUUGUAGUUAUUGAUAUUCAGGAUAUGAAGUCGGGAGCAGGUCUCAUGCAUGUAAAAUAAAAGGUCGGAAGGAGAUCCCAGUGUUAUGAAAUGCAUGUAAUAUUUUUUUUCGCGUCUUGCUCUUGCUAGGCUGUUUUAAUUCCCCGAUUAGUUGACCCCUUAUUAUACUAGUUAGGUGUAAUUCCGAUUAUCCAAAGUACGUGGAGCUGUGUUACUAGUCAGUCGCCAUGGGCCAGUAGUCGGACGAGGUGUUUUGGCCUCGUGUAUGCAUGUAUGUUCUGCAUGCAAUUCUUUAAUAUACUAGUUAAGUGCCCGUGCAUUGCUACGGGAAUCACUUACGGGUCAUCGCAUACGCAUGCAUGAAUCAGUAUUUUAAUUAAAAAAAAUUUGCCGUGGUUCUGUUUUUUACAACAUCAUAUAUGUGAUAGACAUGUAUUCAUUUAGACGAAGGAUAAGAUAUUGCAUAUCAUAUACUUGCCAAUGUAAAUAUACCAAGGAACUCAAGAGCAACAUAUUUUUACCAUGAGAACAACUUCUACACUUCACCGUGCAAGUUCAGCCUACAAGUCUCACAACAAAUGACAAAGCAAUAAAAUAAAAUUAAAAGGUGGAUCAUGUAGUUUACUCCCUCAUCAUUGAACCCGAGAAAAAAAGCAAAUACUAACUCAUUGGUAUAACACUUCAGUUCACCUGACGCUAAAAGACCAUUUUUUUUGUCCUCCACAAGAAAUCACUGAACUAUAUCCAAGGAUCUAAUUACUUCCCCCCUACUCCUGUCCAGCUAAGAGUUUCAACAUUACAUCCUUUAAUCAAAGACAGUAGGAUAAUCUUUCUACCAAAUCAAUCCCUACAAUGUGACUAAAUACUCUAAAUGUGCCCAACUUAGCACCUUUAACUAACAAAACUGAUACUAUUUAGAUGGAAAACAACUUGAUAACAUUGACCAAUAUGGUUAGCAAAUGUAUAUCUUGCAAAUCUGUAAAUCUUGAGCACUGUCGGCUGUACUCCAUGCACAUUAUUCAAUAGCAGUAGAUAGAGUAAAGUGUAAAUAGUUGUCUGUUUCAGUUUUACAGGUAGCAAUGUCCUAGCUAGUCUUUAGGAGGACAGGUGUGUGGUGUUAGUGGGUGAUUGGUCAUAGUUAUUAGUGGUCAGUUGCCUAAGUUGUGAAUAGUUUCUAGGAGCCACUAAGUGGUUCCUGGUGACUAAUCAUGGCUUUGCAUAUAUAUAUAUAUAUAUAUAUAUAUAUAUAUAUAUAUAUAUAUAUAUAUAUAUAUAUAUAUAUAUGCAACAAAAAUAGAAAAGUUGCAAGUACCAUAUCUCUGAGUUGAGCCUCUGAUCUUGAGUGAUCCAGUUUAUAGUGAGGUUGAUUGACUUACACCAUCUCUAGCAGAGCCACUGUGCCAUGUCCCUGGCCAUCACCAACUGUGCCCUCUCCACCUGUGGCAGAGAGAUCUUCCUCCACAGAGCCAUCAAAGAAAUCAAGCAAACCUUCGAUUGAAACCUUCAAAUAUAUCAUCAAAUUUGCUGAAAGAAAUACAUCAGGUCAGAUGAUAAUAUCCAAAUCCUGAUUUGGGUGCAUAAUAAGAAGUGCAGAAGCAAUACCAGUUAUCAUCUCAAAUUAGAAUCCAAAAAUUUCCAGUCUAAUGUUUAAGAAGUGCUGAUAAGAUGUGCAGAAGCAAUACCAAUGAUCAUCUCAAAUUAGAAAGCUAAAAUUUAUAGUUUAAUGUUUAGAACUUAGGCAAACUGCUUCAGACUCUUAAACAAGUAGUUCCCAACAAAAAAAAAGAAAAUCGCAAAUGAAAAGGAUGUUUUAUUAUGGUAAGGAUAAAACAUAAUAAUGAGACGAAUAAUUAUCUAGGAUCAUACUAAUCGCUAUUGCUAUUCCAAUAAAAUAUAGGGAUCACAAGAGUUGCAUUAAGUCACACAUCUACAUUACAAAAGCUGAGUCAAUAAUUCCUCAACACAGUGAAUAUUCCAAGAACUUUAUAAAUGUAUAAUAUAGUGAAGAUCACCACACUGGUUUGGACUCUACUAAUUCCCACUAUGGAAUUUGCCAUGAAUAAUGCCAAGUUUCAUGGCAAGAACCAAGUAUCAUAAUUAGCAUAAUUAGCAUUAGCAUACCUGGGAUUGGAAAAAAUCUCUCGUUCAGUCUCAGCGGUUGGGAUAGAGGAGCGGGAUGCCUGUUGCUUUGCUGCUGCAGCUUCUCGUCCCAGACCUCGACGGGCAGCGCAAGCCAAGGUGACAAUUACCAAGACCAAGAGGGUGGGGUGGAGAGGUCCAUGACCCACGGCGUGCUUACCAAGGUGACACUGGAGGAAACAGUUUGGUGAGCAGGUUAGGAGCACGAGCCACACACCUCAACGGAGUCGGUGCUGAGGACGAAGUGGCAGCGACAGCGGAGUCGUCGUCGGAGGCUGCGCCCUCGGCGCGGGCGUCGCAGACGCACAGAUGGUCCCGGCAGGGUCUAGCCUUUUGGUCGGGGAGGACGCCAGAGAGUAGGUCGAGGGUGGCGUCACAGGAAAGAGACGCCAGGGCUGCACAAGGAGGCAGCGGCAGCGGACUCACCGGAGGUCGACGUCCUUGGCGCGGCGUCAGGGAUGCACCCAAGGUCGCGGCAUCGGAGGUUGGCAUCCGUAGAAGCGGUGCUUCGUGGCGGCAGCAGAGGUCUCCUUGGUGUCCAAUAGCAGAUCGCGGCGGUAGGGAUCGUGCCGAACUGGGCAUCUUGCGCGAACGCUCGAUUCUGCUGAUGCCUAGGCAGUGCGCGAUAGAAGGGGAGAAUCGUGGGAGGCGUCAUGCAUGGGCUUUCUCCAAACCGGAGGCAGCUGCGAAAGCAGUCUAGCACCGGGGCUAAGCAGCUGAGGAGCUUGCGUCGUGUGAAUGGCGUACUGUGGCAGCAGCCGCGGCGGCGGAGCGUGACAUGGUCGUGGUCGAGCGCGUGUAGAGAACGGGCUCACUCGCGCGUGCAGAGAACGGGCUCACCCGAGCGCCUGGUGUGCGGGGAUGAGUGCGUCACGGUUUGCCUAUUCACGCAGGGGAGCUGCGGUGGAAGGGAACGUGCGCGAGUGGAAGGGAGCCGCGGUAGUUUUGCAUAGCUGGCCGAGACGAAGCGUGCUGCGAAUGAGGGGAGGCAGGCCGAUAGGUAGCGGAGACAAUAACAUUUGUCUCUUUUUAGUUGUAGAGAUUCAAGUAUGUACGCGUGACAGAUAUCUUGCAUGGCUCUGAAGAUGUACGUCGUCCUUCCUUACUUAGUUGCUUCGAUCAUUGUUAACUACUCAAUCUAUCCUAAAAUGUUUACCUUUUUACACUAGUUCUAACUAUUCGUCUUAUUCAAAAAUUUAUGCAAAAUAUCACUUUUUUUACCAUGACUUAAUUUAUUAAUAAAAGUUCUACAAGAAUAGCUUAAAUUUAAUUAUGUUUGUAUAAAUUUUUUGAAUAAGACGAGUGAUCAAACUUGAAGUUAAAAAAGUCAAACGACUUAUAAUUUGCGAUAAAGAGAGUAGUAAUGACAGUCCAAGUAUGUCCGAGUUUGCCUCCGCCGCUAGCUGUUGAUUGCAACCCGAAUCUAACUCCUGCAGCCCUAGAAGUAGUUUGUUGGAGUCGGAACGUAGCUGCAUGGCUGAAUCGAAUGAACUCCUUGUUGCCUCGUUUGCAUACAUCUUGCAUGUGGUCGAUCGAUAUAGCCUGAUUGAUGAUCAACAUAACGCCCGAUGCCAGGCUUGCAGAAGCAGAGCCUCGUGCGGGUGCGUGGGUACGGUCAACUCAAUUGGAAGGGGAGACCCGACCUGAGCACGAUCCGGCACCACGGCAGGUGAAUGUGGUGAAGCUUCUGUGCAGCGUCUCGAGAUCGGACGAUGCGAUGAGCCUACUGUUGUUCCAGCACACCUCCUCAACGGUAGCUUGUACAAGUAGUUGGCUACACGGACCAUCGCCGAGGACUUGCUGAUGAUUUGAGGUCCGUCGAACACUACACACUUGCCACUACUACAGAAUAAGACAUUAGUCGAUAUCCAAAAUGGCCAAAAACAUCGGUCUUUUUGCGGUCCGGGGUUAAACACGCCUUUAGCACCGGCUUGUAACACCAACCGGUGCUAAAGGGUCCUACCCAACGGCUACUGACACGUGCUGUCGGGGCAGGGACCCUUUAGCACCGGUUCGUGUUACAAACCGGUGCUAAAUGGUCCCCUUUAGCACCGGCCAGCGCGACGGGCCGAGGCAAACCCUUUAGCACCGGUUUUUUCCCUGAACCGGUGCUAAAGGUCCAGUUUAUAGGCCGGCUCCCUCCUCCCCUGUGCCCAUUUGAAACCGAGAGCACCAUUGUUGUUCUUGAAGCUUCUUCUUGCUUGUUCUUCAUUUGAAACCGGUGUCUUUCCACUGGCGGUUUGGUUAAGUGAAACGCUUGUAGAAAGUGUUUUACACUAGCGGUUCACUUAAUGAAACCGCUAGUGGGAAUGCACAAUUUUCACAGGCGGUUCAAUUAAGUGAAUCGUCCAUGUAAAUGUUUUUACACAGGCGGUUCCUUAAGCCAGCCGUGAGUGAAGUCUCUAGUACAAAUAUCUCUUCUUUCUCCCUGAGCAGAGCUGUUUCUCGCAGCCACCAUCCAGAGGAGACCAUUUUGAAGCUCUAGUUUUCACAAAAUACACACUAUACCACAACCCAAACUAGUGUCCGGCCAAGGGUCGCUAGAGAUAUGAAAAUAGCGUUGGACGGUUGGUCGAUAUAGCUUAGCGGCUUAUGGUCCGAUGCUAUAUUUUGUUUUGGCGUCCGUCGGUUGGACGCUAGUUUUAUUUGGGUUUACCGUUGGACGGUCGGACGCUAUUUCUUAUGAACUGGGUCCGCCGGUCGGUCGCCAUAUUGGAUUGGUCCCACGCGCCCAACUUCCCUUGAUUUCGCGCCUACAAAUUUAGAGGACGAAAACGUCAUGGCGCCCUUCUCUGUCUUAAUUGGCGCCUAAAUUUUUGGAGGCCCACUUGUCAGAUGAAAAAACUAAAACCUAGCCACUCCAAUCUAAUUUACAGCAUCCUCGCAGACUCCAGAAACCAGUUCGUGACCCUCCCAUGCUCGCAUCCUCGCAGCGCCGUGCCGUCACCCCCAGGCCGACGUCUCCCAGGCGCCCCGCCCAGGCCAGCGUCUCCCCGGAGCCCGGCCCAGGCCGUGCGUCUUCCCGGAGCGCUGCCCAGGCCGGCGUCUCCCCGGCGUGACGCCCAGGUCGGCAGCCCUUCCGCUCGCCAACCAGGCCGGCGGCCCUUCCGCUCGCCGCCCAGGCCGUCGACUCUCCGGCGACCCCGCCCCGUCCACUACGGUGGUUUCCCAUCGAGUGCCCUUGGCAGCACCUAGGGGUGGAUCUGUUCCCCAUCGAGCAGGCAGCAACCAUGAGCAGGCAACACUUUGAGAUCUUCUUUAAUCAAAUUCAAAGGUAAAUAUCAGUUGCCAUUUCAUCAUUGCUCAAUUUGCUUUGACGAGGACACACGCUCACAUGUUUAGUCUUGUUGAAGAUUUGGCCGGAUUUGAUUGUGUGCUAGCUUGCUUCUGUCGGUUGACGGAUCUCUAUAUUACAAAAUUUUUGAAGCAACUAAGUACAUACUUAUUUCUGUGCGAGAAGUGCAACCGUACAAGGACUCUGAAUUUUUGGGGCCUCAAAUUUACGGUCUGUCAGUCUAAAAAUUGUUUCGAUACUACAUCUUUGCCGUCCAUUCGACUCCGAGACGAGACCUGAUCAAAGUCAAUCAGUUGACUCACUAAUUUCCUAUCCAUCCACCGAUCAAUGUCCACCUGCUUUGUCUGUCAUCUCGCCAUUUUCUGCUAUGCCUGGAAAGUUGACGGAUCUCUAUAUUACAAAAUUUUUGAAGCAACUAAGAACAUACUUAUUUCUGUGCGAGAAGUGCAACCGUACAAGGACUCUGAAUUUUUGGGGCCUCAAAUUUACGGUCUGUCAGUCUAAAAAUUGUUUCGAUACUACAUCUUUGUCGUCCAUUCGACUCCGAGACGAGACCUGAUCAAACUCAAUCGGUUGACUCACUAAUUUCCUAUCCAUCCACCGAUCAAUGUCCACCUGCGUUGUCUGUCAUCUCGCCAUUUUCUGCUAUGCCUGGAAAGAAACCUGAACUUCUGAAGUCUGUUAUACGCCUAUGCUGAUUUACAAACUGGCGAACUGCCAUAGAGGCUGCAGGCUAAUUGGUAGUUGUCAUAUAUAGUAUUUUACUGUUGGAAUUAUUUAUAUUGAUUAAUUACUUACUAAAUGCUAAACUUUGGCCAGUUUGUGUAGAACUUUUGUGCUGGAAUUAUUUGUUUAAGAGGUUUGCUAUAUAAAACAUUUUAAUAUAUAUAUUGUUGUCAUUAUUUUCAGGGCCUAUUUUAAAUUUUCGAACAAGGUCCCGGAUUUUGUCGGCACGGCCCUAUUUCUACAUUACACAUUCCUACUAAUAUUGAUAUAUUUAAAAAAUUUAGUACAUUUCAUAUAGUUUAAUAAAAACAAUAUAAUUCCUUGCAAAAUAAUACAAACACCAUGAGAAGUGUUGAGUGUUAUUGCUGACCACAUGCAUGUUAUAUGUUCCCUGCUGACCAACUAAUUUUUUUCUCUCUGUAGCUCAAGAUUCAUAGAAUUUCUCUAACUGACAAUAUUUUUUGUUGUGUUGGAGUGUCUAAUGCUUUGGAGUCUCUUUUGUAACAGAUGGGAUUUAUCGAUAUGAUAUGAAAAGCAGGAGGGAGUAGUAGGAGCUGUUGUGCUGAAGCCAGGAGUCAAGAUCUGGGAGGUGUCCUCGAGUUAAGAUCCGGUGUCGUUCGAACAAGCAGUUGUCAUCGUGCUUGUGGAUUUAAGGUGAUGCUCUCUCCCUCUCUUCCGUCUCCAUGUGUGCUUAUUUUAAGAACCAUUAAUUUUUGGUGCCCCAAGUUUCAUGGAUGGAUUAUAUGAUUUGGAUAGUUUUAUGUAGGCACGAAAAGGCAUAUUUUUAAGGAGUGGAUAGUUUCUUAGCUUUUGCAUUGAGUAACUCAGCUGUUGGUAGCAAGAUUAUUGAAAUCCUACUUUAUGUAGUAUUAACAAUGAUACUCUAUGUAUUUAGAAUAAACUAAAAUCAAUUAUUGAGGAACAUCCUGAGUUGACACAAAAGUCAAUCCAAGAAGGUGAUGCAUUUGCUGCUGUUUGUGGAGAAAAAGAGCCAAAAGGACGCGUGCGUGUUUUGGGUCUAGGUCCAACUCCCCAAAGUGUUGGUACACCAGAGGUGAAGUCUUACAUACAAACAAUCAUUCAAAUGGAAGAGCUGGCCAUUAGAGAUGUAGAAUUAGCCAUAGAGAUGCACAAGCUGAGCUCUACGACAACGUAUAGUGGAGCUAGAACAACAACUGUUGGAGGAAAGGUUAGCACGUGAAAGGUCAAAUAUAGAAAACAUCUCACAGAAUGGCUCUAAUUCACAACAUCACAUGGUAAAUGUUUACACCUCCUCUAAUUCAUGGCUAAUAUACUAUCAAGUGCUACAUAAAUCUAUAAUUUGUCUUGUAUGUUUAUAGAGCCCAAGGUCUGAAGAUGCUGGUGUCGAGACACGUGUUGAAGCUGAAUUUAAUGAAAAUGAGGAUACAUAUGAAGAACAUACUAAUGAGUGUGAUUACACGACUAUGCAUAGGCAAGCUACACCCCUCCAAGUCCAGGAAUGCCCUCAGUCCAGCCCCAUUAGUGGAGCUCCAUUAGAACAAACUUCUCAUCGUCAUCCAAACCUUGUUCAUGCAAGCACAAUAGCCCAGCAGCCUCAUCAAUCCACCAAGAGAGGAGCCCCAUCCCAGCAGCCCCCUCAAUCCACCAAGAGAGCAACCCCAUCCCAGCAGCCCCCUCAAUCCACCAUGAGAGCAGCCCCAUCCGAGCAGCCCCAUCAAUCCACCAUAAGAGCAAUCCUAUCCCAGCAGCCCCAUCAAUCCACCAAGAGAGCAGCCUCAUCCCAGCAGCCUCUCAAUCCACCAUGAGAGCAGCCCCAUCCCAGCAGCUCCCUCAAUCCACCAAUAGAGCAGCCCCAUCCCAGCAUCCCCCUCAAUCCACCAUGACAGCAGCCCCAUCCCCUCAGCAGCCCCUUCAAUCCAACCAUGUUCAUGUCCAGCAGCUGCAGCCCUGUCAGGACAUAGAUACAAGGAAGGGUGAUACUAAUCAUUCCUCAUAUGACGAAUAUGUAAGUUCUCAUUCAUCCUACAAUUUGUUGCUUCUAGGUUAAUGGUGUUUUUAUUAGUUGAUACAAUUCUCAUACAUCCAUCAUUUGUUUUAGACUGGCAGAGAAGUUAUACUUUAUCCAAACAUGAAGUCUAGUCAACCUGUCGCCAAGGGAAUGGUUAUUGCAACUAAUCCUAGCUGCGUGCUAGCAGGACAGGCUCUUGGAAGGCAAAUUUGUCAAGUUGUUGUUAACCUUGUGAUGAAAAGAGAUGUUGUUUUGCCUCACCCUUAUGCAGGUGUUGAAAAUAUGGCCGAUGAAAAGGACUUGGGAAUUGCAUGGCCAUACAAUUGGGUAAUAAGCAACUUUUUUUUUAUUUCUUAUUUCCAUUUGUUUUAAGAAUGAUGAGAUUUUCUGAUUACUGAUAUCUCUAACAGCUGAAGCUUUGCAAAACAUCAAAAUCAUCCGAUGAUACAGGUAUACAAAUAGUACUUUAUCCCAAGCUCAAUCUUGUAGUAGCCUUAAUAUUUACAUCUUGUGCAAGUGCAUGCAGCUUGCUCUGUCUCUAGAUUGUGCAUGUGCUUGUGAUUGUGCCAUUUAUAUUAAUUAUUAGUUGGCUUGUUAGCUAGUCAAUUCCUGGAGCCAUAUUAACUUGCAAACUACGGCCGCAGAGCCUCUAUGAACUGCUUUCUUCAAACCUGGGUUCACAUAUAUAUUAAAUUCAGCAUCAUAUAUCUGUUUCUUCUUUGCCACAAAAUCACUGGGUAUCAUCAAAAUUUAUUUAUGUCAAAAAUAUGAUUUCUCAAAGAACAUUUAAAUAUCUAACACUAACUAGGAAAGGUGCUCCAGCAGUUCAGCCUUCAAGUAUAUAAUUAUUAUUUUUUCAAACCUGCACAUCACUUCUCCGCUUUGCAUACAAAAAAGAGAGAAGAGAUGGAGCUCAAGUUUAUUCUUUUUCAACUCCAAAUUCCGAGGGAAUGCCACCCCCUGUUCGCCCUCAGGUUACACUGGACGUCCUCAACACUCGCAUGGGAGGACUGGAGCUCUAGAACAGGCAGAUCUAAGGUACGCUGAAUGCCCAGACUGCUACCCAAUGGCAUCAGUAGACCCAGCAGAGCUUCAUCGACCUUGAGGAUGCAAGGCGUUGCCGGCACGAGGCACAGAUGGCCUACCUGCGAUCCAUGGGACAUUUCCCUGGACCGCAGCAGUGAGCUAGCUUAGGGGAGGACCCCCACAAGAGGUAACAUGUAUCUUACAUUCUUGCACUUAAUUUUAGUUCUUAAUUUCAGUAUUUAAGUUUCAGCAAUGUUUCAUCAUCUUUCAAAAAAAAUUCCACUCUCAUGUGCGCUAUGAUAUGUUAGUUUCUCUUCUGGUGAAAUGAUGAAUAGUUGCUCUAUCUAUAAUUCUCUAGUAUCUAAGUUAUAAUUUAGUGUUCAUCAAGAUUUAAGUUUAUUGGCUAUAUGACUUGCUUAGUAGUUUGUACACCUUUAGUCAUAUAUGGCUUGCGGCACUUUGAGUUGAGUCAAAUCCCAGGAAACCUAGAGUGAGAUUAUGGUCAUGCACCCAUGAUAUGAGAUUCACGCACCCACCAAAUAAAGCCGACUCUCACACUGAGAAGUUGCGCACAACAUGCACCCUUCCAUCCACCAAAAAAUAUGCCAACUCUUACCCUGAGAGUUGCGCCUUAGCUUCCACCAAAUAAGUAUGCCAAACUCUCACCCUGAGGUUUGCGCAUCCCCAUACACAAUUUUACUCCUUACAUCACCAUCAUGACAUCUCUCCAUUUUCCUCUUUGAGAUCCCUUUGAAACAUGUGGGCACCAGUUAUCCAUGAAAAAAAUGAAGGAAAAGCCAAAGGGCAUGCACGGGAAAAUCAAAAUCCCCGUCAGAAUAUAUAUAUAUAUGAUCCAUUUUUUUAGAGCCAUAUGUUUACAUUCUCUCAUUCUCUUCCUCAAAUAAAGAGAGUCAUUAUACAAGGAGUAACCAAAAAUAUUUAGAUAGGACUACCACAAAAAAUUCCACACACUUGCACAUCUCAAUCAAGGUGUAUGACUUGUAUCUCCUCAUGGUCCGGGCUUUGACUUGGCAACACAAGUGUCGUAAGUACGCCCACCUUUAUACCUUCCCAAAGCUCCAUUCUCUGGUAGGUCUUAAAGGCAAACACAAAUGCCUUUGGUGGGGAUUUCAUACACAUUGAGCGAUCGAGAGAAUCAUUUGAGGAACUUAUUUAUUUUGCAAAAAUUUAUAAAACCUCCGGAUUGAUGGUCUAUCAAGGGAUCAAUGAAUGGUGAGUUUGUUACAACCAUUCUAUCAUGCAACCACACAAGAACUUGGAAAAGCUAUAAGCCCCAUGAGAAGUCAAGGUAAAGAGUGGACAGCAUGGCAACUUAUUUAAAUUGUGAAUGAAUGCUUUGUUAUAGGUAUGGUACUCUUGAAUUAUAUGGGCAUAGUAGCAACUCCUGAUCAACAACCAUACUUAAUUAUUUGCUCGAGACGAGCAAAGGUUAAGCAUGGGGGACUUGUUGGCAGUCAUUAUAGACCAAUCAUAAACUGCCAACUUGAUCCAAAAGGAGAAGAAGCAAUCAAAUUAUAUACACACAUGCAUUUUAUUACUAACAAGUUCCACUUGUACCAUAGUGAUUAUAUUUUGCAGGAAUUAUAGUGCAACAAGUGGAAAUGUGCCAUACCACGAAGAAAGCGCAAAGUACCAAAAGACGUAUUCAAAAAUGCAAAAACCAAGAAAAUAGAGAAAGGCCUGAACAACGUAGAACUAGGACUAAUCGUAACCACGGGAGUGAUCCAGGCCCAAAGCCAAACCGAUCACGCGAAGGCGGUGGCCAGGGGGACCCACCCAGGGUGCGGCCACACGCUGGUGUGGGCGCACCCCUGGAGGCGGCAAACCGGGCCCAUCUUUCUCAGGCGAUUGCAUGCCGCCAUGCAUAGGACAGUUUCACCUACUACCAAAUUGUUGGUGCAAAAGCUAAUCUGCAAACACAAAGGGCUAAUACCCGAUUCAAAUGUUAAGGCGUGCCAGUCGAUUUGACCUUACAAUCGACAAAGGUGGUAACUCGAACACUUUGGUCCCGACAACAGCGCUGCGCCCGGAUGUCACGGCCAAGAGGUGCUCACGCGGAACUUGAGAAUACGCCGAGUUUGACUCGACAAAUUCCAAAGAACUCGUAGUAAAAGGAAAAUAUAACGAAGUCGUCAAAAAAGUAGAUGCUAGAAUAUGUGUAAAAACUUGUGUUUGAUUGAUUGAUAGAUAUCCCAUUACAUUGACACGGGGUCUAUAUUUAUACCCUGACCAAAAGAGUUACAAGCAGACACGACUAGGACUCAAAUUCCAAAUUGAACAGAAUCCAUAUACAAAACAAACUCUAAUAACUAAGGAAAACAUUAAACUAUCCUCCACAACUGAUCCGUACACAGCUAUGAGCCAAUUGGCAACCCUCGCAUCUUCCUCUAUGACCAUCGGCAGACCACCUUUCAUCGCCAUCGACAACCAUCAGCAUUGGCCAUCGGCAUGAACGCAUCACCACUCCUGGACUUAGUCAUAUUCGGCUGCUCUCCCAUCAGAAUCGACCUUCAUCGGCAACUCCCUUGUAGACUAGUCACCAUUGCUCCAUCUGCCGAUCUACAUUUCAUUAACUCCAGGUGCGCUUCAAAAGAUACGUGUCCAAAAACGGUGUCAACACAUGCCCCCCAAUUUCGGAGUAUAAAAUCAUUAAUGCUCCGAACUUCUCUUCAGUAAUGAUGCCUUUCCGCAAUUACUCCUCCCAAUUUAGUAAUCAGCCGCCAAAUCUGAACAACCUCAGCCCGAUUCUCCUGCAGAUUCCUCGAAUUCCUGAACCAAACCUCCCCACUUAUGCGCUCAUCGGCAAUAUUACCGUUAGAGAAAACUGCUGAUGAACCGACCAGGCGAUCUUGCACAGUAAAAUAUCUUCAAAAUCAUGACCGCUUGCUGUCACAUCACCUUUGCAAUCCCUUGAUUAUCGUGCGAACAGUUACCAUAUCCACCUGAACACCCUCGGAUUUCACGGAUGAGGCAAAGAGAUAAGUCAGAUUUGCCCCUGCCCAUUUUGUCCUAUAAAUACUUCCUUCUCCGGUACUCUUUCUCCAUCUUGUCAUUCUACAGCCUCAAAUCCACUUUCCUGGCGGCGGCAUUGCCUGAGAACUCCAAGGACUCCAGCAAGGGCAUCCCCCACCAAUCUUCAAAGUCUUCGAUCCCUCCCCUUCCUCGGGAAGAAAUGGCCAUCAACUUCAUCGUUCCUGAGGUCAGCCUACCAUCCUUCUUUUAUACUUUUACCGUACUCCUGUUCAUCUGCAAAUAUGGUUACUGAGUACCUUUUCCCUUCUUUUUUGUUUCUUUUCUGUUCUUCCAUCCUCAAAACCUUUUAGGAGUUGGCCGAUAAAAUCGUGAUCCCUACCGAUCAACCCCACUUCCAGUGUCUUGGCCCAUUGGGGAACCCAGAUCCCACCGAUCUGAUAAAUGCAGAGACAAAUAGAAUCCCCUUUAGGGCCGAGAACUUCUCCUUAGAUCUAUGGAAAGAUGCUUUCCGUUCCUGGCCCAGCCCUACCAAGGGAUGGAAAGACUGGUUCCUGAUAGUCAGUCAUUCGAAUGAAGUCUAAUGGGGUGAACGGAAAUUAGACCAAUGCAUCAGAUUAUCUCUUGCCGAUAUGGAGAGGAAUGAGUCACUGUUGAUAGCUGCCUCGUACUUUUCGUCGGAUACACUUAAUGCUUUUGUAUUCGGCCACAGCCCUGCUUCACCUACUCUUGCCGAUGUACUUAUGCUUACCGGCUUGGACAUAUCAACUGCCGAUAAUAGUCAUCUAUUUGAUAAUAAGACCAGUUCUAAAGUAGAGACUCACGCUAUCGGCGGUUGGUCCUGGUACAUACAGAAGUACCGUAAAACAGGAUCUGUUGGGGAAAGAGAACAUGCCAUUUUCCUGAAUAUGUGGCUCGAUAAGUUUGUAUUCUACGGUCGAUCGGCAGGACCAACCUCGGUCUAUCUAUCGGCAGCAGAGAGACUGGCUAAUGGUGGCCGAUUUCCUCUUGGCCGAUACUUUCUUGGUUCUGUCUACCACCUUCACCACUAGGUAGCCAACAAACUCCUGCUAGGCCAACCCAUCGGCAACUUAGGGGGACCCUGGUGGUUUAUCAACAUGUGGCUCAGUGUUCACAUGCACAAGCGUCUUGGAUUCGAUCUUUUUGAAAACGCUUUCUAAGAGACAUAGCCGAAGAUCACGAAUUAGGUGAUGAAGAAUCGGCAACUCGUCCACCUUUGAACUUUGGUGAGGCUGCCAUAGUUCUACUUGGUACUGGUGGUAAUGAAGACCAGAUCAGCCGAUUCUUCCAAACUCUUUAUGAGGGUCUGACCAAGGACCAGCGAGCAUGGAUGCCCUAUGAAGACACAGAAACCAGAUUCUCACUCACUUUCCAUCCCUUCGACAAUGCUCUCAAUAAGGACCAUGAUCUGAUGAUGGCAAUUAUUACUCUGAGAGCCAUACCAGUGAAUUUCUUUGGCAGUGGGAAAGCUUCUAAUCUGACUUACGAGUUCUAUAACCCAUCGGCACUGGCUCAUCAACUGGCCUUUGGACAGCUGCCGAUCGCGCUCUACUGCGCCGAUGUGAUGAAACUGAGGAAGGUCAUGACUAGCGGUCUUGAGUGGAUCAGAAUAGCUCAACUCCCACCAAAUGUCGAUACGUCAAACAUCGAUUUAUCGGCUUGGAUUCCAGCUCUCUUCAUUACUCAAGCAUACAAACAAUGGUGGGAAGAAUGGAAGGACCACCUGUUCUGCAGAUCGGCCCUCACAUACCGUGGCACGAUCGACCCCAAAUACAAAGUUCCUGAGAAUACUGUAAGCUUUUAACCGAUGCUUCAAUCUUCUUUUAUUACUUUUAUUUCUAUCGGUAACUUACUCCUCUUUUAAACAGGUCGACGACACACCACCGACAGUUAGCAGAAGCGGAAUGCCGAUUGAAGUCCUUCCAUCAGGCCCGAUAUCCCUCAUCGGCAACAACGCACCAACCCUAGCAGCUCUAAUGCACCGGAAUGUGCACUUCAAAAAGAUCACCACCAAACGAGCCAGGAUACCUCCAUCAGCCGCUGCUGCCGCUUUCAUCUAAGCCUUCUAGGUAAAUUCUUGACUUGCUUCAAUUUAUACCGAUUCCAUUCUAUACUCACACAACCUUUUCCAUACUCUAUUAUAUCUAUGCUCACGAAACUUUUGUUGUCGUAUCAGCAAACAAGCCAAUCGGCAAAGACCAGAAGUACCAAGGCGAGUGCCGAUGCCCCCCAGUCUACCAAGAUCAAGAGGAAAGGCCCCAAAAGCACCAAGUCAAAGCGAAACGCUAGAGAACAGCAACGCCCUCUCCUCCUCCUCCAGAGUUACUGAUUCAUGUGGAAUCAUCUCCUUCGCCAGAAGUUCAGACACGACAAGCAUCACCCCCACCCUAGCCACAAGAGGUACCUCGGCCAGAAGAGAUGUCAGCCGAUGGACUUUAGCAGACUGCUGGCCUAGUGGAAGGAAUCAUAUCAUUGGUAGUUUCUUCAAUCCAAAUAAGCACUGCUCCCCCUCAGGGUAAAGUACUGUCCAUGAAAUUAUUACCGAUGGAUCUAUUUUUUGAACUCAUAAUCAUCUCUGCUAAUUUUCAGCAGACAUUGUUCCAUCGGCAACUCUAGCCGAUCAAUCUAUAGUACCACCGGCUUCAACUAGCCAGAGGCGAGAAAUGGUUCUGAAACAAGUAAGUCAUUUGAUCUCUGUUUUUCAUAUUACCAAUACUUGAUCAUCAAAUAACUUAUCUUAUUUCUUCUUCAGGAACAAGACUCUCCGGACAGUUUGUUCUCUUUUGCCAUUGAAAUUUCUGAUGAUGAAGUUGAGGAAGCAAGCUCUUCUCAAGCAGUAGGGAUUUUAUCGGUAGAAAUCAGAGCUAAACUGGAGGAUCUGCUGGCCCUACUUCAUCGGGAUACAGCUCAAUUAGUCGACGACUCUGAUCCAGCAAAAGCUCUAUUCAGAGCCCUCAGAGGUCAAAUCCCCGCCGAUGCCAAAGAGACUCUUUUCCAGGCUGCACACUUAGAGAGCCACCAGCUUUAGUAUCAAAAGGCUGCCCAACGUCUUGUCGAUAGAACCACUCAUGCUCAGCUCUCAGAGGAGGUAAUGAAAGUGAAGUACCUUGCCGAUGAGAAACACAAGAGCAUCGGCAUUCUGAAAUCCUUAGUAGAUACGCUGAGACAAAAGAUCUCCGACCUAUCGGCAAAAAGGGAAGCCCUGUUGGCAGAGCUUAAGCAAGUAGAAGAGGCUCUGUCCCAAGCUCAACAGGAAGAAAGCCAGCUGCCCGAAACGAUCAAGACCCUCGAGCAAGAGCGAAACAUCCAUGCCCGCAAGGCACUGCAGAUGAAAAAGAAGCUGAAACCAGUGGAAGGCUCUGCCGAUGAAGACAUCAAGGUGAUAGAAGAAGCCAAUCAAAUACGUCUGCGCGCCAUAUCGGUCAUCCAAACCCUGCUGAAUAUAUGAACUCUUCAUCGGCGGCGUGUUUUGCUCUUUCUUUAAAAACUCCUGAUGAUUUUGGUCUAGACGAUAGGACUGUUAUCGGCAUCCUUUUGAAACAUCGUAUUCAGUCCCAGAUACACUUUAAUCCAGCCGAUAGGAGUGUUAUCGGCACUUAUACUUUAUGCAUUGACCCAUAUGCUUGGGUAAUAUCUCUUUAAAUACUUUCCAUUCAAUGCUCUGGGAAAUUCAACUCCUUCGAGAGUUUCCAAAAUAUAAGCAUUACCGGGAGCAGACCGAUUUAUCCGAUAAGGACCUUCCCAAUUAGGAGACCAUUUGCCAAACUUUGAACUCUUAGUCCCAAUUGGUAAUAUUAGUUUCCACACCAAAUCUCGAUCGGUAAACUCCUUAGCUUUUACCUUUUUAUCAUACCAUCUAGCAACUCUCUUUUUAUUUUCUUCUAUACUUAUCAAGGCCCUUAACCGAUGCCCUGCUAAAUCGUGUACCUCGUCUUUCAUCAGAGUAGCAUAGUCAUCGGCAGCCAGUUGAUCUUGAAAAGAUAGUCGCCUAGAUCCGGUCUUAAUUUCCCAUGGCAGCACUGCAUCAUGCCCAUACACUAACUGAUAAGGUGAAACUUUAGUCGACCCAUGACAAUCCAUCCGAUACGACCACAAAGCCUCACUCAACAAUGUAUGCCACCUCCUAGGAUUUUCUUCAAUCUUUCGUUUGAUAAGCUUAAUAAUUUCUUUGUUAGAUGCCUCGUCCUGCCCAUUGGCUUGAGCAUAAUAAGGAGAAGAAUUGAGCACUUUAAUCCCCUUACCGAUUGCAAAUUCAUCAAACUCUCUUGAUGUAAACAUGGUACCCUGAUCGGUAGUAAUCGUUUGAGGAAUACCAAAUCGGUUAAUAAUAUGCUCUUUCACAAAAUCAAUCAUAUUGGCCGAUGUUACUUUCUUCAAAGGAAUAGCUUCAACCACUUAGUGAAAUAAUCAGUGGCAACUAAGAUGAACUUAUGUCCUUUACUUGAUGGUGGGUAAAUUUGGCCGAUUAGAUCAAUAGCCCACCCCCGGAACGGCCAAGGCUUAAUAAUGGGAUUCAUAGCUGAUGCGGGUGCCCUUUGAAUAUUACCAAACUUCUGACAUCCUUGACAACCUUUGAAAUAUUUAAAGCAAUCUUCAAGUAUAGUCGGCAAUAAUACCCGUUCCUCCUAAUCAUCCAUUUCAUCUUAAAAGCCGACUAAUGUGCUCCACACACUCCAUGGAUUUCACCCAUCAAACUUUUAGCCUCAUCAUUACCUAAGCAUUUGAGGAGAACUCCACCUAUAGUUUGAUAAUAUAGUUCAACCUCGAGGAGCACAUACUUGGUAGCUUGGAACCUGAUACGCCUCUCAACCUUCUUAGAUGGAUCCUUUAAAUAAUCAAUGAUCUCCUUUAUCCAAUCAUCGGCACUGGUUGCCGAUAACGCAUCCAAUAUGGGUUGAUAUCCCGAGGCAUGCUGAGCCAACCAAUUAGCCUCCUCAUUAUGUAACCGAGGAAUAUGCUCUAAUCGGAAAUCCUUGAAUUUUUUUAAUUGUUGCAUACUCUUUUCAUAAUAGGUUAUCAGGACUUCGCUUCGACAUUCAUAACUUCCAGCCAACUGAUUUAUGACCAGCAUAGAAUCCCCAAAGAUUUCAACAGCAUCAGCAUGAACCUCUUUUAAUAAUUCCAACCCCUUGAUCAAAGCUUGAUACUCAGCUUGAUUAUUCGUUGACGUGGCAACAAUCGGCAAAGAGAACUCAUACUUCCUUCCCUGAGGGGAAAUUAGUACUAUGUCGAUUCCUGCCCCCCGGUCACACGUGGAUCCAUCAAAGAAGAGCGUCACGGCACAAUUUCCAAAGUUUCCACUACACCGCAAUGUUGAGUCACAAAAUCGGCCAUAAUCUGCCCUUUAACCGCCUUAGCCGGUUCGUAACGUAGAUCGAAUUCUGACAGUGCAAAAAUCCACUUACCGAUUCUACCACUCAUGAUCGGCAUACAUAGCAUAUAUCGGACCACAUCAUCUUUGCAUAUAACAGUGCAUUCGACCGAUAGCAAAUAGUGCCUCAACUUAAUGCAAGAAAAGUAUAAGCAUAAGCACAAUUUUUCAAUGGCCAAAUACCUGAUCUCAGCAUCAAUCAGUCUUCUACUUAAAUAGUAAAUCACACGCUCCUUUCCUUCAAAUUCUUGAAUCAAAGCUGAACCGAUGACCAUCCCAUCGGCAGAUAAAUAUAAUCGGAAAGGUUUUCCUUGCUGAGGUGGAAUCAAAACUGGAGGAUUUGUUAAAUAAUUCUUAAUUUCAUCCAAUGCUAACUAUUGCUCUUCUCCCCACACAAUCUCCUCAUCGGCUUUCAACUUAAGCAAAGGACUAAAAGCACGAAUUUUACUAGACAAGUUAGAUAUAAACCUCCUAAUGAAAUUUAUUUUGCCGAUCAGGGACUGGAGCUCAGUCUUAUUGGUAGGAGCAACUAUUUUGUUGAUGGCAUCAAUAGAUCUUCUACUAGUUUCAAUUCCUCUCUCAUGCACCAUGAAACCAAGAAAUUGCCUUGCCGAUACACCAAAUGCACACUUGUUAGGAUUCAUCUUUCAACCAUGUUUCCUUGUGCAUUCCAACAACUUUUGCAGAUCGGCAAGAUGCUUUGUGAAAUCCCCAGACUUAACCAACACAUCAUCAAUAUAAAUCUCUACCAGCUUGCCGAUGAACUCAUGAAAAAUAAAAUUCAUAGCUCUCUGAUAAGUAGCACCAGAAUUUUUCAAGCCAAAGUUCAUGACUAUCCAUUCGAACAACCCAACAUGACCAGGACAUCUAAACGCGGUCUUUGGAACAGCUUCCUCAGCCAUGAAUAUCUGAUUAUAUCCUACAUUGUCGUCCAUAAAGCUUAUGAUCCGAUGUCCAGCCGUAGCAUCGACCAGCAAAUCAGCAACUGGCAUUGGGUAACCAUACAUCGGUGUAGCCUUGUUAAGAUUCCUAAAAUCAAUGCAAACUCGAAGCUUUCCAUUUUUCUUGUAGACUGGAACAACAUUGGAAAUCCAUUCGGCAUACUGACACUGCCGAAUAAAUUUAGCUUCGAUAAGUUUGGUUAUUUCCUGACUUGAUAGGUAACCGAUGUUCGACAAUCGAUCGGUCUAAACCAGGCAUCUCAGUAUAAUCCCAAGCAAAGCAAUCUUUAUAUUCCUUUAACAAAUCGGUCAAUUGUUGCCUACACUCGGAAUCUAACUUAGCACUAAUAAAAGUAGGUCUAGGCUUAUCACCAUUACCUAUAUCUAGAUCUACUAAAUCAUCGGCCGACGUAAACCCCUGGCCUAAUUUUCCAUCAUCGGCGAACCUAUCCAUUAAAAUUUCUCAUCAGAACCGACUGCUUGGAUCGGUGGAAUUUCAUAAUCGGCAACCUUGAGGAAAUCCUUCUCUCAAAUUUCUCCUGAAAUGCACCUGGUCCUUUCAUAGGUAUCUGCUUCUGCUGAUGCAAUGACGUAUGAAGAAUCCCCAGGGACAAUCUCAAUCUUGUCUCCUACCCACUGAACCAAACAUUGGUGCAUUGUAGACGGGAUGCAACAAUUGGCAUGGAUCCAAUCUCUUCCCAAUAGAAGAUUAUAAGCACCCUUUCCACUAAUGACAAAGAAAGUCGUCGGCAAGGUUUUGCUGUCGAUGGUCAACUCAACACAUAUUGCUCCCUUAACCAAAGACACAUUUCCUUCAAAGUCCUUUAGCAUCAUAUCGGUCUUGGUCAAAUCUUGAUCCCCUUUCCCAAGCUUCCGAUAGACUGCAUACGGCAUAAUAUUGAUAGCAGCCCCACCAUCGACGAGUAUCUUGGUCAUUGGCUGCCCAUCAACUCUUCCUUUGACAAACAAAGCUUUAAGAUGCUGUCUUUCAUUGUCGGCAGGCUUCUCAAAGAUAGCCGUCAUCGGAUCUAGAGCCAGUUGAGCUAUCUGGUCAGAAAAAUCUAGCUCCUCAUCAUCACUGGUCGGCGUAAGGAACUCCAUCGGCAACAUAAAUACCAUAUUAACACUUGCCGAUGGCCCUUUCUCUUUAGGAUCCCGCUGUUGCUGAUCUCCAGACUUAGCAGAAUUUUCUCUGAACUCUUCUCGUCUUUCACGCUGCAGCCUUCUUUUCUAUGUCCGGGUCAGCCCUUCUGGAUACCAUGGAGGAAGUUGUGGCUGCCUUACCGAUGGACGAUGACUUUCCCUUGACUCCACUCGAUAAGUAUUAGCAUCCCUGCAAAAUAUGAACUCAUCAGGAACUCGUGCAUUCGCCAUCUCCUCAAGCUCCUCUUGGUUUCUGGGAAAAUACCCGACACGGUCAUCAAGCCUGUCAUGCACACUGAGCCUGCCCCCCAGCCGAUCAUGAACGGAGGUUCUUCCCCUGAUCGGCCCGUUAAAUCUCCGAUCAUCAUUUUGAUAUUGCCGAUUAGGUCUAUCAUAUCGAUCAUAGCCACACUUAGGGCAGUCUCUAACAGUGGGCAAUUUGAUGUUUUGUUCCCAACAGUGGAUAAAGAAUGGGCAAUUCCAAUGAUCUUUAUGUCGAUUCCACUCUUGUCGGCGUCUUUCUUCUUCUCGAUAAUUAUCCUCCGGUUGGCACCGAUAUCGAUCUUCACGUUGCUGCCAGGUCUCUCGAGGCCUUCUAUGAGUUAUCACGAUGCCAGAUCGGAAAGGCCUUCCUGAGCCUGUUCCUUCCUGGAUCAAACCCUUGCCUUUAGCGUCAUCAGCAGUAAUCUGACGUUGAGGAUCUACCGAUGCGCUUCUUUCAGCUGCUUCCGACGUUAAAACUUUAGUUUUUCCUUUAGCAUCCAACAUAUUUGUAGGGAAAGGAUGCUGAUCGAUCUUCAUAGGCUUCUGAGCUUUGGAGCUGUCAAAUUUAAUUCUCCCAGAUUCUAUAGCCGAUUGCAGCUGUUGCCUGAAAACUUUGCACUCAUUUGUGCUGUGAGAUGUUGCAUUAUGCCACUUGCAGUAUUUCAUCUUCUUUAAUUCUUCAGCCGAUGGGAUGAUAUGAUUGGGUGACAACUUGAUUUGGCCUUCCUGAAGUAGAAAGUCAAAUAUCCUAUCGGCUUUGGUGAUGUCAAAUGCAAACUUCUCUGGUUCCUUAUGCCAAAAAGGGCAAGACAUCGGCUUCUUGUUUUUCACCCACUCUGCUAAGCCAAUGACUGGCUCUUCAUCAGAAUCAGAGCUUGCCGCUUCAUCAACGAAUGAUACCUUUUUGUUCCAUGCUCUCUUGGGUUCAAAAGGUUUAAUAUCUUGGUAAGAAAUCCUCUGUACCAAAUGACUCAGACUCUCAAACUCUUGAGAAGCAUACUUGUCUCUGAUAUGUGGCAACAAUCCCUAGAAAGCGAAAUCGGCUAGCUGCCGAUCAUCCAGAACCAAACUAUAGCACUUAUUCUUAACCUCUCGCAACCUUUGCACAAAACUCUCAACCGAUUCAUCAUUACGUUGCUUUAGCCUGACUAAAUCGGUAAUCUUCUUUUCAUGAACUCUAGAAAAGAAAUAUUUAUGGAACUAUUUCUCUAGAUUGGCCCAAGUAAUAACUGAAUUAGGAGGUAAUGAAAUAAACCAAGUAAAGGCCGAUCCAGACAGAGAUGAUGAAAACAAGCGGACUCUUAAUUCAUCUCUGUUAGCAGCUUCUCCACACUGGAUGAUGAACCUGUUAACAUGUUCCAUAGUCGAUGUAUCUUCCUACCCAGAGAACUUGGAAAAAUCUGGUACCUUGUACCGAUUUGGAAGUGGAAUUAAAUCAUAUGCAGGAGGAUACGGUGUCCGAUAAGAGUAAGUAUUGACUUUGGGUUUUAUCCCAAACUGGUCUCUCAUUACUUCAGCUAUCUUAUCGGCCCAAUAAGCAUCGGCAUCUUGCCGAUGAGGCGGUUGUGGAUCCAGUACCUGUUGAUAUGCUUCCACGUGUUUCUGUGGUGCACGAUCUCCAUGGAACAUUAGAUUAACCAUCUGACCACCAAUUUGCUGACCAAGAUUCAUCGGCUGAUUGACCAACCCUUGAUUCUGAAACCCAGGUUGGAUUUGUCCUUGUUGAAACCCUAUAGCCUGAUGAUUCUGCUAUGGCAUCUGUGGAAAGACUAACUGCCCUGUCCAUCCACUGUUAGCAAUCAUCAGCAUAGGCCCUGCCGAUGACUGGUAAUUGGGUAUCAUCAUUGAAUUGACAUACCCUGGCUGUGUCAUAAACCUCCGCUGCGUUGGCAUUGGAUCUACCGAUGCAUUAGGCAUCUGGAAUGUCGGAGCUUGAGAAUUCCCAGUGUAAGGCCUUGCAAUAGUAGUUGUAGAGUACUGGGGAUUCUGAUUCAUCGGCAGAUUUGGAGGUGCCGAUGCCAUAGGAGCCUUGCCUAUCACGUCAGCCACUUGGGAUGUCCCAGGACUCUUUGCCAUAAGUUCUGGGGGCAUACCAUAACCCCACUAGUUGGGAGGAAUAGUCCCUGACAUCGCCGAUGCCAAUAGAUCAUUGGAAAGUUUGAUUUGCCCGUCUGACAUAGAUGGAUUAGUGGUCAUCGGUGUAGAUUGUGCAUUAGUCAUCCCUAAUGUACUUGGAGAAGAAGUAGCUUCUGCGCCCGCAACGGCCGUACUAGCCGACGGAGCUAUAACCACCGGUGACUCUGGCUGAUGAUGGGCAGGACCCACAUAAGAUGGUGGUACUUGUCCUUCCUUGAAAGUUCUAGCCACAGCAUUGAAAACCAUGUUGGACAGCACACCAGCUUGAUUGAUCAAGGCACGGUUAACAGCACUGUCAACCAUGUCUUGAAGUUUACUAGGAUUGGCUUCAAAAGUAAUUUGUCGAGGCAUCGGUAAUGCUUCCUUCUGGAUCACCUCGCCACUCCUGUUGAUACUAAAGAAUAUCAAGCAUAGUUGCUUGUAAUCCUCCAUGGCUUUCGCCAUAGCUUGCUUCUGCUCAUCUCUGAGAUUGGCUUCCGUCACUGGGAUGACGUUCUCCAAGUCGAAAUCGGUGUUCGACAUGUUGAUCUUGAUCUUGAAUCUCUAUCCCACCAGGCGUGCCAAAAGAUGUGUUAGUGCAAAAGCUAAUCUGCAAACACAAAGGGCUAAUACCCGAUCCAAACGUUAAGGCGUGCCAGUCGAUUUGACCUUACAAUCGACAAAGGUGGUAACUCGAACACUUUGGUCCCGACAACAGCGAUGCUCCCGGAUGUCACGGCCAAGAGGUGCUCACGCGGAACCUGAGAAUACACCGAGUUUGACUCGACAAAUUCCUAAGAACUCGUAGUAAAAGGAAAAUAUGACGAAGUCGUCGAAAAAGUAGAUGCUGGAAUAUGUGUAAAAACUUGUGUUUGAUUGAUUGAUAGAUAUCCCAUUACAUUGACACGGGGUCUACAUUUAUACCCUGACCAAAAGAGUUACAACCAGACACGACUAGGACUCAAAUUCCAAAUUGAACAGAAUCCAUAUACAAAACGAACUCUAAUAACUAAGGAAAACAUUAAACUAUCCUCCACAACCGAUCGGUACAUGGCUAUGAGACAAUCGGCAACCCCCGCAUCUUCCUCUAUGACCAUCGGCAGAACACCUUUCAUCGCCAUCGGCAACCAUCAGCACUGGCCAUCGGCAACCAUCAGCACUGGCCAUCGGCAUGAACGCAUCACCACUCCUGGACUUAGUCAUAUUCGGCUGCUCUUCCAUCGGCAUCGACCUUCAUCGGCAACUCCCUUGUAGACUAGUCACCAUGCUCCAUCUGCCGAUCUACAUUUCAUUAACUCCAGGUGCGCCUCCAAAGAUACGUGUCCAAAAACGGUGUCAACACAAAUUUAGAUGCGACGAACCGUCCUAGUUCCACUACAAAAAGAGAGGCACUCCCCCGUUUUCAACACACACAUCAUUUGGAGUCAAUUAAGCUCACACCUCUCACUUGAAUCUUUAGUCUAUAUUAGUCGUAGAGCAAGGCAAGAGCUAGCAAGGAGAGGUUGUCUCUUUGGAAGAAAGGAUCUUCUUGGUAUGAAUAAUAUUCAAUCUUCUUCCAUGAGCAAGUUAUAUUUAUCUUUAUAUGAUUAUGCAUAUGAACUAGAGUAUGGUUGUGUUCUUAUCAUGUUCAUAGUAUAUGAACUAGUUCUUAGUUCUUGUGCUAUGUUCUUGAUAUGUUCAUCAUUGUUCAUCAUUGUUCAUCAGAUUAGUAUGAUUAGGAUUAGAAUUAGGAAUGAGAUGAUGGUUCACUGUGCUGUGAUGGCUGCUCUUAGCCUAGCCUGUCACUCCGAAGGGGUGGGGCCCGCAGGGGUUAGGAGUUGUUUCCAAUUACGUGAACAUGGUGUUCAGGUAUGCAAGAAUCAAUGGAUGUACGAGUAUCUUUCGGGUAGAGGGGUAGGUGGUAGGUUAGUUAUAGCUCUGUCAUCCUUUGCAUUCCCUCACGAUCAGGUAUUCUGAUAGGAGUUCUGUAAAGUCUCUAUCGGCUGGGUAUCCAGCUGCGGGGAUCUCCCCUCAUCUCAUGCUUGGUUCUAACUCUAUUUAUUGCUAAUUAGAUGAUCCGCUAACAGUUCUAUGCAUAGUUAUAUGUGACCCAUGCCUGCUCAAGUAGAUUUAUUUCUUUAUUAUUUAUUUAUUAUUUCUCUUCUAUUUUUAUUCUUUAGUUAUAUGUGACCCAUGCCUGCUCAAGUAGAUUUAUUUGUUUAUUCUUUAUUCUUUAUUUAUUAUUCCUCUUUAUUUAUCAUUUCUCUUCUAUUUUCAAUAAGUAAUCAUUUUUACACCAUGUUUGAUCCCUUUGCCUUCCUACGGGAAUUACAAAUUCGACACCCUUGAAUACUCAUGGGUUGAAAUGUUACAAUGAUAGUUUUGUCCGCUUGCAGUUAUAUUACUUCUUCAUUCAUGAACUAUCUAUUGGCGUACCUAAGUACCAUUACUUAAGAUUGUAAUCAUUGUGCACUUUCAAGCGUAGUGCCACAGCUUUGCAUAUCGCAAGUAAGGAUGGUUAGGAAGGCCAAUCCAGCAUUCCUAAUUAUUGUUACCAGACUGCACUGCUAAGGUCGGCGCCCUUGAGUUGCCUUGGGUUAUCUCUCUGAUGUAGCGAUAGUUACGGUAUGCCAACACCCAACAUUUCUGGUGUCAUUUAUAAGGAUGGAUCUAUGGUCUAUUUUUAGUAAUGAUGCUAAGAAAUGCCAACACUUCCCAUGGCAAUAGAGAUGGUUGCUACAAUAGCAAGCCGUGUUGAUGGCUUCACUCCAAAAUUAAUGACUAACAUUGUAUUCACGAAGCAUUGAUCUAGCCAUAUCAAUAUUCUAUUCUUUCUUUCAACUACAUCAUUGGAUUGAGGAGUGUAUGUUGGAGAGAAUUGAUGUCCAAUGCCAAGAUCAUCACAUAAUUCCUCAAUUCUUGUGUUCUUGAAUUCACUACCAUUGUCACUUCUAAUCUUCUUUAUAGUGGUUUCAAACUCAUUUUGCAUCAUCUUGACAAAAGAAUUGAAUAGAUCACAAACAUCACUCAUGUCAAAGAGGAAGAACACCCAAGUGUAUCUAGUGUAGUCAUCUACUAUCACAAAUCUAUAUUUGUUGCCACCAAUGCUAGUGUAUGUUGUUGGCCCAAAUAAAUCCAUGUGCAACAGCUCAAAUGCCUUUGAUGUGCUAAUUUCACUUUUCUUAGGAUGUGCAUUUCUAACUUGCUUUCUGGCUUGACAAGCACUACAUGGUUUAUCCUUCUCAAAGGUGACAUCCUUCAAGCCUCUAACUAAGUCAUGCCUCAAUAGUUUGUUCAAUUGUUUCAUUCCAACAUGACCAAGCCUUCUAUGCCACAACCAACCCAAACAUGAUUUGCUAAUUAGGCAAGAUGUCAAUUGAGUGUCACUAUCAUUGAAAUCAACCAAGUAUAAGCUACCAUGCCUAAAACCUUUGAAUAUCAAGUUUGAUCCAUCAACACUAACCACCUCAACAUCAUCACUACCAAAGAUGCACUUGAAACCAAGGUCACAAAGUUGUGCAAUUGACAAGAGAUUGAAAUCAAGGCUCUCAACUAGCAACACAUUUGAUAUGCUCAUGUCAUUUGAGAUAGAAAUUUUACCAAGCCCCUUGACCUUGCCUUUCUUGUUGUUGCCGAAGGUGAUAGAAUGAAAGCCACCAUUUUGUUUGUAUCAAUUGAUUUGAACAUACAAGACUCUUCGGUCAUAUGUUGAGUGCAUCCACUAUCAAGCACCAAAUGCCUUCCUCUGGCUUUGUAAUUCACCUACAAGACAAGAUUAAUUCUUUUUAGGUACCCAAACUUGAUUGGGUCCUCCAAGGUUAGCAACUAAGCUCUUUGGUACCCAAAUGGCUUUCUUCUUUGAGCCCAUCCAUGGUGCACCAAUGAACUUAGCGUGAACACCUUUUGUAUCCUUGGUAAGCACAUAGAAAGAAUUAAGCUUAAUUGAUGAUACAUGAGCUUUGAGAUUCUUGUUCAUGCAUUGUUGCUCUAAGUGACCAACUUGCUUGCAAGUUUUGCAAUAUCGGGCAUUGUUCUUCACAAAGCUAGCCUUGUGAGGAGCAAAGGCGGCCUUGCCUUUCUUGGGGUUAUAGCCUAAUCCCUCUUUAUAUAGAGAAGCUCUUUGGUUACCCAAGCACAUAAGCAAGCCGUCCUCACCACCAUAAGCCUUGGCUAAGGUGUGAUUGAGCUCUUUCACCUCCUUCUUGAGAAUUUCAUUCUCAACUUUUAGUGUGAUCUCACAUGUGAAACCACCACUACUAGAUGAGGAUGAUGUAGAUGUGCUACAUGAAGGGUUAGUGGAAGCAACAAUAAUAGGCUUACUCAAGAUAUCACAUGUUAUGCCUAUGUUGCAAGUUUUAGCUUUCUCCAUUUUAGUUGGCUCAUUUUCACACUUGUUAACUAGAGAGGAAUGAGCUUCUUCAAGCUUAGUGUGAGCCUUUUGAAGCUUCUUAUGGUCUUCCUUUAGACUCUCAUAAGAUGCUCUAAGCUCAUCAAGUUCUUGCUCAAGGGUUUUCUAUUCUUAAGCAAGGCCUUGCACUCCUUCCUAGUUUCUUUAUAGUGAUGAGUACAAUCUUCUAGCAUAGUGAUUAGUUCAUCUUUAGUUGGUUCAUCAUUAUCACUAUCACUAUCACUAUCACUAGCAUGGUCACUCUCAUCAUCGGAUGAUACCUUAGUGGCUUUAGCCAUGAAGCAUGAUGGAGUGUCGAAGAUGGAGCUUUUCUCUUGAAUAGCAAUGCUAGCAUGCCCCUUCAUCUUGAUGCUCUCAUCAUCACUUGAGGAGUCAUCACUAUCCCAAGUUCCAACAAGAUCAUCACCCUUCUUCUUGUUUGAGCCUUCCUUCUUUUCUUUCUUCUUCUUUUGCUUCUUUCUUUCCUUCUUGAUAGCAUCUUCAUCAUCACUAUCAAAGGGACACUUGGCGAUGAGAUGAUCCUUGCUAUGGCAUCUAAAGCAUCUCAUGGAAUGGUCAUUCUUCUUGGAGAAGCUCUUCUUCCUUCUUGCCCGAUAACCCUUCUUCUUCAUAAACUUGCCAAAUCUUUUGACAAGAAGAGCCAUCUCCUCAUCUUCAUCACUAUCACAAGAGCUUGCUUCUUCUUUACUUGAUGAUUCUAUCUUUGCUUUGCCCUUGGAUGAGGAGGCCGCCACACUUUUCUUCUUCUCAUCAUCCUUCUUCUCAGCAUCCUUCUUCUUCUUCUUGAUCAACUCAUCCUUCUCAUCAUCUCUAUAAGCAUCAUCGGUCAUCACUUCUUGGAACACUUGUUGAGGAGUUGAUUCACUAAGUGUGGUCUUGACUAGCAUGGUGAUCAAUGUGUCAAAUAUCUUGGACAAGCUUCUCAAGAACUCCAUAGAGAAUUGACUAUCUUUUACUUCUUCCUCAAGUGCCUUGAGUUCAUUCACUAUGACUUGCAACCGGUGAAACAUCUCCGGCACACUUUCAUCUUCUUGCAUCUUGAAGCUUGAGAACUUUUCUUGAAGAAUGUAUGCCUUGGCAGUCUUGGUUCCCUUGGUGCCUUCAAAUGUUUCUUCUAGCUUUGCCCAUGCAUCAUGAGCAACCUCGAUGUUCUUGAUUUGCUCAAAGGUGUUGUCAUCAGGAGCUUCAUGAAGAGCACUUAUUGCAAUGUCAUUACAUUGAAGCUUCUUUUCUUCAACCGGUGUUGGUGCAUUCUCAUUUGCAACCUCAAACUUUGUUUCGGUCACCUUCCAAACCUCUCUAUUGAUUGACUUAAGAUGAGCGGUCAUCUUGACCUUCCAAUAUGCAUAAUUUGUGCCAUCAAAGAAAGGUGCCUUCUUGGUGUUGUUGAUAUGCAAACUUAGAGCCAUUUCUUCACCGUAGGUUGUUAAGCCUCAAAUAAACGGUGCCUCGGCUCCGAUACCACUUGAAAGGUCCGAAGGGCUAGAUGGGGGUGAAUAGCCUAUUUAAAAUUUCUACAAACUUUACUAAAUAAGUGAGUUAGUAAAAUAAGUGGUGAAGCUAUUCUAGCACUAGCACAGCUAAGCUAUGCAAGCCACCUACACAAGUCUAUCAAGAAAGCUAAACACUAAACCACAACAACUAGAGAAGGCUACACAACAAUUAAGCUAAACAAGCUAAACUAAAAAGGUAUGGCAAGUAUGUAAAGAGAAGAGAGUGAUUUUUAUACCGACGUUGUAGAGAUAAGAUAUAUCCAAUCAAUCGCGUGCACAAUUUCAGGAGAGACCACAAGAUUUUUUACCGAGGUUCACUUGCUUCCCGGCAAGCUACUCCUUGUUGUGGUGAUACACCCACUUGAUGGAUCACAAGCUAAUUAGCAAUCCAAAGCCAAACCCUCAGCGGGUGCCGCACAUCCACUCACAAGAUGGGGAUCCUCCAAGCCACGAGCAAUCCACUAGAGUAGCCAAUUGCGAUCUCCUACGGGGAAGGCUCAAGAACCCCUCACAAAUCACUUGGUGAGGCUCGAAACAAUCUCCAACCACGAGCUCAACACCACCGCUACUCCAAGCCGUCUAGGGCAUCGGGAAACACCCAGGAGUAACAAGAAAUCCGCAGCAAUCUCAAGAAUCAAGUGCCACUAAAUGCAACUCUCAAAGCAAUGCACUUGAAUCUCACUCAAUCUCACUAGAAUUAGCAAUCAAGCAAGGAGAUGAGUGGAAGGAGUGUUCUCUAGCUCAAUGUAUAUCUCAAGUAAUCAAAUAUGCAAGAGAGUACCUCCCAAAGCCGGCCACCUUCUAUUUAUAAGCUCCCUCAAAGAACUAGCCGUUGGCCACUUUCACUGGGCUCAAAUCGGGGGCACCGGACGCUAACAAGUGAGCACCGGACGCUCGACCCCCUACAUCCAGUGCUCUGGGGUUGGCCAUGUGUCCUUAUUUGAAUCUCACACGUCAGUCUCUAAUGGCUACCUGCGAACCACCGGACAUGGUCAAGUGAGCACUGGAUGCGUCCGGUACUCACCGGACCAAUGCGCAGAGAGUUCUGCAAACCGUGACCUCACCAGACUCAGAGCAACGGACGCAUCCGGUGCUCACCGGAUGCAUCUAGUGCUCAUCGGACUGAAGCGCAGAGAGGGUUGCAAAACGCCCUCACACCAGACGCACACCACCAGACGCAACCAGAGCGUCCGGUGCUCUCAAACAGAUACCCUCUGUUAAGAAAGGCCUCACCAGACGCAAGAACAGGGAACGCCCUGCGUCCGGUGUAGUGCGUCCGGUGCUCAACCCUUGCAGGGUCAAGCACUGAUAGCACACUGGACACUGGGGCAGCGUCCGGUGCCUCUGCACCCUGCGUCCGGUGACACUCCCACGACUUUUCCAAAUUUCCCACCGGCUCAAUGAAAAAUAUACACUUAAUUUUCUCAAAAGCUCCGAAUCAGAGGGAGAGAGGAACCGACACCCCUCUCAACCCUAGGAACACCACCUCCUUUGUAAAAGUGCUAACACCAACAAGUGUCCACCACCAAAGUGCAUGUGUGUUAGCUUUUCUCAAACAUUUUCACCAAAGGAGUUAAGUUAGCACUUUACUAGAUCCUAAUGCAUAUGCUCAAGAUAUGGACCUAGUAGCACUUGAUUCGAGAGAUGACCGUGAUUUCCCCUCUUAAUAGUCGGCUAUCUAUCCUAAAUCCGGUCAAUCACUUCUCUACUCAUCUUAGACCAGCAAAAGUAAAACCCUAUGUUUAUACCUUUGCCUUGUUCACUUUCUCCCUUGUCUAUCUUCAUGACCUGCACAUCAUGCUUCAUCUCUUUGUAAUCACGUGGCCACCUAUCCAUGCCACCUUGCUCCUUUAUCACAUGUGUUGCAAUGCCUAACUCAAAUCACUUAAACACAAGACAUUAGCAACAUGGUGUCAUUAAUUACCAAAACCAAACUUAGGCUUUCAAGAACCAAGCCUGUGGUGGUGGAACUUGACGAAGGAGACGACGUAGCCCUCCGGCGGGCUUUGCUCCCGAUGCUCCGCCGGCAGCGCAACCCACUCGUGCUGCGUCGAGGAAGUGAGGGGGCGCAGGAGCCCCUCCUUCUCCAAAUCCCACAGUCGGCGCUCCAUCACGGUUGAUGGGCGCCACUCGUCGGCGGCGAUAAGUCUCACCGGCAUCUUCUUGGGCACUAAAUAGUGCGACGGAACAAUAAUGGUUUCUCCUCUCUGAGCUCCUCUCGUCUUAGUGUGCAGGGUGAUGCAGGGAGAGAAGGAGCAAAAGUGAUUGCGGAAUGCGGAAGGGGAAACAGCCAAGCGAGGCCUAGAUAUAUAUAGGCGUGUCGCAACGGACAGACCCAGUAAUCACGGUAACUCCCUCCGUAAAUGCGCCGCCUAACAGUCCCAUUCCGCUCUCUCUGAUAGGACGUUACAGAUUCCGCCCAAUGGAACAGUGCUGCAAUGGCUACCUCCUAAAAAGGUGCACCCAACGGGCAAGAAAAUGAAUCGUCGCGGCCCUUCCUUCCGUCGCAAGGUAAGUUCGGCGUGCGCCGCCGUAGGAACCUCCAGGGAGAGAAGACUGGCCCACCGGCUAGGUUCGACGGUCGCCCUCGAGUACCCGAGUCAGGGACAUCUAGUGGGAGGUCGAAACGAGGCUUGUCUCGAGGACCCGCUAGGAGUAUCCAAGGCAAUGGCAAGAAGGUUGAGAGGAAUCCCCACGGAGGGUGGCGUCGAGCCGCUGCACUCUGCCGAACGAGACCAGUAUCCUCGACCACGCUAGCCUAGCUUUAACAAGAACGCCUCCGGGCUGCAGCCAACCCCAUCGAAUAGGGUGAAGGGUCGAGAUGGCAGACUAGAGGGGGGUGAAUAGUCUUUUCUAAAAUUUAUCACACCGGCUAACCAAAACAAAAGCAAAAUUAAAACUAUCGGUCUAGCCAAGACUACAGCCCUCUAUCUAAGUUUUCUAGCACCUUGUAAAAGAUCCUAAACAAGCAAACAAGGUGCUACCUUAGCAAGAGCUCACCUAACCAAUUCUAGGAGCAAGGUCACACAAGCCUAUGCCACUAGUACUUUGCAAACCGGGGAGCUCCUACACAACUAAGCAAAAGCACAAAGCUCCUAAGCUCACUAACAAUGCUCAAUAACAAGGCAACCAAUGCCAAAUUAGAGAGCGCAAAUUAAUUAGCUACACAAACUAAGCAAUGUGAAUAACAAGGUUACACAAACCAAAUUAGUCACGCAAGGAAACUACUUUUAGCUACACAAGCAAGAAGGUAACUAGCAAGCUACAGAAGCUAACUAAUUACAAGAGCAACUACACAAGCACAAGUAUAUGAAUGUAAGAACAAGCUUGUGUUAGGAACUUGCAAACCAACAAGAAGAACAAUGUUGACACGAUGAUUUUCUCCCGAGGUUCACUUGGUUGCCACCAAGCUACGUCCCCGUUGAGACAAGCUCCAAGGUUGCCGCCGGUCCUCUUGCUAGCGGUGACCCGCAAGUCACACUCUCCCACAUGGAGUACUUACCACAAGCUCUAGCACUUGACCCAGCCAGACCACUUGUCGCUCUUCACGUCUCGCUCAACUAGAGUUGCUCUUUGCAUCCCUGCGGGGUGAGCACCGUACCUCUCACAAUCUCUUCUGUGGAGCACCGCACAAUAUCCUUGCGUGCUUCAACGGAGUCACAAGCCACCAAGCCGUCUAGGAGGUAGCAACCUCCAAGAGUAACAAGUACCACCGGCUUGCAACACGAACACCUAGUGCCACUCGAUGCAAUCUCUCAAUGCAACGCUAGAAUCACUCACUCGCUAUUGAUUCGCACUCUUGCAAGCACAAGUGAGUUAGAGGCUUCCCUAGCACUCCCCAAGCAUGGACACUAAGUCCCAAGGAUGCUCAGCACUAGCCAAGGCCGGCCACCACUUCUAUUUAUAGCCCCAAGGGCUAAACUAGCCGUUGCCCCUUCACUAGCCAAAACACGUGGGCACCGGACUCACUGCAUGGAGCCAUCGGACGCUGGAACAGUGCGUCUGGUGCUCCAGAAACAGUGACGUGUCACUAGCUGUUUGAACUCGAUCAUUGCCGCCAACGGCUAGCACGCGCUCGCACCUGACACAGCACCAACGGCUACUCUGCUGGUUUACACCGGACGCGUUCGGUGCUCACCAGACUCGUGCGCAGAGAGCUCCGCAAACCUCCAGGGUCACCAGACGCUAAGCAUCGGACGCUACCGGUGCUUAGCGGACCCAUGCGCAGAGAGGGUCGUAAAACGCCCGCACACCGGACGCUGAGCACCGGACUCACUACGGUGUGCCAGUGCACUCUGCUUCCUCUGGUCAGACCCGAUAGUACAUCGAAUGCUAAAGGCCAGCAUACGGUGCCUCCACGUAGUGCGUCCGGUGCACUCUCGUGACUUCUCCAAAUUUCCCACCGACGCAAUAGAAAGUAUACACUUAAUUUUCUCAAAAGCGCCGACCAAAUGUCACCACCAAGUGCAUGUGUGUUAGCAUUUUCACAAAUAUUUUUCCAAAGAAGUUAGCCUCUCAACUUGCCACGCCACUCGAUCCUAACACGUAUGCAAAGUUUGAUCGCUCAAGUGGCACUAGAUGACCCAUAUGUAAACAAGUUUGCCCCUCUUGAUAGUAUGACCAUCUAUCCUAAAUCCGGUCAUAAACUUCUCUACACACCUAUGACCGGUGAAAUGGAAGUGCCCUAGGUUAUACCUUUGCCUUACCAUUUCAAUUCCAUCUCCUCCAUUAUUGAUGCAACACAUGCACCAACCAAUCACCAAAUGAUAUGAUCCACUUCAUAUCAUCACAUGACCGUAUUGGUUCAUCGAUCUUGACCUCACUUGCUCUUCACCAUUGUCUCAUUCCAUCAGCGCUAAGUGUUGCUCAAGCUUCACCGUCACACGCAGUCUCUCGCUUCAAAGCCUCUGACUUGCCCUUCACUCUUGCAACCGGUCCAUCAAGCCAAGCAUCAUCUUGAUCUUCUCCACCUUGGUCACAUGACUCCAUGUCAUGUCUCAUAUGCAAUGAGCUCCUUAAUCAUCACAUAAUCAUCUGUGGACUAAUCUCCUGUGUAUCUCACAUAAACACCAUUAGUCCACCUAAGUUGUCACUCAAUUACCAAAACCAAAUAAGGACCUUUCAAUCUCCCCCUUUUUGGUAAUUGACGACAACUCUACAAAGAUAUGGAAAUUAAGCUUUUUCAAGCUAGCACUUCACACAAGUGUAAAUUGCUAACUUGAUUAGGAUUGCAUGCUACUUAUCGAACAUUCAAGCUCUAUGUCAAGAUUUGGAUAAGCACCACAAAACCCUACUGAAUGCUAAGGUGUAUAGAAUAAACCUUUGUAGCUCGAUACCAACUUCAAUAUCAUUUGAAGCAUUCAAUUGUACACCAUCCUUAGCACCAUGUGUAGCUAGACAACAAAAACACUAGAAACCCCGUGAGAUAAACAUUAAAAGCAAGGGUCUAGUCUUUACUUGAAGAACACAAGUCUAGCUACCAACCUAUACAUGCUAGUUAUCAUAUCAUCAAACAAAUUGUAUAACUAGCAUACACUACACAAGCAUGCAUAUUUGAAUUUAAAAUUUAUGCAAUGCAAACAAGCACAUGAAUAUGCACAUAACAAAUGCAAACAAACAAGGUUCAUGAGCUUGCUCCCCCUACUUGUGUGCUUUUCUUUUGUCCAAGAAUUUUGAUCCAUCAUCUUUUCUUUUAAUGUUGCUCCCUUGUCCAUGUCCAUCUGUGAUCCCUCCCCCUUGAAACAUAUCUUUUGUUGUCCAACUUAUCCCAUGAUCAUAUCUUUGUUCCAACUUCUCCUCCUUUGUCAUCAAUUUCCAUAAAAGGUAUGUGAUACCAAUCAAAUCACUUGAUAUCAACUGAAAAGGUGUGAAUCUCAUUGUGACAAAGGAUUGCAUUGGGAUAGAUGGUUGAGGCUUGAAUCUUGUAUUUUUUAUGGACAUCGCCAUAUGUGUUGGAAUGACAUUACUUGAAUUGCUCUUGAGAUACCACAUAGGAUUUUUGACCUUGAUACCAUUUGGUGGGGCACUCCCCCUAUGUCAUAGCAUGGGUCAUUCACUUGUCAUUAUUGUUGGUGAGGGAACAUUCUUUGCUUGAUGAUCACUUAAAGUUGAGGAUCACUUGUGGAACCACCUUCUUGUAUGAUAGAUACCAUAUGUAUAAAUGUGAUAUCACUUGAAAUAUCUUGUGCGAUACCAUAUGGGAUUCUUCUACCAAUUAAGAUCUUCUAGUAUGGAACCACUUGUUUGCUAUCUUGAACAUUUGCUAUCAUCAUCAUGAGUACCAUUUGUUGGAUAAAAAUUGAAGAAACAUUUGAAUUUAGAUAUCCAUUUGCAUUGUUGUCUUAUUCUUGUACUCUAAUGAUCAUGAGCUUCUAAUUAUAGACUUGAACUAUGUUGAUUUGCCUAAGCUUCGAAGUUCGGUUUGAACCAAUGACAAGCUUUUUCACACCUCACAUUAAGGGUUAUCUUGCCAAUGUUGUACUUGUCACUUGUUAACAAUCCAAAAUAGGUCAAGUAUUUGGGUUCACUAGCUCAUGAACAAACUCAUAUACAUACCACUAGAUCAACUAAUCAUUCAAGCAAUAGUGGUAGGCUAUGAAUUGAAAACUUUUCAUUUGUCAUGCAUGAUCCUAUUAAGCAUGUACUAUAUGUACUAACCGCAUACUAGUAAGGUUUGAAAUGAUCAUGCACACUACAAUGAUACCUUUGCUAUCUUGGAGUAGAGGAUAGUCAAUAAAAUUCCAAUUUAGCUCCCAAUAGCAAUGUGAAGUCCAACUAUAAGCUUGGUGAAGACCAAUUAUAAAUACCAAUUGAUAGAUCAAAUCUUCACCAAUAUGAAAUGAAAACCACUUUAUGACCAAGUGCACUAUCUUGUUGUGGUUGACUUGCUUCUUCUUUUGACCAAUUGCUGGCAUGAGAGAACUACUAAGAAUAUCACUUGAAAUAGCAUGACUAGCUCUCUUUUGGGUUGUUGCUUGCUUUCUUGAUCAAUCCUUUUGAUUUCUUCAACUAAGCAUCUCAAAUGUCCUUUAGAUCACCACUUCUAUGUUAGCCUUCCAAGCACCACACUUGGUUUACCCACUCCUCGGGGGGCACGCCCCUCACAUAGGGAGAAGUGAUCUCUCUCCAAAGAACUAUUUUUGAUACUCACUUGAAUUGCUUUGACUGAUUGAUUCAAGUGACGGACUUAAUGUGAUGAGUAACCAUGAAUCCUCUUGUUUUGAGUCCUUCUAUUUCUACUUGUUUAAGUCCUUUUCUUUGUACCAAAUGAUUUCCAAUAGUUACUAGAACUUAAACUUUAUCUUUAUCUUGAGUUUGAUCUUGAUCUUCAAUUUGAGUACUAAAUGUGUACACCAAGUAUAUAACACAAUCAAAUGACCUUGUACUCAUUACUUGUCAUGCUUUUAGAUCAAUUCAAAACCAAACUUAGGUGCCUCAAACACUUAUAAUCAUAUUUCCAACUUGAGGACCUUUCGAUUUAAGUGACUCUAGAUCAAUUCAAUAUUUGUCACUUUUCUGACAGAUUUUGUACUCUUUAAAGAAAUAUCCAUAUCUCACAGUACAGAUCCAAAUACGACGCAAUUUGGUGGAGAUGUGCUUCACUAAGUUAUCUAGCCGCUGCAAAAAGUUGAGCUUCAUUUGACUUCUAGAUUGGUACCAGUUUUCAAUUCUUCGACCACUGCUACAUGCUGAAAACUGCUGCACUAUAGCUGACAAGAUCCACUCAAACACUAGAGUAUUUAUUAUCCAGUUUCCAUGAAAUUUCUACAGCACUUUCUUUCAUAGGUGUACAUCAUUCAAACCAAAUUUCAAGCAAUUCCAAAUAGAUUUGACCACUCAAACUCAGACUUGAUCUCAGCUAGCUCAGAUUUUCAAUAUAGGACAGAUUUCAAGCAAUUGAGCUAUACUUCUUCAAAUUGAAUCAAACUUGAAAUCAACUUGAUUGAAUACUUUCACAAGACAUAAAUACAUUCAAUCCACUUACUAAAAGUCAUCUCAUAAACUUGUCCAACUCAAAUCAAUCCAAACUUCAUUAUUACUAACCAUUCAAUCCAUUCAAACAUCUUAUAACAAGCAACAUUGCAUAUAUAUCCAAUUCAAUCAACUCAUAUGCACCCAAACGAAUGUGAUCAAUAAAGAUAUACCUUGGUUAGCUCACGAUCAUCCAGUUUGCAAGCUUCAACAUAUGUAUUUGCAAGCCAUCAAAUAAUCCAAUAAAUCACCACAACUUGAAUAUUUGCUCUUGUAUGUAGCACUUGGACUUCACUAUCUUGUCAUGGCAUUGGGUUUGGAUGUGCACUAAGCUUCAAUACUUGACUCAAUCAUAUGAUGAACAAUAUAGACUCAAUUGAAUCAAGUCUCCAAUGCCGAUGGUACCUAUAAACAAUCAUCCACUUUUUGAUGGUACCCAAACUAGUUUGGGUCCUCUCAAGUUAGGAGCAACAUACUUAGGCGAUGCCUUAGUAUGAAUAGUGGGAUGUUUUGCAAUAGCAACCAUAGAGGUACCAUUACCAUCCUUUCUAAGCAUAGUCAAAUCAUCAAUUGAAAUAGGCUUAGAAUUAUUACCUAGGGGACAUGAAUGAGCCAUGUGUCCCCUUUCCCGGCAUAAGUAGCAACUUCUUUUGGAUUGAGCCUUUUCUUCCUUGCUCAUGUGUUGCUUCUCAUUGCCUUGCCUCUUGAGAGUUACUUGAGCCUUCUUCUCAAGCUUGGUAGGACACCUGGAGGCAAAGUGUCCAUCAUCCUUGCACUCAAAGAAUUUGAUGUGGGAGAGGUCUUUUGAUGAUCUUGAUUGUCUACCUCCCCUUCUUGUCUUCUUCUUCAUCAUCCCCAUGUCACCACCAUCUUCCUGGUAGAUCUUGAAUUGAGCUUGGGGCUUCUUUUCUUGAUCAACUUGUGGCUUAGGUUGAGGCUCUUCUUGUUGCUUCACCAAUUGCUUGGUUGGGCACUGUUGACGGUCCUUAAGUAUCAAAUUUAAUUAUCAAAUAAACAAAGAAAAGGAUCCAAAUGAAAUCAACAUCUAGACUUAGGGUAUUAUCUGACAGAAUUCCACGAGUUUUGGUGUUUGUCUAUUUCUGCAGGGAGUUAUCAGGAAAUAAGGAAGAAAGGCCCACAUGUCGGGAUUACAUAGAGAUAUCAAACCACCGCGCAAUUUUCUACCAUCUAGAAGACUCCAGAAGCCACGGGAAGGAAGCGGAGCCCGAAAGGGGCCAGGCCCAGGGCGCCCGCCCUGAGGACCUGGGCGCCCGCCCCCCUCUGGACUCCGUUCCGGACUCUCUUCGCACACGACGUUCCACCGACCUAUUGGAUCCAGAAUAACAUAGUACCACCUCGCCUAUCGACCCAAAAACGCAUAGAAGGGGAGGACUAUAUAAGGAGACCCCCUCUGGCCCCUGGAGGAGACAAGAAAUUAUCAUAGAGAUUGAGGGGUGCCCUCGAAGGAAAACCUCUUCUCUAAAUAAUAUUUCUUUUUAGGCUUAGCAACCAAUGUAAAGUAGAAAUAGAUCUUCUAGUUUCUACUAGAUUGAGAGAGAUAGAGUGGAGGUGUGGAUCGGAGGAAGGCCGGCCUGUCGGUGUCUACUCCGAGUUGUACCUGCGGGAUCAAGUCUCCUAACCCGAGGCUUGCUUCUAAGAUUCUUCAGUAAUUCGACUUCUAAUACUAGUAAGUUCUUGUUUUAUUGUUCUUUGGUUUAUGAGUUUACUUUAAUCCUCUUCCGGUUGAGUAUUAGAGUGAUCACUUGUUAGCGUAAACGUGGUGUUUAGGCUAGGGUACUCAUAGAUAUCCCCUGACUAGCUGGACCGUGGUAGUAGCGAGGAACGUGACAUUUCCGAGUUACCUUUGUAGAUCACAUCUCGUUAGCAGGACGGGUAGGGUUAUAGGUGCGGGUCGAACAUCUUUUGUGUUGUCUAGAUUCCGUGAGCCUCCCCAAUAGAACAGUAGAUCAUCCUUACCAAGGUUAGAACGAGACUACGAUUGCAGUCUUCUCUAUACAUCACUCACAUCGAGAGACAUUCUUUGUAGCCUAAAGGGAUAGUAGCAAUAGAUUUGGUUAGUCAGAUGCACCCUUUCUCCCAGUGGUAAAAAUAUAAAUACGAUAACUCUGGAUAACCUCCCGGGUAAAAUGCUCACCGAUAUCCGUGCGCUUGCGGACCAUUUUCUAAUUGCGUUACCAAAUAUCAACAAGCAUUUCUGGCGCCGUUGCCGGGGAGAAAGACGGUUUGCUGAGAUAACUUUGAGUCUUGCUAUUAUCUUGUAUUAUACUUUUAUACUUUUAUUAUUUUAUCUUUUUAUUUUUAUCUUUAUGGAUAACUCAAAUUCCAUACCUAUAAUUAAAUUCUUUGCACCUUCGGAGACCAGCCAUAGACCAUGGGAGUCAACACGUCCUGGCCCUAAUUAUGAUCUGUGUCCGGAGUUGAUUGCAAUAGGUCAAAACCAACCCUUUUCUAUAUCUGAGGUCCUAUCUUUUAAUCAAGAAGAUAAUGCACUUUUAGCUACACCUAGGGAAUCUUUUAAUCUUUCUAUAAAUUCUGGUUUAGACCUAGACCUACAAGACCAUGUUUUUUCUAGAUAUUUUCACAUUGGUCUUAAUCAUAUAACAUUUGGUAGAGUCUUUCUUUCUUUAUCUAUUAGUAAAGGAAGGUAUGUCUUCAUUUGUGGACAUCCUUCUUGUACUAGUCUUCAUAGAAAAAUCCUAGAGAUAGAGAAGGAAUCAUCUCCCAGACGAGGAAAGGAAGUUUCAAUAGCCGAUUUCCAAACAUUCCAAUCCCAUGAUUCGGCUAUCCAUCCCAUCCUUGAGCUUAAUAAUUUCUACUCUCUUGAACCUCCCGAUAAUCCUAUGAAUCUAUCUAGACAUCCCAUGCAUAAGAAGGAGGAUCGAGAAGAGCAACAUCAAUGGCUAGAGGGCAUUAAAAAUCCAUGUGCUAUCACCAUUGAAUGGAUAGAUAAAACAAACUUGAGAGACAAUCCUAGAGGAAUUUUAAACAUUCAUGAAAAAUCAUCCUUGGAGUUUGAGAAUGAGAGAAACAACAGUGAGCAUGGAUGUUAUUUCAUAAAUACCUCACCAAGUCCUUGCUCAUAUAAGACAUCUCCUCAAUCAAUUGGUCUCUCCAACCUUACUACAUUUGAGAUCUCCAACCCCCUCUUCCUUUCUAUUUAUAAAAACUUUAAAAGGGCGGUUGUCGAUGCAUAUGUCUAUAAUAAAUAUUGCAGAUCUCGUUGAGUUGAUCUUGAUAUAGGAUGGUGUUGGAGGGGAAACCACUUCACCAACAUAACUUGAUGGUUUCCCAAGGAUAAGCUUAGUGUCCUAAAACAAGCACUUCUAAUUAUUUGCAACAUUGCCUUGUGUAUUGAGCAUAUAAAGAUAAUUGUAGAAAUAUUCCUUCGGGUAUUCUUGCCACUAACCUUUCUAGGAUUGGAGCAAGAAGAUCGGAUGAAUGACAAGCGCAAGGUAUGCCCAACCAAUCAUCAUGCAACAUUAAAUUAAAUUCAUUCAAUCUUGAAUUUUGCAAAAUUCAAGCUUGGGGGAGUACUUUACAUAAAACAUCCUUUGCCAUGUUGCUAUGUUGGUUGUCCUUACCUUUGAGACAUGCUCAAUUUGUUAAAUACUAAUCACACUACUUCAUCUCCACUUGAGUAGAUCUCUAUAAAAGCCAUCAUGCUACCUUUGUUUAUCCUAGUAAGUGUUAGUUUGGAAGUACUGGUCACACUUCCAAUGGCAUUUAAAUUAAGCGUGGUGCUUAGGUUAAAUAGCCUUCCUUAAUCUGAUUAGACAUGGAGUCUAGUUUGGUUACUGAACUAAAAACUGCUUGAGUAGAUAUUGGUAUAUUUUGUUGGACUAACCCCUGUAGGAAAACUUUCAAUAUCAACCUGGGACGUCCUGAGAUGCAAACUCAUUAGAGAUGAAGAAAGUGACACAUGAAGUUUAACAAUUUGCACAAGAAAGACGUAGCUCAUAAGAGAUGAUUCAUGGAGGGUGCCACAAACACGAUGCACAACCGCUAAGAAAGGAAAGCUUCCACAAGGUGAUACUGUACCAUCACUCUUCAAGUAAGGUAACAUCUUAAGGUACUUGACUAACACUUUUAUAAGCUCCUCCUUGGUUCUGGCAUUCACAUAAAUAAAGAGACAAACAUGUAUGAUUUAUAACUCCAAAUUAACCAACUCAAUUAAUUCAACAUGUUUAGUCCUUUAAUCUUUGUUCUUAGUACUACCUUCGUGACCCCACACUCCUAAUCAUAUAAGCUAAAGUAUGGCACAUGCAAUCUUUGGAAGAUAUAAACAAAACAUAAAUAUAGAUAGAUUAUCUUUCCAUUAGGUUAAGCCAUCUGAUCUGACAAAUGCUACACUCAUGAUCCAUCAACUUUGUCUUGCUCACUAUGCUUAAGGUUAGAGAAGAACAAAUACACUUUUGGUUCUGUUGGUGUUUUCCACCAACAGGACCCAUGCACUUGAUCUCUACCUUGUCUCUAUGAGCAGGAACACUUCGAGCAUAAUAUGAAGGAGUUUUACAACUCCCAGAUUCCACCAAGUGAAGAACUAGGAUCUACGAGCACAAACACACUGGAGAUACUGGACGCUCAGGCAAUCACUGCCCUGAGAUGCUUGAGGAUGUGAACUACAUCAACAACAAUAACAACUAUUACUACAACCGUCCUCAACAACAUCAAGGUUGGAAUCAGCAGAGGCUUAAUUACUUAGAGAGGUGAUCUAGGACGCCCCGUCAUCCCGAUCUCCAUCGGCAUGGUGGACUUCCCAGAAGCACUCUGCGACUUUGGCUCCAGCGUCAACAUUAUGCCCAGGGUUGCAGAUCGGACACUCAGUUUCCCAAAGGAAAUAUUGAAGAACCUCUGCGUCCGAGUUGGUACCUUGUAUGCUCUAGCAGACUUCAUGGUGAUAGAGACUGGUACUGAGGAGAGGGCACCCAUCAUCUUAGGGAGGCCAUUCCUAAACACUAGAGCUGUCAUCUACGCUAAUGCUGCCAAGAUCAGUCUCUACAUCAAGGGGAAGAAGGAGACUUUCCUUCAAGAACAAGACUACACAAACUUCAGAGCAACCCCGACAUGAACCAAGGAAGAGGACCAACAGGAGGAACAGGAACAAGCAAAUGUGGACCGAGUCAGCUAAGAUGGUCACUGCAGUUCAAGGAGGUCAAGAUCGUCGACUCAAGUCACCUUUCUUGAUCAAGAAGGACGACCCUGGUGUUCUAAGCAUUGAGUGCACAAUCAACAGAUACUCUUUUCAGAAGACACUCUAUGACACCGGAUCUGACGUCAAUGGCCGUAGUCACUUAUCAGCUCCUGCAUGAAACCAUGCCCCUACAACCAAUAUACAUUCAGCUAUAGAUGACUUUCAAGUUAUUGACAUGGGAGAAGAUGAAUAUGAUCCACCCACCAUCCUUGGAAGACAGUUCCUCAGCACUAUCAAAGCCAUCAUCUAUAUUGGAACCGGAGAAGUCCACAUACACUUCUCCUCUGAGAAGGUAUGCCGCUGUUUUACUAACCCUAACUAUAUAGUUGAAGACUCUAAGAAGGUCAGGACAAGAAGAAGACAUCGCAACCGCAACCAAAGGAGGCAAAUCAUCAAGGACGGAUAAGUAGACUACGAAGGAGAAGUGAUAAGGACUGAAGACAUACCACUUGAACAUAACUGUCCUGAGGAGACCAUAGCACCGAGUCAGGUGUGGAGAGAGAAGAUAGUUAUACACGAAGAAGAGGCGCCGCCGGAAUCACCGACUACGCCACCUAGCGAAUCCCAGGACGAAUGAAAACACAAGGAGUCCCGUUCGGAGGACUUAAAAACACCGAACGCCUUGCCAAGAGGUAAACUUGGUAGUUAUCCUUUUCCAUUCAAUAGUUUGCUUAGUUAAUCAGGUUCAUGCUAUCUUGAAAAAAAAAUAAAAAUAAAAAUGUUAAAACAAUAGUAAGCCCCAUGUGAGUAUGCUCAUGGCAUAAAACCCAUAAGUACAUUCACUGUGGUGGCAUAAAAAUAAAAUAAAUAAGUUUUCAUCUUACAAUAAAAAAAUAUAAAAAUAAUAAAUGCAUAAUCCUGCUAAAUAAGUAAUAUUUAUUGAGGAGGCUCAAUAUGAUAAAGGCUAGAUAUUUAUGCUAACACUUAACCAGUUCCACAAAGCUUUGUUGUCUAUUUGAGCUCUACAGAAUUUAAGAAUCAAGAAGACUAGCAGACGGAGGACAUUCUAAUCGCUGUCAGAAUGCUGCUGACUUUCAAAUACACCUCUGCCACCUGGUAGCUACAUCAGAAGAAAUUACGUCAAAAUCUAGCUUGGGGGAGAGCACCCCCAUUUAUCCAGCUAAGUGUUUCUACUCGCGUUUAUACUUUACUCAAAUAAUAAAAGAUGCAUAAUCAUGAAAACCCAAAUAAAGAUUUUGUACUUUUAUAUAUAUAUAUCUUUUCUUAGUUUGCUAAAUAAAUAAAUAAAUAAAGUUUGCUAUGAACCCUCAUGAUAAGCUCUCACAUGGAAAUGAUGAAUAGUUGCUCUGCCAUGACUAGUUCUUAAAAUUGAAAUCUCUCUCAAGUUUAGGCAUAACUGUUAUGAAGUAAGAUUUGCUCUAAACCUGAACUUGUGGGAAGAGUACGUGAUCUAAAGUCUAAGUUGUUAACGGAUAUGAUAUGAGAAGGUUGAGCUGCUGUUUAUCUGUUCCUAGAGAUGCUAGAAUUCUGGAGAAUUUUAUCUUUGAAAAAAUCUUUAAAAUAACACAUGAUGAGUUCCUGUAUGAUGAGAGUUUAAAUUCCUACCACAGCCAUAUAUACAUGCUUGCUAGACCUUGAGCCACACAUUUAUUAUUUACUGCUUAUGAGCAUUGAGUGUGGUCAAGCUGUGUAGACCCUUAGGAGCUUGUCAUGUGGUUAAAUCAAGAUUUCACUUGCACGUCCACUCAUAUAUGCUACUUCUACUCCGGAAGUACCAUCCACAUAUAUCCACUCAUUUCCAUCUCCAGAAUCACCUAAAAAUAUUCUACUCCUAAUCCGGGAGAGAAUAACCAAAAAUAUUUCUGUUUCCCCUUGUGAAAUAAAUGCUCAAGUUAUCUUGUUACUACCACUUGCUAUAUUAUCUCAAGAGAUGAAUGCUCUAAAAAAAAGAGAGAAAAAGAAAAUAAAAGAUACGAGGAAAUAAAAAGGAGCAAGUGCUCGGAACCUCGAAGAAAAGAAAAAGUGAGACGAGAGGUAAAAAUGGACAAGUGUCCGACAGUAGAAUUAGGGGUACAAGAUACCCACGUGAGAGGUAAGAAAAAGAAAAAAUAGAGCUUCUCAUUCUCCCAAAAAAAGCUUCUAAGUGCAAGAAAGGUAUGUAUCCCCUUAAAAGAGCAAAAGUAGAAUUAGACUAUCACCAUUGUUAUCUCCAUCAUCACCAUACACCAUUCACUCGCCACACAUGCACAUCUUGAUUUGACUUAUUGACUUGUUUCUCUGGAUCCAUGGUUUGACUAUGCAAUAAAUGUCUUAUAAGUAUGUAUUAGCUGUCUCCCACCUAUGAUCUCCAGAUAUUAAAGCCUUAUUAGAGCAGGGUGAGAGAGAAGACAAUGUCACUAUGCUUCAUACCACAAAAACUACAUAUCUUGAGAGAAGGCAUAUACCAUCACUGCCUUGGUAAGGAUCCAAAAAUACCACAAAAGAGAGACCUGAGAGAAUCAUACAAGGAAUUUCUGAGUUUUAUUUGAAAAUCUGCAAAAACUCCAGAGCUAUAGUUGCUCAAAGAACAAGAUACAUGGUGCUUGACUUGACCGUUCUAUCUUUUAACUGCUCAAGACACAAGUGACGUUACAAGCCCCAUGGUGAAAGGUAAAAUGAGUAAGUUUUAAGUCUUAACAGUUUAUUCUAACUCAGAGAUGAGAUCUUGCUUAAAUGCGUGUGUACUUCUAAGAAAUGAAACCACUGCAGAAACUCUUGAGUUCAUCCUUGCUCAGGGACGAGCAAGAGGUAAGCUUGGGGGAGUUUGUUGACGGUCCUUAAGUAUCAAAUUUAAUUAUCAAAUAAACAAAGAAAAGGAUCCAAAUGAAAUCAACAUCUAGACUUAGGGUAUUAUCUGACAGAAUUCCACGACUUUUGGUGUUUGUCUAUUUCUACAGGGAGUUAUCAGGAAAUAAGGAAGAAAGGCCCACAUGUCGGGAUUACAUAGAGAUAUCAAACAACCGCGCAAUUUUCUACCAUCUAGAAGACUCCAGAAGCCACGGGAAGGAAGCGGAGCCCGAAAGGGGCCAGGCCCAGGGCGCCCGCCCUGAGGACCUGGGCGCCCGCCCCCCUCUGGACUCCGUUCCGGACUCUCUUCACACACGACGUUCCACCGACCUAUUGGAUCCAGAAUAACAUAGUACCACCUCGCCUAUCGACCCAAAAACGCAUAGAAGGGGAGGACUAUAUAAGGAGACCCCCUCUGGCCCCUGGAGGAGACAAGAAAUUAUCAUAGAGAUUGAGGGGUGCCCUCGAAGGAAAACCUCUUCUCUAAAUAAUAUUUCUUUUUAGGCUUAGCAACCAAUGUAAAGUAGAAAUAGAUCUUCUAGUUUCUACUAGAUUGAGAGAGAUAGAGUGGAGGUGUGGAUCGGAGGAAGGCCGGCCUGUGGGUGUCUACUCCGAGUUGUACCUGCGGGAUCAAGUCUCCUAACCCGAGGCUUGCUUCUAAGAUUCUUCAGUAAUUCGACUUCUAAUACUAGUAAGUUCUUGUUUUAUUGUUCUUUGGUUUAUGAGUUUACUUUAAUCCUCUUCCGGUUGAGUAUUAGAGUAAUCACUUGUUAGCGUAAACGUGGUGUUUAGGCUAGGGUACUCAUAGAUAUCCCUUGACUAGCUGGACCGUGGUAGUAACGAGGAACGUGACAUUUCCGAGUUACCUUUGUAGAUCACAUCUCGUUAGCAGGACGGGUAGGGUUAUAGGUGCGGGUCGAACAUCCUUUGUGUUGUCUAGAUUCCGUGAGCCUCCCCAAUAGAACAGUAGAUCAUCCUUACCAAGGUUAGAACGAGACUACGGUUGCAGUCUUCUCUAUACAUCACUCACAUCGAGAGACAUUCUUUGUAGCCUAAAGGGAUAGUAGCAAUAGAUUUGGUUAGUCAGAUGCACCCUUUCUCCCAGUGGUAAAAAUAUAAAUACGAUAACUCUGGAUAACCUCCCGGGUAAAAUGCUCACCGAUAUCCGUGCGCUUGCGGACCAUUUUCUAAUUGCGUUACCAAAUAUCAACAGGCACAUUGAGGUGAGAUGACCCCAAGUGCGGCACUUGAAGCACUUGACAUGCUUGAGCCUCUCUUCUUCUUUCAUCUUCUUGAGCUUCUCUUUGUUUGGGCAACCAUUAGCAGGAUGUCCCACUUCAUGGCACCAAUAGGACAAGAAAUGAGAAAGCUUUCUCUUUUCUUGCUUUCUUUUUCCCUUUGUCAUCUUCUCCUUGAAGCCAAGGCCACACUUGUCACCAUAGAUUCUUUGAGUCUUCAAUAUAUGCUCAAAGGUCACUUUUGAAUUAUAGCACCUUUCUAGCUUGUUGCUCAAAUUCUUCACUUGUUCAUUGAGCUUAUUGUUCUCCUUCAAAAGGUUAGUCUCACAAGACAUAGAAGUAGAACAAGCAUCUAUAUUUGAAGAACAUGACAUAGAUAGUAAAUCAUGGCAAGAGGUGGAUACAUGCUUCUUGCCUACAUCACAAGGGUUAGUAACAAUAUGUGAUUGAUCAUUUGACCCGAGUGAUGAGCUCUCACUAGUUUCAAUUUCUUCAUUAGAAAUCUUCUUAGUGAGAAAAGCAUGAUCUUUUACCAAGUUAUCAUGAGUAACACAAAGUUCCUCAUGAACCAAUUUUAGCUCCUCAUGUGAACAAGUAGUAACAUAAAGUAGAUGCUUUUGUUGUUCACAUGUGGUCUUUAGAAAUGAGUUUUCAUUUUUCAAUUUACUUGUUUUAGCCAUCUCAUUUCUUAAAGCUUUGGUGAGUCUACAUACAAGCUCAAAAUUUGGAUCAUCACAAUCAAUAAUCACACCUCCAAUAGAUACCUUGCCGUCACCGUGAGACAUGGAGGAAUGUGAUGAAGUGGGUGAGCUUGUAGAAGCAUCACUCUCAUAGCCAUCAUCUUCAUCCUCACUUGACCAUGAGGUGGAGCAAUCCUCCACAACCACCAUGUUGUGGUCAUGCUCAACAUCCUCACGUGCAUCCACCUUUGGCACAUCAUCUUCUUUGGUGAUUGCCCCAUAUUUCUCAUUGAGAUAACUCCAAAUCUCAUGAGCGGACUUCAUAUCCAAGAUCUCACCAAAUAUGUUAUCUUUCAUGGAUGAAUAGAAGAUGUUUGUAGCUUGGUAGUCGAGAUGUAGACAUUUAUCUUGUGCUUGAGUUAGAUUCUCUUCAUCCAACACAUGAGAAAAGCCUACAUCUACCAUCAACCACAUCUGAGGAGAAAUAAACUUAAAAUUGCAUGUCAUCCAAUUUCUCCACUACUAGCAAAGCUUAUAGUGUUUGGAAUUUGGCUAGUGGUACUCUUGAGGAGGCGCCAAGCUUGCGAGGCGGGAUUCGGCGCUUUUGAGAAAAUUAAGUGUAUAUUUUCUAUUGCGCCGGUGGGAAAUUUGGAGAAGUCGCGAGAGUGCACCAGACGCACUGCGUGGAGGCACCAUACGCUGGCCUUUAGCGUCCGGUGUACUGUCGGGUCUGACUAGAGGAAGCAGAGUGCACUGAACGCACCGGAGUGAGUCCGGUGCCCUCCCUCCGGGCCGCGCCCCUCUAGCCACCCUCACAUCCCAUGGUACAUCGCACCACCGGCACAACCUGACCCAUAUGCAAACAAGUUUGCCCCUCUUGAUAGUACGGCCAUCUAUCCUAAAUCCUAUACCUUUGCCUUGCGCUUUCCAUUCCAUCUCCUCCAUUAUUGAUGCAACACAUGCACCAACCAAUCACCAAAUGAUAUGAUCCACUUCAUAUCAUCACGUGACCGUAUUGGUUCAUCGAUCUUGACCUCACUUGCUCUUCACCGUUGCCUCAAUCCAUCGGCGCCAAGUCUUGCUCAAGCUUCACCAUCACAUACGGUCCCUCGCUUCAAAGCCUCUGACUUGCCCUUCACUCUUGCAACCGGUCCAUCAAGCCAAGCCUCAUCUUGAUCUUCUCCACCUUGGUCACAUGACUCCAUGUCAUGUCUCAUAUGCAACGAGCUCCUUCACAUCACAUAAUCACCUGUAGACUAAUCUCAAGUGUAUCUCACAUAAACACCAUUAGUCCACCUAAGUUGUCACUCAAUUACCAAAACCAAACAAGGACCUUUCACAGGGCAUGGGUUCUCGCUUGGAUUACCCAUUAAAAGCUCAUCAAGGAUGACGAUGCUCGCUCCAUCGGCGGUACAUCACUCUCCUCGCCCCGAAAGGGGACACUAGCAAAUGAAGCUCGGAGGCUCCCCCCCCCCCCCGAAAUUAACGCACCACAGCCAGAAGAGAAGUUGAAAACACUCAGACCCUAAAAAGCAAUAACAGCCCUCGAAGGAGUCCAUGACUCCUCCAAGGCCUCAGGGGCUACCCCCGCGGGGGUCGCCCGCGUAACCCCCAUGGAAAUACGACCAUCAGUAAAACCCCUGCUCGAGCACAAGUGCUGAAACAAGGGCUCGGGGGAUACUGUCGAGGGUGUAAAUAAGGGGUACCCCAACAAACAGUCAUAACAGAAAGAUAAAAAGACAAGUCGAGGAUCAGACUCGAACAAUCUAGUACAAACACAGGUUCACCAAAGCCACGGCUCGACCCACAACAGGAUAUCGACCCUAGCCUCGAAUACGGAAAUACGGUCGAGCGAAUGAUCUAGGGCUCGAUAGUCAGCGACUGUCGAUUACGGAAAGGGCGUCAAGCGAAUCGGCGAGUACGGAAAGCGUUCCCCCACCGCCUGUCGCGGGUACGGAAGCCAGGGCAUUUAAUGCGGCUGACAUGCACCCACCUAACCUGACAGUCGCGGGAAGCGUGAUAGGGGAACGUGCAUCCAUCAAAUACCCACUUUUUCUAGCUUUAUCCUCAAGAUUGGAGAAAAGUUCCAACUGGUACAGUACAGCAGGCGUAAUAUCCCAUCAAGACACCCCUCGAGACGUUAAGGUCAGCGCUCCUGUAUAACAAAGCCGCCUGUGCCGCCGGACCCUCGAGCAUGCACGCCCCUUCACAGGGAAAGAUUAAGCGACAGAAGUCAACGCUCCAACCACUCUAGACAUGGCGACAGUCGCGACGUACAAGCGUGCUCAUGUAACACCCCAAAAUUUGCAAGUUUCCAAAAUAGCAGAAAUUAUUUUUAAUUGUGUAUUUUUGUGCCAUGAAAUAUAGGAAAAAUAAUAUUUUCUUUAAAUUAAAAUUUACUAUAGGAGUUAACAACUUGUUUGAGCAUGCAUGCAUCUGCAUUGGGUUUAUUGUGAUGAGUGGUUUUGGCUAAAGGUUAAAAAGAAUUCAAAUUUGGUUAUGAAAAUGUUUUGAAAUAGGUUUGUUUUUAAAAGAAAAGGGAAGCAUAAAAUAAAAAGAGAAGAACCCUUCCCUCUUGUUUUGGCCCAAGGGCCCAUCUCCUUCCCUCCCCCUGUUUUUCCCUCAGCCCAGAAGCCGCGGCCUAGUCACCCCCUUCCUCCCCCGCACCAGCAUCCCUUCCCCCCUCUCUUCUUCCACUGACGAGCGGGUCCUGUGCCCUUGAGUCACUGCCAAGUGGGGCCCACCUGUCGGAUCCGUCUCCCACCUCGUAACCGAAUUGGACUCGGUGGAGUUUCCGCAUCGGCCACGCGCGAUCUCCGCGGCUGGCUUGUUUCGCACGCCGAGGAGGCUUUAAAUAGCGGCCUCCGCUCCGCCGUAGUCCCCCUACCCAAUCCCAGCGCCAGCCGCCAUGUAGUUCUCGCCGAAAAGCGCUGCCACGAUCUCCGCCGAAAGCAUCCCGCUGCUGCGACGCAUCUUCACCUCCGUAAGCUCCCUACCGAGCUUCCUAUCGUCCUUGCGAGUUCACCAAGCCUUCUUUCUCGCGUUUUCAUGCUCUCUGCGCUCUGUUUGACCUCGCCGAACUUCUCGCAGAGACCGUCGUCCGCUAUCCUUCAUCGCGAGCGCGCCCCAAUCUCUCCCCAACAUCGGUUUUGCCCUAGGUGAGUUCGCCUCGAGCUUCGUGACAUCCUGGUGCUAUCGGUUCUUUCUCUGGUGCUCUAAAUCGCCAGAUUGGCCAGCUCCGGCCAUGGCGCCGCCGUGAUUCCCACCAACUCCGGCCGGCCAGCUCCCUUCCCCUACCCCGAUCUAAUCUGAGCCGUCCAGAUGAAAUCUGAAGGCUUAAAUCGAAGGAUACCCCUUCGGCCGCGUCUUUUGCUAAAGAAACCCUGCGCUUUUUAAUAUAUAACCCGCAGUCCAAAACACAGUUUUGAAAAUAUGCUUUCCGAUUUUGAAGACGUAAACUCAGUACACAGAUUCAAAAUACGUUUUCAGAAAAUUACAAGAUUGCCACUGGUUUUGUAUUGCUCAUAAAAUAUUCGUUUUAACUCCAUUUUGCUCCGUUCAAAUUGCGUUAGAUUCAUAAUCACAAGAUCUACAUGUUAGUCUUACUGUUUUACAAGUUUACAACUUUUUAUUUUCGUGACCCUAUUUAAUUAAUUACUUUUCUAAAGAAAAUCUUAGGAAAAUCAUAACUUCUUCGUUAUAGCUCCGAUUUUCAUGAUCUUUAUGUUUGUGUGAUCGUAGUGCGAUGUAGAUUUGUUUUAUAAACUUUUUAUCUUUAUUUCUUACUGUUGGUGUAUUGUUCAAAUUAUAGGUUUGUUUGCUUUGUAUGUUUGCCUCUGGAUGAUUGUUGUUGAUGUGGUGACUGAGUUUAGUCGGUGAGCUUUUAUGUGGUGAUCAAGAAGCAGUUUGUGGAAGAUUUGGAACUAAAAGGAGGAUCUGAGUUUCAAGGCAAGUAUAGCAUGGGAUCAUCCUUGUUUCCUAACAACUUUAAUCACACAAUUCAUAUUUCAUGUGUCUCUUUGUUAAGGAUUUCCUAGUAUUGAUCUUAUACCUUGUCACCUAUGGUUAUGUAUUGGGUAGCUAAUGCUAGUGCUCCACUAAACCAAGAUCUUGUAAUUUGAUUAAUGGAAUACGCAAUAAACAUUAAAAGAGGACUUUUUAGUAACUUUGGUGAAGAGGGCUGGAGCAUUGGGCUAUCCUAUGGUGCUCUAGUUUCUCUCCAUAAGGACUUAUUUGUAUAUGACCAUCCGGGACAUACAGUACAACUGUGAGGGCUACAUGGCUCUGGCUUUAGCUCAGUAUGAGGACCUUUUCUAGCUUGUUAGUGGUUACCUUUGUGGCACAAAUGGAGAAUAGCAGACAGUGGAUUCCUGCGGGUGAAUCACAGGGACUGACUAAUGAAACCAAGCGGCCCUAACUUGUUAGACGAACCUUUCAAAGGCUUCGUAGUGAACCCUGCCGACCUCCCUAGGAAAGGGUAAAUCAUGACUCACAGUGAAAGUGUACAACCUCUGUAGAGUGUAAAACUGAUAUAUCAGCCGUGCUCACGGUCACGAGCGGCCUUGGACCAAUACAGAAUAAAUGAUCACUAAUGGCAAAUUAUUAAUGUUAUUAUUGUUACUAUGUUGUUUAUACUAUUCUUUAUUCACUUUACUUGAUCAUGAGUUUACUAUGGGACUUGACAACUUGAUGCUACUAAUAUGCUAAAAUUGUGACAACUAAAAGCUACGUGCAGUUAAACCAGUAUCUAGCCUUUGAGCCUCAUGAACCCUAUUUUGUUCUUGCUUGGUACGAGAUGUACUUACGCUUGCCUUUACAUUUUAUUAGGAUAAAAAUCUCGGAAGGGUACCAGAUUGCAAGCUUGGAAAAGAGUUUAGGCUUGUGCUCAACCAGUGAGUUGUCCCUGUGGAUUUGGAGCUUUCGCCUGAAGAACGGAGUGUCUUUCCGCUGUUUGCUAUCUAAGGUUAUAUCUUUUAUACUAAGUUCGUUAUAUAUAAGCAUUGAUUAUUGAUAUUACCCUUAUUUGUGGCUAUAUGUGAGAUUUGACUUCCUGGGCUCACAUAUAGUGUGUAUCUAGUUUUGUUCUUAAAACCGGGUGCUACAAAGUGGUAUCAGAGCAAUGCUGCCUGUAGGACGCAAGCCUAGAUAGUAAUGGUCGUUUUAGCCAUCUUUGCUUCACUACAUUCAUGCUUACUAUCUCACCCUUGCUAUUUGCUAAAAUUCUUAUGCUUCUAUCAUCUAAUUCUAUUAUAAAAGUAUUGCUUCUAUUCUAACUUCCUCUUGGUCUAAUUCCAUAGAUGGUUUGUAACGAAAAGAACGCUCGCAGCAACUCUGGAAGACCAUGCUUAACUCGGGGUAUCUAUGGCUUAACGGAACCAGAGUAUGAAGAAGCUCAUCCUGUCCCACCAAGACAUAUUUGUUGGCGAAAGGAGUACUUUACCACAUCCUUUAGUGGGGAAGAUUUCUUUCACCCUCAUCUUGUGCGUAUACUCCAAGACCAAUAUCCUGAACAGCAAGCCAAGGUGGAAUAUAAGUGCACUAAGUGGACUCAUCCCAAGUAUGAGAGCCACUGGAGCACAGAAGCGCACAUCACAAGGUGGAAUGAGUUUACUGGUUCACGCGUGGUGGAAUCCAUUCACUCAUCCCUCAGUGACCGCUUCAGUAAGUAUGCUAGCAUAUCUGAUGCUGCCCAUCAAGCUCUUCUGGCGCAUCAUGGAAAGCACUACGAAGAAAGGAAGAAUGGCAAACAAAAGUAUCUUCCUCGUCGCCCACCAGGCACUUUGCAAUGUGUGAUGGCUGACCCCUACUUGGAGUAGAAUGAACAACUAAAGGAGAUGGCUGUGACCAUCCAAGUCAUGCAUCAAAAGUUGGAAGAUAGUCAACUGGAAUUGACCGAAGUAAGACAACACUAUGAGGAAGCCCUUGAUGAGAUUGAUGAGUGGAGAAGUCGUGGUGGAUUACCUAAGAUCAAUGAGGUGGAGGACAUACCUUGCUUAAUUCCACGCAAGAGAUGCUACCCUGGAUGCCGCUGUAGUCACACCGUGUUUAAGAAGUAGGAAGUUCCCCUUUGUAAUAAACGUUAGUAGCAAAAGUUGAGUCUAGUCAAAUAUGUGUGCUUUGUGAAUCCUUAAUGUUUCGUUGGUUUGUCCUAGUGCUUAUGUUUGAGUUGGAUUUUUGUAAUGAGUGCAAUGAUUUUGUGGGUUUCUCCAUAAUUUCAUUUAGUUUAUAGGCCUAAGGUAUAAGUAUUAAUGAAAUAAAUAGUUGGGUUUUAGUUUCUCUUGUUUCUCUGUCCUUGUCUUUUGGGAGCAACUUAUAUUCUUCAGUUCAAAUCCCUAUUCUCAGAGGACCAUAAAAUCAUGUGAAAAUUCUGGGUGAUAGUAGACUUCAAUAUCCUUCUCUGACCGUAAGAAUCACCUCCAUAGCUGUUGUGGUUUGGGAAUUAUGAAAAUCACAAGAUGGUACAGUUGAGCUGUCAGGAAUCAGGACCAGUUUCAGUUGCCUACUGUUUCGAACAAAUGUAACUAUAGAAUUUGGAAAAAGGUUCUAUAAUAAAGUUGUAGGUCAUUAGAUAUGCUUUCCAACGAUGCAAGCUGCAACUUGAUCAGAUUAAUAGAACUUGAGCUAUGACAUCUACAAGUUAAUGCUUCCGCACCGUUUCAAAAUCUGGACAGUUAUAGUUAAUUCCUAUUUUCAGCCAAAUAACAUCAGAAUCUGGAAAAGUGGGAUAUACAGAAGUUGUGGAGGACUUCAUAAGCUUUUCAAUCAUGUAAGACUCGUCCCUGUAUGAUCUAAGUAGCAAGAGAUAUGACUUCUGUAAGUUGCUGCAUCGAUGGUGAGACAUUGUCGGGAUGGAUAUCAUGUUGGGCUGUUUUAUCUAGGUUUAAUGACAAAAACUAAGGAAGCCUUCUAUAUGAAAGUUGUAGGGAAUUUGAUAAAGUUUCUAGCGGUAUAAGCUAAGGCCCUAUUGGAUUGAUAGAAAAGGAGUUAUGUCUAUUUUACUGCGCUGGUGUUUUCAUAUCCUGAGGAAUUUUAGAUUUCUUGUACAUAUCAGUGCACAUGAGUUUAUCUUCGGUAUUAUAAGAUCUGAAACUCACUUGAAAGAUGGACCAAACUACCCAUUUAAGCCCCUAGUUUACCUUUUCUAAGGGGGUAGUCUUAUCAAAGGAGUUACAAGGAGAAGUGUUGGUUAAUGUUGAAUCAUCGGUAAGGACCUCAAGUGUUUGGUGAAUUUGGUUUUUGAUACAAGAAAUUGUUCCAUUGAAAUGUGCUAAUAUGGAUGGAGAUAUAGGUCAUUGCUGGUACUCAUAUCUUGGAAGUGGUGCUUAAGAGAAUCAGGUGACACCAAAGGCUACAAAGUUAUACAUGGGAUGUGAGAGCGAAGCAAGUCAACUAUGAUAGAGGUACCAAUAGUUGGGACUUAGUGAUGAAACCAACCCCAGAUCAUGAGGCUUGGUACAGUGAAUUUAAAAGACUAUAUGAUGUGAAUAUGAGAGCUAGUCCAUACUGUCCCCCAACCUAUCUCAUCUUAAGGGGGUAGUACCUUGACAUUAUCGGUUAAUGCACUUUCAAUUUAGAUAUCCCAUGAUUAUAAUCAUCUAUCCUGGCUCAAGAUAGUGAAAUUGGUCACUUGACAACUUAGGAAGUGGAUAUGCUACAUCUACUAUUGAUUCUACGGAGACUAAAAAGGCUUCAUUAUUAAAUGGAGCAUGACCAGUAUGUUCUAGUUGAUGGAAGUUCUCAUCUAGGAGACGUCAUCUUUAAGGAUGGACUCAAGGAAGUUAAAGACACAAGAGUUGGAAACCACCGAAGGAAAGUGAAUGAGACUUAGAGUUUUAUGGAUAUGGCAAGAGGCUAUCAUAGGUUUGUUGGAGCCAAUGUGAUCUUGACAUAAGAGUGACUAAGUGAUUGACUUGGAAUGAUAAGAUUCUAUUAGUAAUACACUGAAGGUGUUAUAAAGAUUGACAAAUAGAGAUCCUCUAUCCCAUCAAGACCUUAGAUGUGCUUUACACAAGAAAAGUAAUGGCUUGUGCAUGAGUCAACUAAGUAAGUUGGACCACCUGACACGUGAUGUGGAGGUAACCAUAGUGGAUCAUGGAGAUACUAUCCUCUUGAAUGUAGGAGUGAUAUCUGCGUAGAAUGUAAGUAUCUAAAGGGCAUCUUUAGGAAGUUGGAUUUGAGCUGGUCACAUCAUUGAUGGAUUUGAGUGAGUCAAGAGUUAUGACUAGGAAAAGUGAUAUCACUUGAAUGAGGAAAAGCCUUUGAGAAUGCUCAAAGCAUAAAAUUUGUGCUAGAGGAGUUCAAAUAACACCAAGGUUUGAGGAGUUGAGUGUUGAACUGGAGUGAUGUCACUAGUACUGUUAAAUGAGCUCUACUAAUUACUCACUUGGGAACCACAGGAACUGCAAAGAUUACUUAGAAGAUAUGUUGUGAGCUUGUGUAUUGCAGUAUGGUACAAAGAGGUUUACCAGUUGGAGAUGUAUGAAAGUUUAGGAGGAGUGUAUGAUGUCUUCCAUGUGGCUCAACUUAAAAAGUACUUGUGUAAGCCAUAAGAGCAGAUAUCGUUAGAAGAAUUGACUGUUAAAUCGGAUUUCACAUACAAAGAGUACCCGGAGAGAAUUUUGGAAACAGCAUAAAGGGUUACUGUUGACAUUCGUUAUGUGCAAUAAGAACAAGCAAAAUUCCGCAAGCGCACAGAACAUCAUCGUAGCAUUUUACCGGGAGUAUUCCAGGUAUCGUUAUUUAUAUUUUACCACUGGGAAGCUAAGGUCAAAGAAUCUGAUAACUUACUAUCAUGCAUCUACUAAUUUAAUAAACCAACUAGACUAAAGUAGGGGCAAAUGAUAUAUGAUAGGUAAUAAUAUAAAGGUGAGAAUUCUAUGAUAAAUGCGUAGAUAGCCAUAGCGGGAGGACAACGGGAGAGACCUAGGUUCCUGUAUACUUCUCUAUUACUUCAGUUCUAUGAUAACAAAGAAUGAAUAGAUAUAGCAAUCACAUAUUAGCACUUUGGGACAUCAGAACACCAACCACAGAAAGAGAACUGGAAGGGGGCUAGGAAGCUCUGACUACGGUCCUACAAACAUUGAUGUGAACGAGGUGGAAUACGACCGUUAGGGCUGUCACUACCCUAGGGGUACCACAACAAUCCGCAGGACUGGGUGCAACCUCAGGUAACCUCUAGUAUAGACACCAUGUCUACGAUUACUACUCUAAUUACCAUGAAUAACUAGAGCACUCGAUGCGAAUGGAGAUCCUAGGGCAAAAUAUAACAACUACACUACUCGAUAAUAAUAAAGGCAUAAAAGUAAAUAGAGAAGAUAAAUAUAUUAAAGCAUAAGUCUUACAAUAAAUAUAAAGACAUACCAAAACUCUGAAGACUUCUCCAGAACCGAAGGGCAGCUCCGCUCUCCCUAACUCCCGACUAGGACUAAUCUACUACAUUGGAAUGUCUAGCCCUAAUUCUCUAUAGAGGAAAGGUUAUCCAUCGAGGGCACUUCUCAACUCUAUAAUGAUAUGUUCUCCUCCAGGGGCUAGGUGAAAGGUCCAAAUGGCUAGAGGGGGGGUGAAUAGCCUAUUUAAAAUUUUCUACAAACUUCAACUUAGACAAGUUGAUUAGUAAAACAAAAGGCGAAGCUAUUCUAGCACUAGCACAACUAAGCUAUGCAAGCCACCUACAAAAGUGUAGCAAGAAAGCUAAACACUAGUUACAACAAGAAAGUAAAGGAGUAAAGAGUGAUUGUUAUACCAAUGUUGUAGAGUAGAGAUAUAUCCAACCAAUCACUCACAAUCACAAGAGAAUCCUCGGCAAGGGAUGACACAUGAUUUUUUAUCGAAGUUCACUUGCUUCCCGGCAAGCUAGUCCUCGGUGUGGCGAUACACCCACUUGAUGGAUCACGAGCUAAUUGGCAAUCCAAAGCCAAACCCUCAGCGGGUGCCGCACAUCCACUCACAAGAUGGGGAUCCUCCAAGCCACGAGCAAUCCACUAGAGUAGCCAAUUGCGAUCUCCCGCGGGGAAGGCUCAAGAACCCCUCACAAACCACUUGGUGACGCUCGAAACAAUCUCCAAUCACGAGCUCGACACCACCGCUGCUCCAAGCCGUCUAGGGCAUCAGGAAACACCCAAGAGUAACAAGAAAUCCGCAGCGAACUCAAGAAUCAAGUGCCACUAAAUGCAACUCUCAAAGCAAUGCACUUGAAUCUCACUCAAUCUCACUAGGAUUAGCAAUCAAGCAAGGAGAUGAGUGGAGGGAGUGUUCUCUAGCUCAAUGUAUGCCUCAAGUAUUCAAAUGUGCAAGAGAGAACCUCCUAAAGCCGGCCACCUCCUAUUUAUAAGCCCCUCAAAGAAACUAGCCGUUGGCCACUUUCACUGUGCUGAAAUCGGGGGCACCGGACGCUACCAAGUGAUCACCGGACGCUCGACCCCCAGCGUCCGGUGCUCAGGGGUUGGCCACGUGUCCUUUUUUGGAUCUCACGUGUUAGUUUCUAACGACUACCUGCAACACACCGGACGCUCUGCAAGUCCACACCGGACGCGUCCGGUGCACACCGGACUCAUGCGCAGAGAGUUCCGCAAACCGCAGGGUUACCAGACGCUAAGCACCGGUAGCGUCCGGUGUUCACCGGACCCAUGCAUAGAGAGGGUCACAAAACGUCCUCACACCGAACGCACACCACCGGACGCAUAGAGACCGUCCGGUGCUCUCAAAGAGACACCUUCUGCCUAAGUCAGGCCACACCGGACGCUUGAACAUGGAACACCCAGCGUCCGGUGCAGUGCGUCCAGUGCUCAACCCUAACCGGGCCAAGCACUAACAGCACACCGGACUGUGAGGCCAGCGUCCGGUGCCUCCGCACUUAGCGUCCGGUGAGUGUUUCUCAGUGAGAAAACACUCCCGCGACUUCUCCAAAUUUCCCACCGGCGCAAUAGAAAAUAUACACUUAAUUUUCUCAAAAGCCUAGGAACCCAAACCCCUCUCAACCCUAGGAACUCCACCUCCUUUGCAAAUGUGCUAACACCAACAAGUGUCCACCACCAAAGUGCAAGUGUGUUAGCAUUUCACAAACAUUUUUGCCAAAGGAGUUAAGUUAGCACUUUACUAGAUCCUAAUGCAUAUGCUCAAGAUGUAGACCUAGUAGCACUUGAUUCGAGAGAUGACCGUGAUUUCCCCUCUCGAUAGUCGGCUAUCUAUCCUAAACCCGGUCAAUCACUUCUCUACUCAUCUUAGACCGGCAAAAGUAAAACCCUAUGUUUAUACCUUUGCCUUGAUAACUUUGCUCCUCGUCUAUCACCAUGAUCUCCACUUCAUGCUUCAUCUCUUUGUAAUCAUGUGGCCACCUUUCCAUGCCACCAUGCACCUUCAUCACAUGUGUUGCUAUGCCUAACUCAAAUCACUUAAACACAAGGCAUUAGCAACUUGGUGUCAUUAAUUACCAAAACCAAACUUGGGCUUUUACUAGGAGCCUUGCUUAUAUAGCUUCCUCCUUUGUGCCUUUUUGGUUCAUCAGGCGAUGUGGUACUAAACUUUCCACAAUAUCUCAUUAAUAUGCACAUAGGCCUUAAUGGACCAAAAUCUGAUUUCGGCCCAAUUAAUCCAGCAGCUCUUUUAUGUGGAGUCCUUCUUUUAUUAAUAUCUCUUGAUUUCGAACUCCAAAUAUAGCAAAUAAUAUAUGCAUUUCGAUCAGCUUGAAAAGAUCUUUGUAAUGGUGUACUCCAUUCUGUGAUUGGUGCUUGUACCAGGGCGGGCGCCCAAGGAUCAAGGGCGGGCGCCCUGACCCCGAGCCCGUCUCGGCUCCGCUUUGGUCGAGUUGCUUCUAGAAUCUUCCUGAUUAUGGAAAAUUACCGCACACAUUAAUUCUCUAUGUAAACCCGAUGUGUGGGCCUUUCCUUCGAAUUUUCUGAUAACCCCCUGUAGAAAUAGACAAACACCAAAACUCGUGGAAAUCUGUCAGAUGAAACCCUAAGUCUACGUGUCGGUUGCAUUUGGAUCCUUUUUCAUGAUUAGUUGACGGUUAAAUUUGAGCAUUAAGGACCAUCAACAAGCUCCCCCAAGCUUAACCUUUGCUCGUCCCUGAGCAAAGAUGGACUCAAGAGUUUCUGUAGUGGUUUCAUGCCUUAAAGGUACACAUGCGUUCAAACAAGAUCUCAUCUCUGGCUUAGGGUAAACUGUUAAGAUUUAAACUUACUCGUUUUACCUUUCACCGUGGGCUUGCAACCAUCAUUUGUGUCUUGAGCAGUUAAAAGAUAGAACGGUCAAGUCAAGCGCCAUGUCUCUUAUUUUUGAUCAGCUAUAGCUCUGGAGUUUUUGCAGAUUUUCAAAUAAAACUCAGAGAUUCCUUGUAUGACUCUCUCUAGUCUUAAUUCUGGAUCCUUACCAAGGUAGUAAUGGUGUAUGCCUUCUCUCAAAGUAUGUUGUAUUUUUGGGAUGAGGCAUAGUGUUAUUGCCUUCUCUCUCACCCUACUCUAAUAAGGUUUUGAUAUCUGGAGCUCAUAGGUGGGAGACAGCUAAUACAUACUUACAAGACACUUAUUGCAUAGUCAAACUAUGGAUCCAGAAGAACAAGUCCAUAAGUCAAAUCAAGAUGUGCAUGUGUGGCGAAUGCAUGGUGAUAAUGGUGAAAAUAAUGGUGAAAGUCUAAUUCUACUUUUGCUCUUUUGAGGGGGUACAUACCUUUCUUGCACUUGAGGCUUUUGAGGGGAAUGAGACGCUCUAUAUUUUAUUUUUAUUUUCUCUUAGGUGGGUAUCUUGUACGCCUAAUUCUACUAUCGGAUACUUGUCCAUAUUUACCUCUCGUCUCACUUUUUCUUUCUUUUUUUUCUUUUUUUCGAGGUUUCGGACACUUGCCCCUUUUUAUUUCCUCGUAUUCACUUUUUUUAGAGCACUCACCCUCCUGGAAUAAUGUAGCAAGUGGUAGUAACCAAAAUAUCUCGAGCAUUUAUUUUACGGGAAAUAACAGGGAUAGGGUAAUGUUUUUGUCUAUUCUCUCCUAGAUAGGAGUAGAAUAAUUUUGGGUGAAUCUGGAUUUGAAAAUGAGUGGAUGUAUGUGGAUGCGUACUUCUGGAGUAGAAGCAACAUGUAUGAGUGAACGUGCAAGUGAAUCUUGAUUUUAACCGCAUGACAAGCUCCUAAGGUUCUACACAGCUUGACCACACUCAAUGCUCAUAAACAGUAAAAAGUAAAUGUAUGGUUCAUAGUCUAAUAAGCAUGUACAUAUGGCUGUGGUAGGAUUUUAAACUCUCAUCAUACAGGAACUCAUCAUGCAAUAUUUUAAAGAUUUUCAAAGAUAAAAUUCUCUAGAAUUCUAGCAUCUCUAGGAACAGAUAAACAUCAGCUCAACCUUCCCAUAUCGUAUCCGUUAACGACUUAGACUUUAGAUCAAGUACUGUUCCCACAAAUUCAGAUUUAGAGCAAGCUUUAAAUUAUAAUAGUUAUGCCUAAACUUGAAAGAGAGCUCAAAUUUGAAAACUAGGUACUUGGCAGAGCAACUAUUCAUCAUAUCCAUGUAAGAGUUUAUCAUUGAAGUUCAGUUUGGCAUAGACACUUUAUUUAUUUAUUUAGCAAACUAAGCAAAGAUAUAUAUAAGCACAAAAUGUUGAAUUGGGUUUUUAUGAUUAUGCAUUUUUUUUAUUAUUUGAGUAAGGUAUAAAUGUGAGUAGAAACACUUAGCUGGAUAAAUGGUGGUGCUCUCUCACAAGCUGGAUUUUAACGUAAUUUCUUCUCAUGUAGCUAGCAGGUGGUGUAGGUGUAUUUGAAUGUUGGGAGCACCCUGAGAGCGAUUAGGAUAUCCUCCGUCUGCUAGUCUUCCUUGAUCAUUGAAUUCUGUGGAGCUCAAAUAGACAACAAAGUUUUGUGGAACUGGUUAAGUGUUAUCAUAAAAUCUCUUAGCCUUUAUCAUGUUGAGCUUCCUCUAAAAAUAUUACUCUCUUUAUAGGAUCAUAAAUUUAUUUUUAUAUUUUCAUUUUUACAGGACAAGAAUAUAUUUAUUUUAUUUUUACGCCACCACAGUGAAUGGGUUUUAUUCCACGAGCAUACUCACAUGGGGCUUACUGUUUUUAACAUUUUUAUUUUCUUUUCAAGAUAGCAUGAUUAACUAACAAGCUAUUUAAGGAAAGUAAAUAAUUUAAGAAAAAAAAAGAAUGAAGAAAGGAUAAAUAUGGAUAACUACCGAUUUUACCUUUCGGUGAGGGUUCAAUGUUUUAAGUCUUCGGAACAAGACUUCUCACCGUGUUCAUUCUUUAGGUACGUCAUUUGAGUUAGGUGUGGACCUUGACAUCUGCACCUCUUGAUACGGUGUCACCCAUGUUUUUCGUUUGCCCAGCAGUUCAAAGUGCGGCGUUGGCAGCAUCCUCCUCACUGUGUUUGUGCUCAUAGAUCCAGGUCCUUCACCUGGUAGAGUCUGGGAGUUGGAAAACUCCACCAUGUUUUGCCCGAAGUGUAUCCUGCUCAUAGAGACAAGGUAGAGAUCAAGUGCAUGGGCCCUAUUGGUGGAAAACACCAACAGAACCAAAAGUGUAUUUGUUCUUCUAUAACCUUAAGCAUAGUGAGCAAGACAAAGUUGAUGGAUGAUAAGAUCAUGAGUGUAGCAUUUAAAAUAUUUGUCAGAUCAGAUCACUCAACCUUAUAGAAAGAUAAUCUAUCAAAGUAAAUGUUUUUUUCUUUACAUGACUAUCAUUUUCCAAAGAUCGGAUGUGCAACAUUUUAGCUCAUAUGGUUAAGAGUGUGGGAUCAAGAAGGUAGUACCAGGAAUAAAGAUUAAAGGACUAAACAUGUUGAAUCAAUUGGGUUGGUUAAUUUGAAGUUAUAAAUCAUACAUGUUUGUCUUUUUAUCCAUGUGCAUGCCAGAAUCAAGGAGAAGCUUAUAACAGUGACAGUUACAUACCUUAAGAUGUCACUCUAAUUGAAGAGUGAUGGUACAAUAUCACCUUGUGGAAGCUUUUCUUUCUCAACGGUUGUGCAUCUUGUUCGUGGCACUCUACGUCUGGUUCCAUAGAUUAUCUCUCUAUGAUGGACGAGCUAUGUCUUUCUUGUGCAAAUUGUUAAACUUCAUAUGUCUCCCUCUUUAUCUCCAUUCUUGUUGUUAUUCUUCACUCUUUUACUUCAAGCCUGAAUCGCGAAGAUAACGGGAUUGCUUUCCCCCAAGCUGAAUGUUGACAUAGUCUUUAAUCUUGAAUCCGCACAACACAGAUGUUCUUCAAUAUUCUUGAGCUUCAAAAUGUCAAUGAUGAUUGUAGCGCUUCCAAGUUGAUGAAAAUAUCUUGAUCAUUGGGGAUUCUCUCUUUAAAUCAUGUUAAACUCAAAUAGACAACAAAACUUGUGGCACCGAUUAAACAUUAGUAGUUGGCCACUUAAGCCUUAGUUGUCCAAACUUUUUAGAUUUUUCUUAAUUCUUUUUCUAAGCAGAGUUUCAACAAGAUCUCUUUCUUAAUAUAUAUAUAUAUAUUUUGGGUUUUAAUCUUUUUAUAAAGCAAAAGGAAAUGGAACAGGAUGAAUGCAUGUUUAUUUACUUUUAUUUAUUUAUUUAUUUAUUUAUUUUUUAUUCCACCACGGUAAAUAUUCGUGUGGGCUUUUACACACCACACAAUUUAUUCACAUGGGGUUUUAGUAUUUAAGAUGCAAUGAGUUAUGUAAAAUAUUUUUUAUUAUAUUUUCUAGUGCAAUGGAGAAAGAUAAAUAUGUUAUGGAGAAAUGAUGAUGAAAAAUAAAUAUGCUAAAAACAAAUGCAGAAAAGAUAAAUACAAUAAACCUACUAAAGCUAGUGAUACAUUAAAUUAGCAGACAUCAAGAUCAUUAUCAAAAUCUUCACACCAAUUGCUUCCCCGGCAACGGCGCCAAAAAUGCUUGUUGACAUUCGUUAAGUGCAAUAAGAAUAAGAAAAAUUCCGCAAGCGCACAGAACAUUAGCAUAGCAUUUUAACGGCAGUAUUCCAGGUAUCGUUAUUUAUAUUUUACCACUGGGAAGCUAAGGUCAAAGAAUCUGAUAACUUACUAUCAUGCAUCAACUAAUUUAAUAAACCAACUAGACUAAAGUAGGGGUAAAUGAUAUAUGAUAGGUAAUAAUAUAAAGGUGAGAAUUCUAUGAUAAAUGCGUAAAUAGCCAUAGCGGGAGGACAACAGGAGAGACCUAGGUUCCUGUAUACUUCUCUAUUACUUCAGUUCUAUGAUAACAAAGAAUGAAUAGAUAUAGCAAUCACAUAUUACCACUUUGGGACAUCAGAACACCAACCAUAGAAAGAGAACUGGAAGGGGGCUGGAAAGCUCUGACUACGGUUCUACAAACACCAAUGUGAACGAGGUGGAAUACCACCGUUAGGGCUGUCACUACCCUAGGGCUACCACAACCAUCCGCAGGACUGGUGCAACCUCAGGUAACCUCUAGUAUAGACACCACGUCUACACUAACGAUUACUACUCUAAUUACCAUGAAUAACUAUAGCACUCGAUGCGAACGGAGAUCCUAUGCCAAAAUAUAACAACUACACUACUCGAUAAUAAUAAAGGCAUAAAAGUAAAUAGAGAAGAUAAAUAUAUUAAAGCCUAAGUCUUAUAAUAAAUAUAAAGACAUACCAAAACUCUGAAGACUUCUCCAGAACUGAAGCGCAGCUCCGCUCUCCCUAACUCCAGACUAGGACUAAUCUACUACAUUAGAAUGUCUAGCCCUAAUUCUCUAUAGAGGAAAGGUUAUCCUUCGAGGGCACCUCUCAAAUCUAUAAUGAUGUGUUCUCCUCCAGGGGCUAGGGGCCUUGCUUAUAUAGCCUCCUCCUUUGUGCCUUUUUGGUUCAGCAGGCGAUGUGGUAUUAAACUUUCCACCAUAUCUCAUUAAUAUGCACAUAGGCCUUAAUGGACCAAAAUCAAAUUUGGGUCAAUUAAUCCCGCACCUCUUUUAUGUGGAGUACUUCUUUUAUUAAUAUCUCUUGAUUCCGAACUCUAAAUAUAGCAAAUAAUAUAUGCAUUUCGAUCAGCUUGACGAGAUCUUUGUAAUGGUGCACUCCAUUCUAUGAUUGGUGCUUGUACCAGGGCGGGCGCCCUAGGAUCAAGGGCGGGCGCCCUGACCCCGGGCCCGUCUCGGCUCCGCUUCGGUCGAGUUGCUUCUAAAGUCUUCCUGGUUAUGGAAAAUUACCGCACACAUUAAUUCUCUAUGUAAACCUGACGUGUGGGCCUUUUCUUCGUAUUUUCUGAUAACCCCCUGUAGAAAUAGACAAACACCAAAACUCGUGGAAAUUUGUCAGAUGAAACCCUAAGUCUAGGUGUCGGUUGCAUUUGGAUCCUUUUUCAUGAUUAGUUGACAGUUAAAUGUGAGCAUUAAGGACCGUCAACAGUUACUAGGAGUUGGAUUUUUAGGAUGUACAAAGUCCAGUGGAAUCAAUGCACCAAAGCGGAGGCUAGUUGUAAAAGAGAAGAGGAUCUAAGAGAAACAUACCCGUAGUUGUUGGAGUAAGCACCAACCAAAUCUCGAGGACGAGAUUCAUUUUCAGGGUCGUAGAAUUGUAACACCCCAAAAUUUGCAAGUUUCCAAAAUAGGAAAAAUUAUUUUUAAUUGUGUAUUUUUGUGCCAUGAAAUAUAGGAAAAUUAAUAUUUUCUUUAAAUUAAAAUUUACUAUAGGAGUUAACAACUUGUUUGAGCAUGCAUGCCUCUGCAUUGGGUUUAUUGUGAUGAGUGGUUUUGGCUAAAGGUUAAAAAGAAUUCAAAUUUGGUUUUGAAAAUGUUUUGAAAUAGGUUUGUUUUUCAAAGAAAAGGGAAGCAGAAAAUAAAAAGAAAAGAACCCUUCCCUCUGGUUUUGGCCCAAGGGCCCAACUCCUUCCCUCCCCCUAUUUUUCCGUCAGCCCAGAAGCCGCGGCCCAGUCACCCCCUUCCUCCCCCGCGCCAGCAUCCCUUCCCCCCUCUCUUCUUCCACUGACGAGCGGGUCCUGCGCCCUUGAGUCACUGCCAGGUGGGGCCCACCUGUCGGAUCCGUCUCCCACCUCGUAACCGAGCUGGACUCAGUGGAGUUUCCGCACCGGCCACUCGCGAUCCCCGCGGCUGGCUUGCUUCACAUGCCGAGGAGGCUUUAAAUAGCGGCCUCCGCUCCGCCGCAGUCCCCCUACCCAAUCCCAGCGCAAGCCGCCGCGUAGUUCUCGCCGAAAAGCGCCGCCAAGAUCUCCGCCGAAAGCAUCCCGCCGCUGCGACGCAUCUUCACCUCCGUAAGCUUCCUACCGAGCUUCCUAUCGUCCUUGCGAGUUCGCCAAGCCUUCUUUCUCGCGUUUUCAUGAUCUCUGCGCUCUGUUUGACCUCGCCGAACUUCUCACAGAGACCGUCGUCCGCCAUCCUUCAUCGCGAGUGCGCCCCAAUCUAGGUGAGUUCGCCUCGAGCUUCGUGACAUCCUGGUGCUAUCGGUUCUUUCUCUGGUCCUCUAAAUCGCCAGAUUGGCCAGCAUUGACCAGCUCCGGCCAUGGCACCGCCGUGAUUCCCUCCAACUCUGGCCGGCCAGCUCCCUUCCCCUACCUCGAUCUAAUCUCAGCCGUCCAAAUGAAAUCUGAUGGCUUAAAUCGAAGGAUACCCCUUCGGCCGUGUCUUUUGCUAAAGAAACCCUGCACUUUUUAAUAUCUAACCCGUAGUCCAAAACGCAGUUUCGAAAAUAUGCUUUCUGAUUUUGAAGACGUAAACUCAGUACACAGAUUCAAAAUAUGUUUUCAGAAAAUUACAAGAUUACCACUGGUUUUGUAUUGCUCAUAAAAUAUUCGUUUUAACUCCGUUUUGCUCCGUUCAAAUUGCGUUAGAUUCAUAAUCACAAGAUCUACAUGUCAGUCUCACUAUUUUACAAGUUUACAACUUUUUAUUUUCGUGACUCUAUUUAAUUAAUUACUUUUCUUAAGAAAAUCUUAGGAAAAUCAUAACUUCUUCGUUAUAGCUCUGAUUUUCGUGAUCUUUACGUCUGUGUGAUUGUAGUGCGAUGUAGAUUUGUUUUAUAAACUUUUUAUCUUUAUUUGCUACUGUUGGUGUAUUGUUCUAAUUAUAGGUUUGUUUGCUUUGUAUGUUUGCCUCUAGAUGAUUGUUGUUGAUGUGGUGACUGAGUUUAGUCGGUGAGCUUUUACGCGGUGAUCAGGAAGCAGUUUGUGGAAGAUUUGGAACUAAAAGGAGGAUAUGAGUUUCAAGGCAAGUAUAGCAUGGGAUCAUCCUUGUUUUCUAAUAACUUUAAUCACACAAUUCAUAUUGCAUGUGUCUCUUUGUUAAGGAUUUCCUAGUAUUCAUCUUAUACCUUGUCACCUAUGGUUAUGCAUUGGGUAGCUUAUGCUCGUGCUCCACUAAACCAUGAUCUUGUAAUUUGAUUAAUGGAAUACGCAAUAAACAUUAAAAGAGGACUUUUUAGCAACUUUGGUAAAGAGGGCUGGAGCAUUGGGCUAUCCUAUGGUGCUCUAGUUUCUCUCCAUAAGGACUUAUCUAUAUAUGACCAUCCGGGACAUACAGUACAACUGUGAGGGCUACAUGGCUCUGGCUUCAGCUCAGGAUGAGGACCUUUUCUAGCUUGUUAGUGGUUACCCUUGUGGCACAAAUGGGGAAUAGCAGACCGUAGAUUCCUGCGGGUGAAUCACAUUGGACUGACUAAUGAAACCAAGCGGCCCUAACUUGUUAGACGAACCUUUGAAAGGCUUCAUAGUGAACCCUAUCGACCUCCCUAGGAAGGGGGUUAAGAGAUUAGCUACCUCGAGCAAAAGGGUAAAUCAUGACUCACAGUGAAAGUGUACAACCUCUGCAGAGUGUAAAACUGAUAUAUCAGCCGUGCUCACGGUCACGGGCGGCCUUGGACCAAUACAGAAUAAAUGAUCACUAAUGGCAAAUAAUUAAUGUUAUUAUUGUUACUAUGUUGUUUAUACUAUUCUUUAUUCACUUUACUUGAUCAUGAGUUUACUAUGGGACUUGACAACUUGAUGCUACUAAUAUGCUAAAAUUGUGACAACUAAAAGCUACAUGCAGUUAAACCAGUGUCUAGCCUUUGAGCCUCAUGAAUCCUAUGUUAUUCUUGCUGGGUACGAGAUGUACUUACGCUUGCCUUUACAUUUUAUUUGGAUAAAAAUCCCGGAUGGGUACCAGAUUGCAAGCUUGGAAAAGAGUUUAGGCUUGUGCUCAACCAGUCAGUUGUCCCUGUGGAUUUGGAGCAUUCGCCUGAAGAACGGAGUGUCUUUCCGCUGUUUGCUAUCUAAGGUUAUAUCUUUUAAAUUAAGUUCGUUAUAUAUAAGCAUUGAUUAUUGAUAUUACCCUUAUUUGUGGCUAUAUGUGAGAUUUGACUUCCUGGGCUCACAUAUAGUGUGUAUCUGGUUUUGUUCUUAAAACCGGGUGCUACAGCUCAUGCCCAAGCCAAUACCAGACGAUAUACAUGAGGAAAUGCACGCGUCAUCAUCACCAAAGUACCCUGUAACAAGACAGCUCGAGGCCACGCCGGUACGGAAGCCUCGAGUAGGUCAGCGCUAUACCCCUAUCGAGACCUACUCGAAACACCUAUACCCUGUAACCUAAGCCUCCUCUUAGAAAUAUAAAAGGGGACGCUGGGGACAACACAAGCAAGCAGAACAAGAUACGUAGAACACAGUUCACCCAUCACUACAACCAGCUAGGACUUAGAACCCUCAACUACAUUCUCUUGUAUUCGCCCUUGUACAAGCACUUAGGUGCAAGAUAAUACACACUCUCCCCCAGUGGACGUAGGGCUUUCCUUUGCCUGAACCAGGAUAAACACUUGUGUCGUUCUUGCAUAACCAUCCGGAAAAGAGAGCACGCGCACAAAUUCACUCGUUGGUGUUACCCCAGGGUCAAAACACCGAAAACUGAAUUGCUAAAUGGUUUUACACAAUUUAAAUAUAAAUUUUUCUGGACAGCAUACCCUGAGCUAAAAUCUUAUAUCCGCCACUGCUCAGAAGGCAAGUCUCCUGAUCGGUUACGAUAUAAGAGUUCUAAUAGCAAUGUACCCGAAUACUAUGUCCCAUAAGCCCCCAAACACUGUAUGGUUGAUCUUUGGUGGCCUUCUUGUUCCUCUAGGUCUUGCGAGUAGAAACAAGCUUUGUCUAAGUGCUUCCAUCAGAGAAACUAUGUAGUGCUUUUGAAGUCAAUAUGCUUCACCUAGAGGAUAUGCUUAGCGUAUUGCUGGUUGAAAUAAAGAGUUAGGCGAUCUUGUCCGCAUUUCCUUGUCAAAAAAAAUUAUUUAAAUGCAUCCUAUGAGGAUAUGUAUUCUGCAGCCCUCGAGCCUACAAUACGACUAAGCAGAAUCGAUUAUAGGAUCUUGUAGACGUCCUCAAGGGUGCAGUUGAGUAAGGCCGUGUUUAGUUCAUAAAGAAAAAAAAUUCACGACACUGUAGCACUUUCGUUUAUUUGUGGUAAUUAUUGUCUAACCAUGGACUAACUAGGCUCAAAAGAUUCGUCUCGUAAAUUCCGACUAAACUGUGCAAUUAGUUUUUAUUUUUGUCUAUAUUUAAUACUACAUGUGGAGAAUCUUGAAAAAAAAAUUAGGUUUUUAGGUGGAAGUAAACAAGGCCUAACCUCCCAGGACAAUGAUUAGUGACUGUUUGUCGCCAAGUGAUUGAAUUCUUGUAAAGCCAACUAAGUUGAGGCAAUGGCCGAGCCCUCAAUCUUAGUGCCGACUAAGUCAUGGAGGCCAAGAAGCCUUGUCAAAGAGGCGAAAGUAGCCAGCGUGAUGACCGAGUAGUAAGGUAGUUCUCAGGAGCAUAGUACUCCACCUAGAGUCGCGGUGACCGAGCAAGGCAACCCAUCAUGGAGGCGCGUACCUCACAGAACAGCAUAGUCUAAGGCCUUGUUUAGUUGUGAAAAGAUUUUAGAUUUCGCUACUGUAGCACUUUUGUUUGUUUGUGGCAAAUAUUAUCCAAUCAUAGACUAAUUAGGCUCGAAAAAAUCGUCUCGCAAAUUACAGACAAACUGUGCAAUUAGUUUUUGUUUUCGUCUAUAUUUAAUGCUUCAUGCAUGUGCCACAAGAUUCGAUGUGAUUUAGAAUCUUGAAAAGAUUUUGAAUUUUGGGGUGAACUAAACAAGGCCCAAAUCUGGUUUCCUGCAAGAUAAACAUACAAAAUGUUGUAGUUAUUGAUAUUCAGGAUAUGAAGUCGGGAGCAGGUCUCAUGCAUGUAAAAUAAAAGGUCGGAAGGAGAUCCCAGUGUUAUGAAAUGCAUGUAAUAAUUUUUUUCGCGUCUUGCUCUUGCUAGGCUGUUUUAAUUCCCCGAUUAGUUGACCCCUUAUUAUACUAGUUAGGUGUAAUUCCGAUUAUCCAAAGUACGUGGAGCUGUGUGACUAGUCAGUCGCCAUGGGCCACUAGUCGGACGAGGUGUUUUGGCCUCGUGUAUGCAUGUAUGUUCUGCAUGCAAUUCUUUAAUAUACUAGUUAAGUGCCCGUGCGUUGCUACGGAAUCACUUACACGGGUCAUCACAUAUGCAUGCAUGAAUCAGUAUUUUAAUUAAAAAAAAUUUGCCGUGGUUCUGUUUUUUACAACAUCAUAUAUGUGAUAGACAUGUAUUCAUUUAGACGAAGGAUAAGAUAUUGCAUAUCAUAUACUUGCCAAUGUAAAUAUACCAAGGAACUCAAGAGCAACAUAUUUUUACCAUGAGAACAACUUCUACACUUCACCGUGCAAGUUCAGCCUACAAGUCUCACAAAAAAUGACAAAGCAAUAAAAUAAAAUUAAAAGGUGGAUCAUGUAGUUUACUCCCUCAUCAUUGAACCCGAGAAAAAAAGCAAAUACUAACUCAUUGGUUAACACUUAGUUCACCUGACGCUAAAUGACCAUUUUUUUUGUCCUCCACAAGAAAUCACUGAACUAUAUCCAAGGAUCUAAUUACUUCCCCCCUACUCCUGUCCAGCUAAGAGUUUCAACAUUACAUCCUUUAAUCAAAGACAGUAGGAUAAUCUUUCUACCAAAUCAAUCCCUACAAUGUGACUAAAUACUCUAAAUGUGCCCAACUUAGCACCUUUAACUAACAAAACUGAUACUAUUUAGAUGGAAAACAACUUGAUAACAUUGACCAAUAUGGUUAGCAAAUGUAUAUCUUGCAAAUCUGUAAAUCUUGAGCACUGUCGGCUGUACUCCAUGCACAUUAUUCAAUAGCAGUAGAUAGAGUAAAGUGUAAAUAGUUGUUUGUUUCAGUUUUACAGGUAGCAAUGUCCUAGCUAGUCUUUAGGAGGACAGGUGUGUGGUGUUAGUGGGUGAUUGGUCAUAGUUAUUAGUGGUCAGUUGCCUAAGUUGUGAAUAGUUUCUAGGAGCCACUAAGUGGUUCCUGGUGACUAAUCAUGGCUUUGCAUAUAUAUAUAUAUAUAUAUAUAUAUAUAUAUAUAUAUAUAUAUGCAACAAAAAUAGAAAUGUUGCAAGUACCAUAUCUCUGAGUUGAGCCUCUGAUCUUGAGUGAUCCAGUUUACAGUGAGGUUGAUUGACUUACACCAUCUCUAGCAGAGCCACUGUGCCAUGUCCCUGGCCAUCACCAACUGUGCCCUCUCCACCCGUGGCAAAGAGAUCUUCCUCCACAGAGCCAUCAAAGAAAUCAAGCAAACCUUCGAUUGAAACCUUCAAAAAUAUCAUCAAAUUUGCUGAAAGAAAUACAUCAGGUCAGAUGAUAAUAUCCAAAUCCUGAUUUGGGUGCAUAAUAAGAAGUGCUGAAGCAAUACCAGUUAUCAUCUCAAAUUAGAAUCCAAAAAUUUCCAGUCUAAUGUUUAAGAAGUGCUGAUAAGAUGUGCAGAAGCAAUACCAAUGAUCAUCUCAAAUUAGAAAGCUAAAAUUUAUAGUUUAAUGUUUAGAACUUAGGCAAACUGCUUCAGACUCUUAAACAAGUAGUUCCCAACAAAAAAAAAAGAAAAUCACAAAUGAAAAGGAUGUUUUAUUAUGGUAAGGAUAAAACAUAAUAAUGAGACGAAUAAUUAUCUAGGAUCAUACUAAUCGCUAUUCCGAUAAAAUAUAGGGAUCACAAGAGUUGCAUUAAGUCACACAUCUACAUUACAAAAGCUGAGUCAAUAAUUCCUCAACACAGUGAAUAUUCCAAGAACUUUAUAAAUGUAUAAUAUAGUGAAGAUCACCACACUGGUUUGGACUCUACUAAUUCCCACUAUGGAAUUUGCCAUGAAUAAUUCUAAGUUUCAUGGCAAGAACCAAGUAUCAUAAUUAGCAUAAUUAGCAUUAGCAUACCUGGGAUUGGAAAAAAUCUCUCGUUCAGUCUCAGCGG